AGAAGAGCCAGUAGACUUGGCUUCCUUACUUCUGUUCAUGUGAGUAUAAUUUAUAUUUCUAACUAUUGUGCAAGUGUCAUUAGAGCCACGUAUUUCCCCAGGUUUCUGGGGAAGAACUGCCUGGUUCGAUCUUUGCGACGCUGGCGCUCUUUUAGAAUUAACCACGGCAAAACUUGAUGACACUUCCGUGGUUCUUGUAAAAUUCAUCUUUGGGGUAAUUUUACGCUGCGUGUUCCCCCCCCCCCUUGAAUGUUUUAAAGAGCUGGAUUCCUGUCUCUUUGCAGAGCAUUCUAGCAGCUGUGUCUCAUUUGCUUUGCAAGGGCAUUGGAAGAAAUUGCUAUUUUGGAAGCUUCUUAACAUAUGGGAUCAUUGUAGAAAGCACUUUACAGUUUGCAUAGUGCUUUCCCGUUAUUUUACCCAGUUCAUUUCUCAAAGAAGCCCAGGACGUGUUGUUUACGUUUUUCAGAGCGAGAAAUAGAUGUACUGAAGGAAUAACAGCAGCUUGGCAGGGCAGUUUCUCUCCCUCUGGAAUUAAUCAACAGAUUAAAAUCUCUUCCUUCAGAUCCCUCAAUACCUGUGAUCAGAAAGCCUCAUACCUUUUGACCUAAACAGGUGGAUGGACACGUCCGUUGCAUCUGCGGAAUGUGUGGCCUGGCUAGUCUUAGGUCUACCCUAGCCAAGAGCUGUCUGAGUGAUUGGACAUUGGCGACUGGGCUGCUUAGCUCUUUUAUUAAAAGUGAUGUAGUGGAUGGCUAAAAGCACGGGUUCUGGGGGUCAGACUGCCUGGAUUUAAAUCCGGCUUCCAACUUGUAUCGGCCGUGUGACAUCAGAUGAGUCACGUAACCUUUCUGAGACUCAUUUUUCUUAGUCAAAUGGGGACAUUGGUUACUACGGCAUGGAAUGAUUGUGGGGCUGAAUGGCCCGAAUCUAUGUAAGACGGUAAGCACAGUGCCUAGCGCACAGUAAGCCCUCAGGAAAUGUUAGCUAGUGUCACGUUAUGGUUCCAAAGUUGGCCGCCUGGUCGUUUUUUCUUAGGGUUCAUUUCAGUUGAUUUGUUUCAUGAAAUUACACAUACGGCCCAGUCAGGACUGGAGAUCGUGGGUGGUCUUUUUUUUUUUUAAUUUAUUUUUAUUUUUUAUUUUUAUAUUUUAGAGAGAGAGAGAGAGAGAGCACGUGACUUGGCAGAGGGGCAGAGGGAGAGAGGGAGAAUCUCAAGCAGGCUCCACACUCUUGCGCAGAGCCCGAUGCAGGGCUUGAUCUCACAACCCUGGGAUUGUGACCCAAGCCAAAAUCAGAAGUAGGGCACUUGACCAACUGAGUCACCUAGGUGCCCUAGAUGGUGGUCAUAAGAGAAGGUUGAAGGGGCAGACAGAACUUACACUGGGAUUUGCUCUGCUCUUAAGAGCUGUGAUAUUUAGAACGUCUGUCUCUUUGUCAUUGGACUCUUUAAAACACAAAUGGCAAUGUUUUUCCUCCUGAAUAAUGUAGGAAAUCCACAAUGGGUCUGGUACAGUAGUUCCCACAGUACUGCAGCCUAGGACUUUUGGAAUGGGAGCACACAAAAAAAGGCAAAAGAUGACCUUGGUUUUCUUACCAUUCUAGGUGAGAGUGGGAUGUAGAGAGUAGGAUGUUUGCUGGGUAAACUUAGCAAAGCACUUUGCUGCUAUAUGCCUCAGUGUCCCCCAUUACAAAUAGGAAUUAUAACACCCACAGAAUGACCAACUGGUACCCCAUUUGCGGGGGCUUUCCCAUGGCAAGUGCCAUGUCCUGAGAACCUCUUCAGUCCUGGGAAAACUGGGACGGUACACACCCUUAUCAUUUGCCGUAUCCGGAACAAUGGAUAUAAAGGUGCUUUGACAUUUCAUGAACUGAAGAGUAUAAUCAACUCAAUUCUGAACAGCUGAGGUCCCAAAAUAGUGCCUUGGAAAGAAAAACGUGGUAAUCAUACAGUAUAUCACCUCUCAAAUAAGAAUAUCCCACUUUAAUUCUUUGUGCAUCAUUUUAUAAGCUACUUAGAAAUAUAUAGUGUGACUGGAAAAUUCCAUUAACGGAUACCAUGCUGUAUUUUUCAAUGUUUAUUUAUUUAUUUUGAGAGGAAGAGAAAGAGAGCAUGUGCACACAUGGGCGGGGGAGGGGCGGAGGGAGCGGAAGAGAAAGAAUCCCAAGCAGGCUCCUUGUGGUCGGCGUAGAGCCCAAGGCAGCACUCGAUCUCAUAAACGGUGAGAUCAUGACCUAAGCUGAAAUGAAGAGUAGGGGCCAUAACCAACUGAGCCACCCAGGUGCCCCAGAUAUACCAUGCUUUACAUCAUUCUUGUAUGUUUAAACACAUGUAAGUGAAGGCACACACAAGCAGAUUCACACGGAACAGUUUAGGACAAGUACUUUCAGACCACGACAAAAAUAAUUUGCAUUGGAAAGACCUCAUUUGAAACAGACCCUGAGAAGUUCUGUUUUGCACCCGCGGCAUAUUUACGCAAACAUUAUCAUUUGCAAUAAAUUGAUUACUGAUUUGUCUCGGAAAACUUCCAAGGAAGACACAAUAACCUGGGGAAAAUGACAUAACUGACCAUCUACUUGGCAUCUGCAAAAGAAGCACAUACCAAAGGGUAAUGCUCCGUUGCUGGGAAUUAACCUGAGGCACCAUCCGUGUUCAACAGAUGUGAAAAAACAUUAUCCAACGUGCAUACAGGGGACUUAGCGCAGUUUCCCCCAAAAUGACUCAUUUCAUUUUCUUUCAUAAUUUAUAGACUGCACUUGAGUAGAACUUCAAACUGUAAAAGUAUGCAUUUGCUCGAAAAGGCGAAAGUUUUGAUUGACUUUUAUUUGCGUUUUAGCUAGAGAUAUCCACCCAGAAUUCAAGCCAAUGCAAGAUCUGGAAAUGCUAAAGUGAGGCUUCUUACAGGCAGGCAAACACAAGAUAAAUAAUACCUAAAUAGUAUGUAUUAGUAAUAGGAGGAAACAAGUAAGUCCAGUCUACCUCAGUUGCUAGUAUUAGUACCGAGAGGCCGUAUUUAUUUUAAAAAUUAGACUUUGCAAAUAUAACAGCUUGUUUUCUGCUUGACUUAAAGUGGCACAUGUGAACCUCUGAGAAAACGUUAGGAUACUUGAAGCCCCUGAACAUGACACGUGGCUUUUCUUUAUCCUGGACCAACUGCGGGCAGCCUUGGGUACGUGGUGGACGCUCAGUAAAAUCUUAAUACCUCGUACUCAGUGUUCUAUGUAUUGGUAAUGAUUCAAAAUAACGUAAUGAAACCAGAGUGAAAAGGGCAUGGUCCACUAUUCCACAUUCCACUUUUCCCCAAGGAAUGGACCACUAUACCUCUCAGACGGAAGCAAAGAACUCAUUCAAAAGCAGAGCUGAAGGCUGGUGGAGUUAUUGUUGUUUAGAUUUCCCUGGACAGAGGAGUAAUUAUGUUGGCUUCAAAGGCCUUUUCUUCUACCUCCCAUCAUGGCAUGCUACUGCAGGAGGAAGGCUUCAUUCUGCUCCUACAUUUUACAAAUGGAAACCCAGAAGAAGGAGCAAGUUGCCCAAGGUCACAGAUUCAAACCUUCCCAGAUAUUUCUUGACCCGAAUUUAGUUUUUGCAGAUCUCCCCCAAUAGAGCUGUAGGUGAUUUUCUUGGCGUGUUUGUUCGUUUGUUUUUGUGUUCGUUUUUUUACUUGAGGAUACUCCGCCUGCCCUGUGUCUCACCGUCCUAUCCGUUGUUACGUAAGUCCUUCCAUCCCGAUCCUACUACUUCUUAAACAACCCUGCUUCCAUAUAUCACGUUCCAAUGGCAUUUUCUUUGCCCUCAGAGAACACACUUGAACCUCCACUCUAAGGUUCCAGGCUAAAGGAAUCUUCUAGAUGACCCAAGUGCUAUGUAAAUACAAGGGCCCUUCCUUGCACUUCUUCCUAGGCCCUCACAGCCUUUGAUAUAGUGAUGCAUAUGGGGCGCCUGGGUGGCGCAGUCGGUUAAGCGUCCGACUUCAGCCAGGUCACGAUCUCGCGGUCCGUGAGUUCGAGCCCCGCGUCGGGCUCUGGGCUGAUGGCUCAGAGCCUGGAGCCUGCUUCCGAUUCUGUGUCUCCCUCUCUCUCUGCCCCUCCCCCGUUCAUGCUCUGUCUCUCUCUGUCCCAAAAGUAAAAACAAAAAAACAACGUUGAUAUAGCGAGGCAUAAUGUGGCUUCGGUAAUGUGAGUCAAGGCUUUGUUUCAUGGUUAAUUUAGCCGAUGAAGAGAGCGAGCUGAAACUCAUGAGGACAGACAGAAGCUGAAGCGAACCGAGGUCAUAGCUUGAACAGAACCUCCAAGAAGACAGAUUGCCUGUGGCUCUUAGAGCACCCUUCCCCUGACAGUGGUGACGCGGACUGGAAGUCGAAAAAGGACCGUCUCUUAUGAGGGGCACACGAGGGCACGACGAUUAUUUAAAACUCGGCCCCACAGAGAGGAAAUCUGGUUGAUGUUUAUUCAGGCCCCUUCCUUUUAAAUCUUGAUUACCCUUGGCUCAGCCAGGUGCUGAAACUUCUGCCUGAGCGACAGGUGAUUCUUACGUAAGAAUUGGAAUCUCGGGCGUGAUAAAUUUGGUCUUGAGAAAUCUCAGCUCAGUUGCUGCAGAUGGCAGUGUCAUGAUGGCAGAGUUAGAGAGAGGCGUCCUGCCGGGCUGUGGGCUGUCUGACAUGGCUACUCAGUUCAGAACUGUCUGAGCCAAUUCCUUGAGCCUCAAGGUCAUGACCAAGGGGUACAGCCCAGCUGCAGGGUUGACAUUCAUUCUAGCAACAUUCUGCUCCCUUAGAUGCUGCUGCUGACCCAUUCCAACUCACAGGUCCGGCAAGAGUCAAGUUGUCACCUGUGUUCUUUGUGAACAUCUUUAUCAUUUGGGGUCUCCGUUUAUCAGAACGAGCCUCCGUUGGGGGCAUAUUUUGUGCUUGUAAAGAAUUGCUUGUACUAUAGAAUUUGCGCAGCCCAGGAGAUAUUUCUACCCAUCCCAUCCCUCUCGGGUCCUGCAACUGUCAGGGCACAGGUUUUUAGCCUUAGUUUUGAGGAGUCUGGAAAUCCCCCCAAAGCGCACACACACACAAAAACUGUGAACAUAUAUGCCUCUUUCUAGGGAGAGCAUGCACAGCUCUCAUAAAAUUGUUAUGUAAGUCUGCGAUCCAUCAACUUGCAAGAGGCACCAUUGUAGAUGAUGAAGGAAAUAUUCUUAAGUAUCAUUUGUUCUCUUUCAAGUAGAUUUCCCACUUUGAAUUGUAGGUUGAACAUGAUCAGAGGUUAGCAACAUAGGGUAAGCGUUGGAGUAAGACCCUUGAUUCUGGCCUAGACCCUUGCUCUACACUUCCUGACUGUGUGACCUUAGACAUGUCACUUCUCUGGGCUCCACAUCUUUAUUUGGACAAUGGGUAAAAUAUCACCUACCUCAUUAUUGCUGUUGUGGAAUUAAAUUGGAAUGAAUAUGUAGAUCUUGUGAUGUGUGUGUGUGUGUGUGUGUGUGUGUAUCUUGUGAUGUACCUGGCAUUACUGUUCAAUAAGCAAUGGCUAGUAUUGACAGAAGUCAAAUGGAACUCAUGUCUCUGGAGCAUGUGGGAAAUAGUUAUUUUACCAGGCCUUCUCUUGUCCCUUCCUAUUCUCUAUUCUUUUUCUUCAAAGGCCACCGCAAACAUCACUUGCCUUGGAAACUAUGGAAAAGGAUGGCUUUCCGCGAGGACAUUUAUCAUCCUGGAAUUGUGUGCUGCUUUUCUACUUGGGAUUUGAGGCUGACAGUAUCCGAUCUCAGUCUCUCGUUUUAGAAUCAAUAUUUCUGUAGCAAGUGUAAAAUCAUCCUAAAUGGAUUUUUUUCGAGAUUGUCCAAAAAAAAAUUCUGAAGAGAGAACACGCUAAGAGUGAAAAAGCUAUGUUUAUGAAAAUAUCAUGAAGGCUAAAUGUGAUGCACUAGGAAAACACGCAGAUUUCACUGUAUACCCAUGAGAUCUAUAUCCCAACUCUACUGAUAAAUAGUAUUCAAGGGAAUGUGAAAAUUCCUUCUAUAAGUGCAUUUCUGCUGGUCUAGCUCAUUGCCUAAUCCACAGAAGGUGGUUAAUAACUAUUUGUUGGGUGGCUGGAUGUACGUUAUGUUUUCAUUGUAACAUAAAUACCAUAUCAUUUAUAUCAUAUUUAUAUUAUGCCAAUAAGGAAGAUGGAAUAGUCAUUCACGUGAUGCGUUUAUGAGCAUAAUAUUUCCGAAGCUCAGCUGACAGAAAGUUCCUUCUACAUCUGUUUUCUGUGACAAGUGGGAAUUCUAGAGACUGCGAGUGUAAGGCUUUUGAGUGAGCCUUUGUAAGGGGGCCUGAAUUGCCAUUUAGAUUGUUAGCGUUUGAGUUUUGCAAUUACACCCAUUCCGAUAGAACAAUACGUUAGGAGCCCACGAGAAUCCUGUGGCCGUGCUCCCUCCCCUCUUUCUCUCAACCUUACCUUUCAUACAAGACGUAAAAAGCCCAAAUCACAAUGGCAUCGACUUCCCUGACUUAGGGCUGAGACCACGUGAGGGCCUACAUGGUCUGCGCGAAGUCUCUAGAGCUUUCCUUCCAGUGGGAAGACUCACCUGGGAAGAAGUUAGGGGAAAGAGAGCUGGGUGGCCAGGAUGGCCGUCUGCAACAGCCGGCUUCUUCACGAGGGUAAUUGAACCUGGAGCAGUGGCAUCCAGAAGCAAGUGGUCAUGAGGGAGCAGCGUAGAAAUGGGGAGGUCGCAGGAGCAAAAGAGAUGAAACAGAGAAAGUAUCCCCCAGAGGGGCAGUCUUCCUUCUUUCCUUUACGGCAACUCAAAGCCCUGUACUUACCUUUAAUUCCUCAGUACUGUAUCUCAGGUGUGUUUCCCACAUCACCACGUAUGAGGCUCUUGAAUCGUCCCCGUUUUACAAGAACAUAUAAGCAUGGGUUCUCACCUGCUAUUUCUAGCAGAGAAUGAGAAAAAGUAAUCAGCAUCCAUUGGGCAUCUACAGGUGCCAAGUAAUUUUACCGUCUCUCCCACUCAACAUGUUUUAGGUGCGAAAAAUUGAGUAUGCACCGGUAACUUAUCCAGAGUGGCCAUCUAGGUGAUGAGGCUAGGUUUGAAACCCUCGCUGUCAGCCCCUGCAUUUCUACAUGGACUUCCUCAGGAUAGAUAGAACAUCCUGAGAAACUAAACAAAAAGACAUGCUUGGUGGUAAGACUAUUCUGUUUGAAGACAUAUUUUCUUCCUUCCUUCCUUUCCUUCUCAAUACAGACCAACACAGAGAGACAGCCAUUCGUCCACCCCCAUAUGUAAGCUCAGAUUCUCUUCCAUUUUUCUUACUCAACAACAGCAGAGGUUCCAUUUCUCAGAUGCGGAGGUUGGGCUCUGUGACCGCACUUCUGAUCGUGGGCAGACCAUCAUGGUGACAGGAGGAAUGCAUCUAUACGUGCCACAUCAAAGCAUUGUGUAUGACCAAAUACCGGAACACCUUGGUCUUCCUCUUACCCAUCUUGAUGUUCGAAGUAAUUGCACUUACACCUGAAUUUAUUCUGAGUCGAUAUUGUAACUCGUUUUCUGGAUCUGUUUUUCACGUAGCGUUACUUAGUGCUUAAGUGUCUGUGCUUCUAUCUUGAUCAUUUCUCAAAUGCCUUUCUCGCCCAUCCUCUAUUACCGCCACUCUUCCCUACUGAGGUUGAAUCCGUGGUACAAAGUAGUAUUAUUGAAUGCCAAGUGCAAGUCAAUAGAUACCUCCGUGAAAACCAAGAGAAACAAAAGCUUACCACUUCCCGGUACUUGUUAAAACAUACUGAAACGGCUCGUGCGCAGGUGCCAAGGUCAAGGAGGUCAGCCCACACUUGAGCUCAGGCAUUUGAGUUUGUCAAAUGAGUCAGUCAGAUGGGAAUGUUGGGGUUUCUUGGCUGGAUGUGUGUCGCUAUUGCUGUGCAUAAGAGAUGUCUCUUUGCUGCACCAGCCUUUGCUAUCACGCUAAACCAUCAGUUUAAAGAAUGACGGAUGUCCUGAGUGCACUUGUCUUUACAAGAAGUUCCUUGCUUGCAGGGGCAAGUAAAUUUUGUGGAAUGUUUAAAAAAAAUUUUUUUUUCAUGUUUAUUUCUUUUGAAAGAGAGAGAGCAUGCGUGUGCACCAGCAGGGGAGGGGCAAAGAGAGGGAGAGAGACAGAAUCCCCAGCAGGACAGCACAGCUCUGUGAGAUCAAGAUCUGAGCCAAAGUCAAGAGUCAGAUGCUCAACCAACUGAGCCACCCAGGCACCCCCUGUUGAAUAUUCUUUAGUCUUCUCUUUCCUUUCCUUGUCUCUCCGUGAUUACCCGCUGCUUCCUUCAUGACUCCUCUGGACGCCUGCAAGAGGUAGGAUACUCUCUCCUUGCCGAUUGGCAAUAUCAGCACACACGCAGUUAUUUCUGCACCAUGCGUUUUCCCUACUAGAGCGGACAUUCCGUGCACACCCGCUUUCCGUCUUAUACAUCAUUCGUCUGCAGGUUGCUACAAUGGCUGGCAUAAACUAGGCACUCAGUAAAUAUUUGUUGAACGAAUGCAAGACAGAAUGAACAGGAAAUCACAUUCGCUUAUUUUGCCACAUGUUUGGCUUCCCUGAAACACGUGGAUUUUUUUCUUUUGAGUAUCUUUCAUGCAUACGGCCUCCCUGCCUUCCUCAGUCAAUAUGUGUUGGGCAUGUUUGAUGUGUCAGGCACUGGAACAUUUGCCAGCACGAGCGACACAUGAUCCCUACUCCCUUAGAAGGUCCAGAGUGGGUUGUACUGACCAUGCUCGUUCUGAGUCAGGCAGCCAUUCUUGGUGAGUCACCAGCCACUGUGGGUGGAGCCUCGAAGUGGCUGUUUGGGAGAGAAUGCGGAGGAGGAAGUCAUUACCCUGAUCUUGAGACUCUCACAGCCCAUGGGGUAGUGAAUGAAUAAAUACUUGACAUAUAUAAUAGAUGGCCUAGCCUCUAAGUUGUAAGGUACAUUAGAAAUGGCUAAGCUGUCUUACAGCGAUGGAACAAUGACUCUCCCCCAAUAUGAAAUCUCCCUGAUGCUUUUCAGCUAGUAUGUAAUUUAUAUUACACAUAUUUCUUUUGUACGCCUGUGUGCUCAACACUAGGCCAGGGCUGGGUACAUGGCUGUGAAGAAGGAAGGUGGGAAACUUGCUUCUAGAAGGCACAGGCCAAUGAGAGUGAAUAUGAGUGAGCAGAAGGGAGGGUGAGAGAGAGGAAGGGAAGGGAGGGGACAGUAAGAAAGGUAGAGACCUUCUUCUUUGGUCCCCUGCCUCUGGGUCCAAAGGAUUCCAAAGAUAGAUGGCUUUAAAAAAAUUUUUUUUUCAACGUUUAUUUAUUUUUGGGACAGAGAGAGACAGAGCAUGAACGGGGGAGGGGCAGAGAGAGAGGGAGACACAGAAUCGGAAACAGGCUCCAGGCUCUGAGCCAUCAGCCCAGAGCCUGACGCGGGGCUCGAACUCACGGACCGCGAGAUCGUGACCUGGCUGAAGUCGGACGCUUAACCGACUGCACCACCCAGGCGCCCCGAUAGAUGGCUUUAAAUUCAGGAACCUCAACUUUUCCCUUAGACAUUUUUUUUUUUCAAGAAAGAGCUUGAUAUUGUUGAAGUGACAGGAUGUGAGUUCAGUAGAAAUUCGAGAAAUGUCUAAAUAACUCCGGUAAUCUAGGUUAUUGGAGGCAGCCUAUUUUCAGGUAACUUGCUUAAUUCUGAACAAAGAUUUUCUUUUUUUUUUCUUCAGUAUAUGAAGUUUAUUGUCAAAUUGGUUUCCAUACAACACCCAGUGCUCAUCCCAACAGGUGCCCUCCUCAAUACCCAUCACCCACCCUCCCCUCCCUCUCACCCCCCAUCAACCCUCAGUUUGUUCUCAGUUUUUAACAGUCUCUUAUGCUUUGGCUCUCUCCCACUCUAACCUCUUUUUUUUUUCCUUCCCCUCCCCCAUGGGUGUCUGUUAAGUUUCUCAGGAUUUUCAACGAAUUGUCAGAGUCAGCCCCUCCAUCUCUACUCUGUAUACGCUAUCAACAUUUAAAAGAAAUUGUAAAAAAAUCUGUCCCCACUUUUACAAUGGCUGGAAGCAUUAGAUCUUGGGUUCGGUUAGUGCGUAUUUGCUUGGUACUUACUAUGUGUCAGGCAUUGUGCCAGGACCUCAAAUUCAUCACCCUCAAACCACUGACCUGGUGCUGCCAUUGAUAAUGGUUGGUUUUCCUUUCAUAAAAUAUAUUUCAAAGCGCCGCUGAAUGGGCCUCUAGACUCCAUUUUUUUUUUUUUUUUUUUUCUUUNCCCCCCCCCCCCCCCCCCCCCCGCCAAAAAAAAAGUCCAUCAUGCAUGUGUGUGAUUUUGUUUGAAUUACUAAAAGGAGUAUGGAGCAGAGCUGGAAUGACAUCAAAACUAAAAUUAAAACAAUUUGAGAAUUUCCAGAAACAUGACCCUGUUGAAUAGUCCUAAGCCACCACUUUCUCAGGCUCCUGUGGGGAAGACAAGCCAGGCCUAAAGGACAAAGAUCUGCCAUGAAAUUGCAGAAAGCAAGGUAUUUUCAUUUACAUAUUGACCUAAUGCUUAACGCCUAGCAUGUAAGGCUGGGCACCUUCACACCCAUUAUUUCAUUUCCUUCUCCCAAAAACCAUGUGAAACACAUCCCAUUAUUUUCAUUCUACCAAUUAGGAAAUGGGAGCUCUGCGUGACUGAGGAAGUCCCCCCAAACCAUACACCGUCCCCCCAAACCUGAUUGAGACAGAUAAAUACAGAUUCGUUGACUUAAAUACAGAUUUAUUGACUUCAAAGACCUUACCUUAGGUAGAAAUCUCUCUCACAAUAUUCUUAUUAAGGCUUAGAACCAUUUCUUGGUGACUUUAAGAAAGUCUUCUCCCUCUGAAGACUAAAGGAGGGGUUAAUUUGGUUUUGGAUUUUGUCCUAAAAACCUUUGGGUUUAUCAGAGGAUGCUAUCACUUGCAUUUUUUGGCUUGCUACACAUUGAAUGUGCUAGAGAGUCCCUCUUCGAUUCAACCAUCUGUGCUCUUGGCUUUUAAAUUCCAUGAAAAUGACUGGACACAUUCUUCUUAUUCUAUCCAUACCCAAGGCCAGAGGGAGACAUUCUAUUGGCUUUCUCCAGUAAUCUUUCCUCUUGUUUUCAGUAUCUGUUCCAAGGUCUUCAAACCAUCUUCCCUUUCGCAUGUGUAUAUGUGUUUCCUAUAUUGUUUCUCGUUAUUACAUUAUGUUAAUAUAAUUAUAACACAAAUGUAUUAAAACAUAAAAGCUGUGUAUUUUAAUCAGUAAGGACCAGUGCUCAGGGAACAUCUUCACUGUCGAUUUUAGUAAUUAAAGGAUAUAAAGAGCAAGGGCAAAUAACAAACAGCUUCUGAAUUUGAAAAAUAUCCAAUAAAUAGCCCAGGGACCCUUAAACAGCUCAAGCCAGCUUUGAAAUGUCCAUCUUAUAUGGUUUAUGUAUAGGCCUACAUAAAGGCAGGGAAUUGAAUUAGUCAUGGGCAUAGAAUUUUGCACCUUUAAGGAGCAUUUGAGAUCCAGCCCUAACAUUGUGGAGAAGGAAGUAAAUUCUGCAGAGGUUAGCGAUUUGCCCAAUGCCAAACAGGAAGGCAGAACAGGACCUAAAGCAGUGAUUCUCAAACUUUUACCUUUAGAUUAAAAAAAGAAGCAGAUUUGUUACUAGGCAGAAUCACAGUCCCAGGUCAUCUGCAUCAGAUCAGGGGCAGGGCCCAGGAAUCUGCAUGAUUAGGAAGCCUCCAGGGUGAUUUGGCAGCCGGUGGUGAGGCCACACUUUAAGAAACACUAAUCUGGAGUCUCGGCCUCCGGACAAUUUCUUCCCCAAGGACUCUGUUGCCUCCCUACCUUCAAAAACAUUCCAAACAGCAACAAGACUCUUUGUGAUUCACAUUAAUGCUCUUAUUUCAACAACUAAUUCCUGGUUGCCUCAUUCGUUGAGUAGUAAUUCUUUGACUCAGUAAGCUGCCAUCAGGUACCAUACAGCUGUGUCAGCAGCUCAAAAUACACGGAUUAGAACACAGCCCUGCCUCCAAGGAGCCGAGACUUCGCAAAAGGAGUAACAACUAUGUCUUGAACAUUUGCUUUAUGUGUGCUUCAUAUAGCGUAUCGCAUGCAUUCAUCUCCUUUCUCACCUGUAGGCAAGGCUGUACAGAAUCACAAUAUGGUUUGGGAGUUUUUCAUAUUUAUAGAGUCAUACCCAUUCUCCGCCCUUGUUCUUCCCACUUAAUAUGCCUUAGAAGUAUUUUCCUCGUUCUUUCUUUGGAUGCGUCUAGUCUUUCUAAUGGCUACGGAGCAUUUCUCAGUAUUGAUGGACCAUCAUGCCUUUAAUCAUUCCCAUAUUGAUGAAUAUCCGAUUGUUUAUAUUUUCUCUUACCGCAAAUGAUCCCGUGGUGGAUUCCAGAGUAAACAUUGUUACCCUCAUUUUUCCUCGUCCAAGGUCUCACAGCAGCAGAAUUGGGAUUCAAGGGGAGGCCUGUCUCAAAGCCUACAAAGUUUACUUUCUUUUCACUGUUAUGCCUUUUAAUAGUUUCGGUGGAAGGGCUUCAGUGCCGGAUGAGGUGGGUACUGGAGGAUCACCAAAAACCUAGCUGCUGAGGGAACCUCAGGCAGCGUCACCUGGAGAAGUGACAGUGGAGCAGACUCUAGAAGGCUUCUGGACAGAGAGGAAGAAAGCCACUCUAGGAAGCGGUGUUGGCUUAUUACAAACCAAUCAAUCACCUCCUAGAGGAAACCUGUAAUAACAGACUGGUGGGGAGGUUCAUAGAAAAAAGACAUGAUAUGUGCACAUCAGGAUCUUACAGUAUGAUUUGUGUGUGUGUGUGAGUGUGUGUGCCUGUGAGCACACACACACGUGUGAAAAAACACUGGACUAAUAAGCUACUGAGGAGAAUAUAAAUAAAUGCCUACCCCAGUUGGCAGCUUUGGCAAACGCUUGGAAAUGAGGAGGCUGUGGGCCUGAGUACAUGGCACGGCAAAGAAACUCACCCUCUUAAUAGCUUAGUUCCUCCUCCCGAAAUGAACAAAGUACUGUCUCGUCCCUGUCUCGUCCCUGCCUACUUGACGGGGAUGUUACAAGGCUUGGUUAAUUUCCGUAAAUGUUUUGAGCUCCUCUGAGGUGUGUGUUCUGUAAAUAGGAGGUAUUAAUAGCAGCCGUCAGAGCUGAAACAAAAGUGAAUCGAGCUACAGUCACUUGCUGAGAAGGAAACACAAAUGCCCAUAAAGCAUGAAGCCCACGCUGGGUCCAUCAUCACACUGACCCUCCUUUAAAAAGGCAGCCUGGAUCUCACAGAGGAAGGACAUCGUGGCAGCUCAGGCCCCGAUCUCAAGUGGGAAAAUGCAGGAGACUGGCUGGAUUUUCCACCAUUUAAUUUCCCAGCUGAUUACUAUGAUUAAGAGCCCAUCUGGCACAACACAUUUGUGAGGUAUGUGUGUGCGGGGAAGUGGGACUUUAGUGAAGGCCGAGAUCUAACAGAAAAAAAAGAAAAGAAAAGAAAACGCGCAGUGGAGCCAGUCCCAUUUUGGAGCCCUCUGCUAAGAUGUUUAAAUAGGAAUUUCAUUGUAUUAGUAUUAGUGAGGCCGUGAGGCCAUAUGCCGUAAGAAAGGCAGUUAGGGAGCGAGUGUUUCUCUUUCUCGAGGCUUUUAUGUUAGCUUAGCGCGGAUUUGGUGGUGCCUUUGUCUGCCAUGGGUCUGGAGGCUGCGAACAUGCUAAGAAGAAAAUCCAGCUCUGGGUUUCGGUGGCAGCACACCCAAUAUCUGUACCCAUAAGGUCAUGGCGACUACGUACGCGGUGGCUGGAGAGACGCACACUGACACUCGCGCACGGGGGUGGCGGUGCUAAUUUAGGACAGGGGGUACCCUUACUCCUAUACCUCCAAAGAAGGCUCUGAGCAGGGGGUGGAGGGAACCAUAUGUUAAGCCCUGGCAUCUUCAUGGCCCCUUCAGCGUAACUGCGCUUCCAAAUCAAUUCACAGGCAAGUCGGUCUCAUAAGCACUAAUAGGACUCACAGAUGUGCAGAAAAACCAAGGUUAUGAUGCUCAGCUGAACUCCCGGAUGGUACUUCCCGUAAUUUUCUGUUACCCGGGGGGAUCCUGUGUAAACCCAUUCCAGACGGGGUUGGUUUUUUGUUUUUUUUUUUUUAAUUGUAUCUUAUUUCUGAGCUCCAACCAGGGCUUCCCUUUGGCGGUCAAGGCUCCAAGUCUCCUUGAAAAUUCCUACCUCAAAGGUAGAGGCUCCUGACUCCUGUGGUCACCACUUCUGCCCGGGUCUGCAGGUCCACAAGGAAAACUCAUCAGUGACUUGAUCUUAAUCCCUCACUGCAUGGGCACAGGUCACGGAAGAACAUCUGGUGGCCCCUGACCUCUCAUGUCCGUUUGCCAAAUGUAUUAAAGCAGGGGUUACUGGAGGACCCAUCUGUAGGCUUCCAUGGUGGUGGAGGGCUAGGUGGUGGUCUGACUUCAGGAGAACCCGUAAGCCCUAUCUAUUUUGCUGAAAGAAGGAUAGAUGACCCCCCCCCCCUCCUUGAAUGGUUGGAAGAUCUCCAUCUUUACAGUAAGCCAUUAUGCUGAGUUUCUUUGGGCUGGGGCUAGGAGAAUGUCUGUCAUCUCAUCUCAGAAACGUGACAGUAAGUGUGGAGAAGUGUGACUUCUCCACAGGUUGGAAUCAAUACCUAAUUGCCCUUUGGGAGAUUCCCACCCUGUCUCUCAAGAACGUGCAUUUCCCAGCCCAUAAUGCGGCGUUGUGCAGAGAAAGCUAGAUCAAUAAGAGUGACAAAGUUUCUGAUGGGGUCCCCUUAGGCUUCCGUUUCUGAAAAGGGACUUUUACUUUAAUUACUUAGACCAGAGACUAAUGCUUUACCUUCUUGUAGGGCAGAAGUCCAUUAGCGACCCCAUGAAUUACAGUGAGAUCUUGCUUACAACGAUAAGGCUUCUUCAGGGCUCAGGUAUUUCUGGUGGACUCUGUCUGUUGCUGAGUAUCCCGAAUAAAGGGCAAGUCUACUGAUUUUAGGUCCUGUUCAGCCAUAGCUGUCUAACCUCCUAAUAGGAGGGAGGCAGGCAAAGCCAAUGACGUGGGCUGGCAAGUGUCCACAUCUCAUCAUGGCAGCUUCUCCUUGACCAUGAUUUCCCUCAUCUGGGUCCAGGAACCUCCCAAGCUUCCCAGGAGAAACGGUAAUGCCAAUCUAGACCAGUUGUAUCCUCUGGGGAGAAGUCUGUGUUGUAAAAUGGAAUGCCUCACGUGGAUUCUAAGGAGAAUCAGAUUAGAAUGAAUGGACUUGGCAUCCGGGGCUGCAAAGAAAUUGCUGUUUUUCGUGAUUUCUCUUGUCUUCAACAGAGACUUAGCGUCAGAUUUGCAUCUCUCAGUGACUGGGGGAAGAGGAUGAGAGUCGGUUUUAAUUUUUUUUUUUACCUUGCUCCAGUAAUUUAAAGUGUCCUCUAAAGGUUGUGUGAAUAAAAUGUGUAAGAUAAAAAUCAACCCGAACUCCUUUAUUAGCUAGAAUGUCCACAAAUAAUAAGAACGGUAAUACUUUCCAGAAAUCCCCAAAUUUCUCACACACAGGCUGCUGAACACCACCUCCCCAUUGUCAUGAGGAAGACCGGGAAAUGUUGACCCAAGAGGAGUUUGGGGUCAGUCAGGAACGGCAGCUACUACUUGGUAUAUGUUUCAUCAACCUCCUUUCCCCUUGGCAGUGGUAACUUACCAAAUGCUCCGAAAACUCUUUCCUACUGAGAUCAGACAGGAUUUCAGAAGCCUUUUAAGUUUGUACUCCAGACUGCCCCUAACAGUCCGUCAGAGUUGGCAUAAAGGGCUCAAUUUUUUCAAAAUAAACAUACGAAAAAGGUGGCAUCUUGUGUUCUUCAUGGCAUCACUAAAACAGUGCAGGAUGGGAUUUUGGAUUCAGUCUGUGGCUUUUGCCGACCUUUUCUGUUUCCAAAUCAUUUAGAUGGGAUUCACGAUUCAGCUUUCUACCCAUCCCACUCAGAUUUGUCCAUCACCCCCCAAAAAAUCACACCCAAAAAAUGGGAAGCAGGAUCCUGCAUUUAUGAGCCAUCCAUGAGGUGAUGUCUGGUCCAUAUUAAAUGUCAGAAAUAAAUAAUUGAUGUGAGAUGAAAAUACAGAGAUGUGAUUAUAUUAUGGAUAUUAAUCCUACCCAAGAAUAGCAUCUUAACCACUGUGAAUGCUCCCUGAGGGACACUAAUACUUUUUCAAUUAUACUUUGGUAACACUUGCCUUGGGAGUAUGUGGAAAAUGUGUAAACAUUUUACACAGGACACUUUGAAUUCGCUGUCUUCUUCAAAUCGUGAAUUUAUCCUCUCCUCAGUCCUGCCCCAUGUGUGAAAACAAAUAAAAAUUAAGUGAGCAGGAGCAAUUACCCCCAGGUAAUGGACAGAUGGACUCCAGUCCGGGUCUUGACAGACUAACAGCAUUUUGCCGAAUCAGGAGACUGUGGCCUGUCACUCAUGAUCAGGGUUACAGGAAUGCAUAGUCAGAUUGCCUUGACUAGAACACAGUGCUGGAGACCUUACUCAAUCUUCAUUGACUUCUGAUGCCAAUCUCCAUUAUGAGCAUUUGGUGACUUACUCUUUGGGUUUACCCAAGAUGGCAGUCACUAGAGUACUUCUGGCUGGGGUUUCCUACAUCUCAGGGUUAUGGGGGGCACACAGUGGCUGACAAGUCAGGCAGAAUGAGAAAAGGGGCACCAUGAAAUUCCUUCGGCCCCAUCUAGGACCCUCUCGCCGGUGUGGGGAGGGGAGGAGAAUCUUCAUUCCGAUGCUGCCGUCACAACAACACACGAGCUUUGGAAAAACACUUAAUUUUCCUCUAUGUCGGCUCUCUGCCGUAACGUGGAGUAAUAGUACCAACUGGGCUUAGGAGACCAUUACUGAACGAUGCGUAAAGCAUUUUGCAAUCUGAAGCAUUAGCUCAUAAAAGAUGGAGAGGCAAAACAUUCUGUUCCUUACCCUGUGUGUGGGGCAUCAGACUGAAUUUCAGGGUGGAGUAAGGGAAGGUCACUUUACAAAAUGUGAAAAAGAUGUGGUUUUUGAGCUCAAGGCUAGACAUGAGAGAUUUGGAUGGCACUACCUGUGUGUGUGUGUGUGUGUGUGUGUGUGUGUGUGUGUGUGUAUGUGUAUUACACACACACGUACCUAUACUUAUGUGAAAAAUCGAAGUUGUAUUUCUCUUACUUUGAGAUGUGUCUGGGCAGCAUUUGAGUUGGCCAGCCACUGUUAACAGGGCUACGUUUCUUCCUGCAUCUCAAAGAACGGAGGACUCGUUAGAGGUUUUCCAAUACGAUGUGAAAAUCGUGUUUUUUAUCUGAGAGUUCUCUGAUUGAAUUCAUUAUGUACCCGAUGCAGGCUCUCUUCCAGGCCAGCCCAUCCGUGUUGAUCAUUUGUUUAUUGCUAUCUUUCUUUUUCCACAAAGGAUUGGCAGGGUUGGUGGGAGGGCAGGUGGUGCUGUAAAUGAAAGAUAUCUAAUAUGUUUUCUGUUCUUUUGGGACUUUGAGAAAGCAGCAAGCCACCUUAUAAAGGCAGGCGUGUUUUUGGCCAUCUAGAUGGAGAAGGGUCUCCUCCAACUGUAGGACUAGUGGUUGCAUUGAUCCUGUAAAUUAGUUCUUCUUCUCUUCGAUGCUGUAGGAUCAUGGAGUGGCCCAGCAAACAUGUCUUCGAAUCAGGAUCGGGGUAAGGUAACCUUCCCAUUCCCAGCAGGCAGAACAAAUAGGCCAGCAGGCGACCGGGCAGGAUUUCCUGGGCUUCCCGAACAAGUGAAAAAAAUGCAGGUGUCACUCUCCUGCCCCCGGGGCCAACCAGGUCACAGGGUAAUUGCCCAGUGGCCUGCUGGGAUAGGCCCACUAGGGUCUUCUCGCUCAAGGUUCAUUUUUCAUUUUGAUUGAGUCAUGAUGGCUUAGUGCCACAAACAUCAGAGGAUAUGCCUGGUAGGGAAAAGGUCAUAAAGAACUCCAGUGAUUCCCGCCCCCCCUUCCCUAAAACCCGGGGUUCAUUUUCGUGGAGUCGUUUGGAAGGGGUGGGCCAGCAGAGCCGGUUGCUGGGUUAUGUCUUUUCUCCGCGAAUGGCAGCAGCGAAAUCUCCAUCUUGCUAGUUGAAGAGUCGCCUGGCUGCCUUAUUUCAACUGAGGCAGCACAGCCUGCUUUAGCUUUGAAGUGUGAAAACCAAAUAAAGGUUGGCAAGGAGAAGAGCUGGAAGCCGCAUAGCCUUCUCGGAGCCUGAAGAGACACGCCCAGCCCUGUGCACUGAAUGCAGAUGCUUUUCCCCAACCCCUUACUCACCCCUUGUCCCGUGUCCACCCCCCCCUCCGGGGGAAUUGUGGGCUCAAACAGCAGCAGGCUUGGUUGGUUGCCUCUUACUGGAGCUUUUCUGUUGUGGCUGGUGGACAGACGUUGUGAACUUCUCUAAUUUGGGAAGGGACCAAACAGAUGCUCGUCCUCCAACUCUCUUGGUGUAUGUCUUCCUAAUCUGCCCGUGACAGCGAGGCACGCGUGCACAUGCACGCACACGCACACACACACACACACACACACACAGGCCUGACUUUGCUUUGCCCCCAGCACCCUGAGUAAUGCUUUAGGCUAUUUAUUGUCUACCCCCUCCAUGUCCUAGGGAAGAUUUUAGAAAUUCUAAUACAGGAGGCUGAGAAAGGAAAAUAUUGGCUUCCACAGUACAAACAUCUCUGUCCUGAAAGGAAAUGUUAAUUUUCCCCUAAAUCAAAUGUUGACAUAUAUCAGCUGCUGCUAAAGAUGUGUCACUAUGAGAGAAGGGUCUCCGCUCGGGAGCCCGGAUAUUGGGCUGGGGUCUCUCCUCCGAAACGCUAACUGGUUUAGAAUCUAAACAGGUUUGGCUUGGAAGUUUUGCGAAUAGUUUCAGUUUGUUUUCGAAAGCCCAUCUCUCUGGGACACCCCUCCUGAGCAGGGGAGCAGGGAACAGGGUUCCACUUUGUGGAACACACCGUUUCUGCCUAAGCCUGGGCCCCUGCCCUGGUCUCGGCAGUGGUUCAGGCGCUGCUUACCUCUGCCAGGAAUACAGGAUUUUAACGGGAGGUGGGGGCGGGGAAGGCUAAGGGCACCGAGCAAGGAUGUGGUGCUGAGGCAAAGAGAAAUUUCCAGCACUAGGUGUCUUACCUGCUGCUUUCCUCCACUGCCCCCCAAACACACAGCCUCCGUAUUCUUCUGUGUUCAACACCUAUGUUUUGAAAAUUGCAAAUUGAGUUCCCCCACCCUCUCCCUCUGACUAGGCGCGCGCGCGCACACGUGCACACGCACGUGCGCGCGCGCACCCUUUUAACUCGUGAAGUUUGAAAGAUGAUGAUAUAUACAACCAGCGUGCUUUGCCAGUCUGCACGGUGAAGGCCAAGAUUAAUGCAGAAGGUUGGUGCAAUGUUGCCGCAGAGCAGCGUGAUCAGAAUACAAGAUGGAGCAGAGGGGGGAAGGCCAAGAAAUAUGUCUGCGCUUGGAGUUUACACGAGUCUCCUUAGCAACUUGUCUGAAUUUAUUUUUCCCUUAACGUGUGUGGGUUUCUUCCAAACCCGGAGUGAAACGGGAGUUGUAGCUCCUAACAGUCCUCGAUUUCUAAGAGGGUGAAAUCGUUUCAGUGGGUGGCAAGCCCUUCUCUCCCCUUGCCGGUUCUUCUCCCCCCCCCCCCCUCAGGAGGUGGCUCUGCUCCUUUGCAUUGUGACUUUGUGGACUGUUGGGAGCGUUCCAGAAAUUCUCAUCUCCACGGGGGAAGGAGAGAGCCUGUUUCUGAUGGCCACAGCUGUGCAGGUUUCUGCCACAGCCUCGCUGCUUCCUGUGCGUGUAGCUUAUGUGUCACUGCGCCUGUUUCUACGCCCGUGUGUUGUAAAAUAGGGAGAAGCCGUCCAGCUCCUUUCCUCUCGACUGUUUCUUGUCAUUUUUUUGGUCUUGCUCUCCUCCUUUUGCAUCUCUCACCCCUCUCCCCCAACACGCACGCGCGCACACACACACACACACACACACACACACACACAGCGUCCUGUAAUUCUAAUUCUAAUAUAAUAUAAUUAGAAUAUAAAGCUAUUUGGCAAAAAAAAAAAAAAAAAAAAAAAAGCCCUGACUUUUAGGAAUCUGGUACGUUGGAUUUUACGGGAUUGGGUUUAUUUCAGGGGAGACCACCAGAAAUAAUUACAGUGGUUUUACUUAAAAUUGCUUUCCCUUGAAAUAACUCUGGGGUAGUACAGUUACUGCCUCAUCGGCGCCGAUAUCGAAUAUAAAUCUUAAUAUUUCUUCUUCUUUGCCCCCUCCCCUUUUAGAGUUAGGGGAAAAAAGAAAAAUGAAACCUGGCCAAAAGACGUUAAGGUUUGAUUUUGGCUCUUUUACAAACAGAUGUUGCCUGUCAUUCUAUUGUUGUUAAGCAGGUACCAGAUUGGAGCGAGCAGCAGUGUGUGUGUGUGUGUGUGUGUGUGUGUGUGUGUGUGUGUGUGUGUGAAAAAGAGAAAGAAAAAAAGGAAGUCUGGGGGAGAGGAGAGAGUGUGUUGGGUGGACAGGGGGCUGAAAGGCAAAAAGAUUGAUUUCAGGACGAGUUGACAGCAAGAAGUAGGUGAUACAGAUUAAUACUUCCCCCCCCCCAACUCCAACGUGGUAGCAAUGGUAUAAAAUCGUGCUCUAUUUGGCUGUUUGCUGUUUCGAAGAAAGAGGGAAAGGUGGAAAUCAGUCGACGUGGAGAGCCUUAGCUGGGAAAACCUGGCCUCUCGUAGGCUGAAAUGGAGGCGAUUGGUUGGGUGUUCAGAUGUUCCCUCUGAGUAAAUGCAAACCCUCCAGUAAGGCAAAGGUCUUUCUGUUUGAGCUGAACUUAGUUUCUUGCGUUUGGUGUUUGUAGGCAUCCUGGUAGAGGCUCCGGGGCUCCCUUGUACUUUUCCCAGAACAAGCAUCCCAUUGUUAGAGUCCGGGUUUUAAGGACAUCCUGACUCUUUACAUAUUGCACAUCUCUUUUCUCGCAGGAUCCAAGUGAUUUUCUUCUCGGUUCCUUACCAAGCCUCUCUGCACCCUCACUUAAUUCGCAGCUUCCUAAUCGAAUUGUGGGCUGCUUUCUCAAGAGCAAAGCAUAGCUUUAAAAGAAAAGUGUUAACAUCGGCUGGCAUGUAGGAAACCUUGUGCAGCAUGUAGUUCACUUAUCUGAAAGAAAUGACAGACAUCUGAUUUUUAAAAAUAUGUAUCUCCUGUCUCCAUAUCAGAAUCCGGGUCUUCUGUAUAUAUAUAUUUUUUCAAAUUGUGGUUUAAGAAACCUUCCUGGCUUUAUUAGCAAUCUAGCUAGAAAGGAAGUUGUAGGCUGGCAUCAUUGUUUGCAUUUUAAAAAAGGAGGAAAAAUUGUCAUCCUAAGCAAACUUCUUGCUUUCAAAAGUGAAAGUAGUCUCCUUAGCCAGCUGCACACGAAAUAACUUGUUACGGGCAGCCUCUUUCUCUUUUGUUUCGUCGGGUGUGUCAGAAGCAAAUUUGCCUCCACUUUCUCACCCUUAAAUGGUUGAUCUCUGUUCCGCUUCUAUCCAGGGCGAACCUCGAGUGGGUUCAAGAUGGUUUGAGGAGCGGGCUGCUUUUUUGUCAUUUAAAAACAACCUGAGGGCAUCUUUUGUUUUUGUCCAGUCUUUCUUAUUCUGUCCCACCAUUUGCAUGUCUUUGUUCUUUGGUGGACCUAGCCAUACUUCAGUUUUCAUUUUCCAUAAAAUACUAAUUUUUUUUUAAUGCGGGGGGGGGUGUGAUAGGAAGAUUAUCAAUAUCAAUUUCUAGUUUUCCCUGCUCCCGAAAGGAACACGAAAACGAAUGCGUUGCCUUGCCAGUCCCCUCCCAACUGCUCCCUUCUGGUCAGUUUUUCCUGGGCAGAGUAGAAUUAAUUCUACCUAAGCUAGCUGGCUUUGGUGCCGGUGCCUUUGCACCGCAUACUAGAGAGCCGCUCCCACGCCGGGUCUGGCGUCCUGGUGGCAGUAUCGCAGGUGGAUGGAGCGUGGUGUGACGCGUGGCACCAGUGAAUCACUCUUGGCGCAGCAGUUGCUGGAUGUGCCUUUUUUGUUGUUGUUGAGGUGAUUGGAUCCUUCCUACAGAAAACGAGGGCUGCAGAGGGUGAGAGAAAAGACAUCAGGAAAACAGAAAACCCAUAGGGAGACCAAAGACUAGCUGUCGCCCCUGCCUCAUGACGAAUGCCAAAGGGUAGAUUUGAGUCUUUUUUUGUUCUUUUUUGUCUUUUCACUUUCUCUGUUUCGUUCUCUUCUCUUUCUUUCUUGUUCUGUUUCUCUUUUUCUUUCGCUCUCUGCCUCCGUUUCUUUCUUUCUUUCUUUCUUUCUUUCUUUCUUUCUUUCUUUCUUUCUUUCUUUUUCUUUCCUUCCUUCCUUCCUUCCUUCCUUCCUCUUUCUUUCUUUCUUUCUUUCUUUCUUUCUUUCUUGUCUUUUCCUUUCUUUCUCUUUCUCUCUCUUUUACUUUUUCUCAUCUUUCUUUCUCGUCUUUUUCUUUCUUUCUCUUUCUCAUCUCUUUUUCUUUUUUUCCUCAUCUUUCUUUCUCGUCAUUUUCUUUCUCUCUUUCCUUCCUUCUUUUCUUUCUUUCUUUCUCUUUGUCUCUUUCUCAUCUUUUUCUCUUUCCUUUUUCUCACCUCUUUCUCAUCUUUUUCUUUCUUUCUCUCUUUCCUUCUUUCUUUCUUUCUUUCUUUCUUUCUUUCUUUCUUUCUUUCCUUUUUAAAAAGUUCAGUUGAAUUUUUCUGUCCCCUCAGGACAAAGAAGGUCUGCAGAGAGUCUGUACAAGACGUACAUCUUUAAAAAAAAAAAAAGGAGGGUGGAGGGCAGGGAGUCUUUCUGUUGGUGUCGUUCUGCUGACAUCACCAUGGAUUUGGUGUUCAAGUCCACAGGCAGGCAAAACUCAAAUACAUUUUCCCUUUUGCAAGCAGCUGCACAGUGAGUUUGCCUUCCAUUAGUAAAGGAACAAUGAAGGAAAAGCAAACCCAGCGUCUAAAACAUGGCCAAUGAAAGAACGUGGGAAAGGAAGCCAAGAAUCCUGCUGUGGUGGAAGAGGGGAUGGACUCAUGAAUUCUCCACAAUAAGAUAUUUUACUUCUUUUUAACAGCCCCAUCAGCAGAGAGAAAUAAUGACUCCCGAAACAGUUCACAAUCAAAAGUUAAAACGAUGUUUCAGUGAUGCUACAUCAUGCCAGGUAAUGAUCACCCAACUUGAUUGUACCUUGACCAUUCUUAAUUAUUGAUAGCCUGUCUCUUAAUCAUGUGUAGCAAACGAGCGGUUUGGUAUAAAACAUGGGAAUUUGUGAGUAUUUUAAGACCUCACAUUCCUGUUUAAUCUUUUUUUUCUGGUAGAAUCGUUCUCAGGGUUUGUCGAUAGCCAGGGAAAUUCCAGGAAAAAUGUGAAAGUGACUUAUAUGCAGAACCUUUGUGCCCUGUAUAGUUCUGGAAAUGAAGUAAAAAUUAGGCUGCCCAGUGUUUUUCUCGGAUUAUUUUUCUGUCAAGGUUUGGGUGCCCUUUUACUCUUAUUCUGGUGUUCAUUCUGAUUUAGCUUUUAAACAAGAUUUGGGUGGCAACAAGAAAUGAACCAAAAAAACAAACAAAGAGCCUUGAUCCAGUUAAAAUAAUUUUAUUUUCCAGACGCAGGGCUAAUGGUUGGAAGAUACUGGCCUAAUAAGGUGGCAGCGAACUUAAAAAAAUAGGAUUUCUAAGGAGUUACUUUUUUCAGGUAAUAGCGUUUUCCUAGAACUUUCCCAAACCUUCCAUUUCCUCAAGUACUGCCCAUUUUUAGGGCAUGCCCGAAUGAUUUAAUUAUGAAGCAUAAUUGCAUUUUAAACUCGAUUUUUAAAACUAGCAACCGGUUUUAUAAUAUUCAUGGCGAAUGAGUAGAGCGGACAUGGCAUUCAACUGUAUGGAAUUCAGCGGAAAAAACGUAAAGUUAUUACUUAACAGUGCUUACUUUCUUUUGACAAUGAUUUAGGCAGAACUCAUUUGAAACCAUCAGGCACUGUCCUUAAACUCCAUGGCUAUCUUGGGUAAUUGAAUAUAAAAAUGUAAAUAUUAGAAGAUUGUCUCUAAAAAGCCUACCGUGCGCUCUGAAUUCCUGGAAGAUAGAGCUUCUGUAAAUUGCAUCAUAACAAUAUUGACAUUUCAACUUCAGUCCUAGAUUGGUAAUACUGUAUGGCGUGUAAUGGAACUCUCCCUGUACAUGUCUAGUGGCUAAGAUUUGAGCUCAGCUCUCAUGAUAUAGGUAGUUUCCUUAUAGUGUUAUUGCAGGACUUUGUGCCACUUAAAAAGGUUUAAUAACAUAAAUGAUAUAUCGCUUGAUAAAUUACCUUACCCUGAUUUGCCAUUGUUCAUAAGCAUCAGCCUACAUUUUCCAACUUAAUUACGAGUAUUAAUAUGUAAGAGAGCCCCACAAAACCUUGCUUAAUAAAGCAAGCCAAAAUUUCUUCUGAAAAGAACAUUUCUUUUCCUCCUUAGCACAGAGAAGCUUCUUGAAGGAGGUAUUCAAUUCAUAUUUUGGAGAAGCUUUCUACCUCCAAACAAACCACACUGCUAGGAGGUCAGUAUUUGACUUAAUUCUUUUCCCCCUGCAAUCUAGGCAUCUUCUGAUUUGUUUUUUGUUUUUGUUUUUUCCGAAAUUAAAACUGUGGAUUGUUUGGAAGCUAACAAUACAAACUGUUUGGAAGGAAUAGCUUCUCUCUGUCCUAUAUUUACCAAAGAGAGAGAGAGAGAGAGAGAGAGAGAGAGAGAGAGAGAUGCCCCCAAUGAAAACAUAGCAUUGUGCUCCUUUCUGUGGGCUUUGAAGGUGCACAUUUAUGAAAACGGCUCUAAUUGAAUGACUAAGUAUAACACUUUGACAGAUCGUCUUUCAUUCAUUGCUAACAAGUACUGCAUUACAUCUUUGUAAUGAACAUGAAAAUGACAGUUAGCCCUCAUCACUCGGGAAGCCUGGGCCGAUUCCUUCCUAUCUGAGUGAGAGCUCCUAUGUCACCCGUGUUCCAGUAAUCCUGAACAGUGUGCAGGGCACCCAUCCUCAAAUGCCUCUGGUCAUUUGUGCCUUUGUCAGAGAGAGAUCAAAGGAAGAGCAGAGGCUUAGAGUUUAUUUUAAAAUCUUUCAUUUUAGAAAGGAAAGGAGCAUUUUAAGAUAAUAAAAUAAAGCAAAGACCCCUCGGAGGUGAUUGGUUUGGAUCCUACUUCUUUCCACUUGCUACCCUGUUGUUUCUUUGGAUCUCAAAGUCAAGCCAUGGAACUGCAACUAAAUUCUCAGUCUGGGUAACCUUCACGGCACCAGUGGGCUGCAAGUGGUCAUACCCACAGUUCAGUCCUGAUGAAACAGACAGACGAUGAGGUAUCUGUGAAUGGUCGCAUCUCAGUCCCUGUUGGCUCUGCCAUUGGUCUUAUGUUCUCUUGUUUUCACCUUGCAGGUCAUGUACAUAAGGGCCUGCUCUUUUCUCUAAAUAGUCCCCAAAUCCAACUCUGUCUUUUCCCGGAUUCUUGAGAAAGGCCAGAAUGCUCACAUGUCGAGGCCAAGGAGAGAGUUUUUUUUAUGAGAUCCAGGAUCUAUAGACACUGCUAACAAAAAUUAAAAAGGCCUCUUUUUAGGUCAUGCCAAGGACGGUGGCGUGUGUUUUUCCCAGUUAUCUAGGGAGGGGGAUUAUUUUGCUUUCCAUGAUGUGUCCUAGAAGUGCUUAUGAUUAAGACCGUGUCUUCCGUAAAAUUCGUAAAAGAAGCCAUUAAUGAAGCUUCGUUGCCUUGGAUUCCCAUUCUUACAUGUGGAACAUUGGUUUGGGAGAAGGAAUGUUAUAUUGACAAGUGAAAUCAUUUAUAUUUGUAAGAAGGCCUCAGAAACAGGUCCGUUGUCACAUCCUUGAAAAGUUUUGCGGGGGUCAGGGGGGGACAAUUAGCGAUUUCUUUUCCACUUCAAAUUUUAUAAAAUAAGCCCAAACUUGCUCUGUGUUCAUGUUUGUACCAAUAGUGGGGGUGGGGUGGAAACAAAACCAUAAACUUUUCCUAAAGAUGAGUCUUUCAAUUUAACGUAGCUAGAAAUCUCUUCCAGAAGACUUUUCAGAAAAUACUUAUAAGCCUGUUCGUGGUGCUUGCCAGUUUAUUCUACCUGUUUUCCAGAAUGCAAAUAGAAAAGAAAAAACUCAGCAUCCUUGUUCAUGUAAUUACAGGCAUUUAAGAGGAAGAACUUCCAUUGGGGAUUUCAUGUGUUUCUCUCUUUCUCUCCCUCUCUCUCCUGCUUAUAAUUUGGUACCACUUUGCCCAGAUUUCGUGUUACGGUCUGAAUAAAUGAGUCUUCCAUAAUAUUAAACAGUAACCUGAUGAAAUUUACAUAAAGCCUAGUGUAUCUGUGGAAUAAGUAAAAACAGAAGGACCUGCGUGAGGGAUAACACUGAGGAUGCUGCUUAGCCUUCGCAGCAAAGUUUCUUUCUUUCUUUCUUUCUUUCUUUCUUUCUUUCUUUCUUUCUUUCUUUCUUUCUUUCUUUCUAAGCUUAUUUAUUUUGAGAGAGAGAAAGCACAUGUGUGAUCAGGGGAGGGGCAGAGAGAGAGGGAGAGAAUCCCAAGCAGAUUCUGUACUGUCAGCGUGGAGCCCGACGUGGGGCUCAAUCUCAUGAACUGUGAGACCAUGACCUGAGCCAAAAUCAAGAGCGAACGCUUAACCGACUGAGCCACCCAGGUGCCCCUAAACUUUGCCCUUCUUUUUUCUAUUAUUUUUUUAAAAACCAUUUAUUGAUCUGGGGAGAGUGAAAGCAGGGGAGAGGCAGAGAGAGGAGGACAGAGGAUCCGAAGGGGGCUCUGCGCUGAGAGGGUGACAGCAGCGAGCCUGAUGCGGGGCUUGAACCCAUGGACCGUGAGAUCAUGACCUGAGCCGAAGUUGGACGCUCCACCAAUUGAGCCACCCAGGCGCCCCCUGACCUUUGCCCUUCUAAGAGCAGGAUGAAUUCUUCCAAUUUGGGGCAUCGAGUAUUAGAAUGGCAGAAUCUCUGGUUGGAUUAAUGGCUUUAACAUUUUAUUUUCAGACAUCUCAGACCCCCAAACGAGAGAAGAUACUGAGGCCUGUUGCCACAAACCCGUAGAUCCGAACUUGUGGUGAUAGUCCACACAAGCUUGUGUCUAUAGGUAUGUGUCUGUUAGGCAACCUCACAGACCGCGCGUGGGCUUUGCCUGUAUGCCACUCGAUUCCCCUUCCGAUCCCUUUAAUCCCCCCUCUUCUCCUUAGGGUCCUUUAAGAGUGGUAGAAAUGGAAAGAAGGGCUGAUACGGAGGAAAGAGACCUUUUGUUCUGAGAUGGAUGGGACUCUUCACCGGUGAACUUAUAAGCUUGCGCUCAAUUCCCUUAGCUCUUGUAACUCUCCUCAGCUAGCACAUUAAGAGACCAGGCUUGCCGGUGAGGCAGCAAGAAUUUGGGUGACUCAGACAGCUUACCGUUGAGUGGUGAGUAAAUAGACAUAUAAAGGAGGGUCUCUUAUUUUCUGGAGGCCUAAUUGUUUUGAAAGUCACUAUUAUCUUGUGGGGAAACUGACAGAAGCUUGUGUACAAGACCCAUCGCACCCCGGUUGGACUUGUACCUUGUGGCAAGUCUUUCUUCCCCAUUGUUCUCGAAUCAGUCCUUAUCGUUAAAAAUAAAAUUAAUGGGGGGGGCACAAUGGAUUGCUUAAGUAUUUAUACUUCUGUAAAUAGCCUGCACUGUAAGAAAAAGAACUUUUUAUAAAAAAAGAAAUCGCCUGUUUAGGUCUAACUUCAUAUUUGGCCAGAGUUGUAUUGUAAGUCUUCACAUGUUUUAAGAGGCUGGAAUGAAAAUAAUUUUAUCCCCUUGCCUCUUAAAUGUCACCAUUGUGCCAGGAUUGGAAAGCCAAACUGACCACAGAUCAAAGCAAAAGUGGCUAUAUUUGUCUCAUUCCAACAAUGUGAGCUGAAGAGUCUGUAAACAGAACCCAGGGUGAAAAGUUGAUCAGAUUUGGAUGACUCUUAAACUUUUGCAUUCCCUUUUUGUCAAACAUGGUGCCGAGAAUUCCCUUAAGACCUGUGUGUGUGUGUGUGUGUGUGUGUGUGCGUGCAGACUCUUCUAUCCAACGAGUCAACAUAAAACAGUUAUUGAUUUACCAUCAACAAGAAGCUUGAAAUUCAAAUGGUAACAUUUCAUUUCAUUAAACACUCUUUCCUCUUAAGAUCCACACUCUUCCGGGAUAGUAGAACUCGUUCUUCUAUUAAGUAUAUAAAAAUGAAAUUUUGUAUGUUGGAAUUGGGAAGAUCUCGAUAUAGAUCACAUAUGUUUAAAGGGGAGAAUAAACAGUUUGCCAGUGCUGUACCCAGAGGAUAUGGCGGGCAUGCAUUUCCUUUGUGUUUGCUUGGCAUUGCAUCGAGGAGGGUUGUAGACCUCAACUUUCAGCUUGCCAAGAAACCAUUACUUUAUUAUGGAAUGAUAGACCAUUAUAGCCCGAAGAGAAAGAUUGUCCCCAUUGGUGUGUAUCAUGUCUAACUGUUUGCCCAAGGCCUUUAUCCACUCAUUAAGCAAACAAUCUACUUGGUUGGUUUUACCUACUUCUUUGAAGUGGUUGACUUAGAACGGAUAAGCUGCCAGCAAAUUAAGCUUGUACCUUCCCUGGAUAAAUAUGUAUUUAAUAAAGGCAAAAUCACAUCUCUACACAUCAUCCCUUUAACCUGCCAUUAAAGUGUGUUACCAGGGGGCCAAUGGAGUUCAUGAACCCAAGGAGACAUUAGCUGCCUAUAGUCUCUGUAGAGAGACAACAGAAGGACCACAGGAUGGCCGCUAGGUGACUGCCAGGUUGUUUGCUUUUUCUUUCUUUCUUUUUUAAUUUCUUUUUAUUUUUUUUUUUUACUGCUUAUUUAUUUUUGAGAAAGGGAGAGAGACACAGAAUCGGAAGCAGGCUCCCGGCUCACAGAGCAGGCUCAGGACAGAGCCCGACACGAGGCUUAAACUCACAAACUGUGAGAUCAUGACCUGAGCUGAAGUUGGAGGCUUGACCAGCUGAGCCCUGUAGGUGCCCCCGCCCCAGGUUGUUUCUUUUAAGGAGGUUUUUAAAACCCAUUACCCCAAGUAAAAAGAGUACACAGAGAAGUCAGUCUAUUCAAAGUUUCUAAAAGACUGACGAUGUUAUUAUUUGAUUCAUCGGACUAGAAAAUAUUCUAGUGGAAAGCCCAAAGCCCCUGGACAGUGGCCACAAGAAACAGGAUAUUAAAUAUUUUACAUGAUGAUGCAAUUCAGUGUUUUUCCCUCCUUCCAUGUUCAUGAAUGAAUGGUCCUGUAGAUAUUAAUUAUUCCUUUGGGUCUCCCUCAGAGUGGACCAAAUAUUGUACAGGAAGCUGCAGAAAGUAAAAUGAUUUCAACUUUUCCCCAGAAAGACUCUAAAAAUAUAUUUCAGUAGUCAUUAUUGCGUGGAGAUAUAGAGAGAAUGAGUACAAAAGAAAGUAGAUUUAUUAAAAUCUUCAAAUCAUCAGGUAAGCUAUCUAACCCCAGGAUAUAGUUUGGUUUUUAAAGAAAAACACAGAAAAUUAUAAUUCUUAUUACAAGAAUUGCUUUUGAGAAAGCAACUCAACCCUCACUACCAGAGACUGGGGAGAGAGGGGGAGCUAAUAUUUAGUUUUAAAAGAGUUUCUUGUUUUUAUUCCAAAAUGAAUAAAUGAAUUUUUCUACGUGGGAAGAAAAUGGUAUUCUGGGAGAGAAUUAACUUUGAAUUUUAAGUUAAUAUGAUUUCUUAUUUUUCAAUGUGCUUACCAAUAAUUCCCUACUAUUUCUUAGGUCCUGUGGAUCUUUGUCUGCUGACUAUGGUAUUUAAAUACCUCAUCUGAUGUCCCCUAGCCUCUCCAACUAAGAUUUUUUUAAGUUUUAUUUAUUUAAGUAAUCUCUACACCUAAUGUGGGGCUCGAACUCACGACCCUGAGAUCAGGAGUCACAUGCUCUUCUGACUGACCCAGCCAGGCACCCCUCUAAUUUAGGUUUUUAAAGCUUCUCACGCCUGUCAUAGUGCUGAAAUUUUUACAGAGAAGUCAAUACGAAUGACUCUUAAAACAUUCCAAAGAUUUAUUAACACCGAACAUGGUGCUCAAUAAAGCUUAAGUUAGAAUAAGGCACCUUGUUUAUUUUGGUAGAGCCCAAAAUUGGGAGAUUCAUUCACUCCUUCAUUCAACAAUCUUUUGUGAAUGCUUACUAUAUUCAGUGUUCUGUGAAACGGUGAGGAUAUGACUCUGACUUCACAAAAUUGUUUAUUUGGUCAGGAGCCCCUUUGUGGUACUGCAUGUCAGUUAUACUGAUGCAUAUUUAAUGAAUCACAUGGUUUAAUCACGAUAGCUGUCCAGCUUCCCAAUACCUAAUCGAUGCAGAGUAUGUUUACUAAUGAGGGGCCCCUCCUUUUCCAUCAUCUCAGACACUUGUAACAUUGUUUCAAGUUCAUCCUCACUGUCAUUUGAGGGGAUUGCAGUGUUCAACAGACCGAGAGUCUGUUGGCGUGUAUUCAGAAUACCUUUGGAAUAUAUUUUUUAAAGUUAUAGAGUACUGUCGAUUCUCUAUACCUAAAGAUCUAUAACUACUGUUCUUCUAUAAAUGCCACUUUAUUUUACUUUAUUUUAUGUUUUACUUCCUCCUUUCAAUAAGACUUUUAUGACAUCAUUCCAUAUCAUAAUUGCAUGUUGUUAUUGCACGCCUACAAAUAUUUACACUAAUUAUGUAAUGAGCCAUAAUUGCACUAAUACAUGAUAAUGGGCUAAAAUCAGUGUAAAUAAACAAGGAAAUUCACACAACCAAAAGAGCAGGGUAUUGAAAACCAUUAGUAUUCUAGCAGCAACAUCUUUUUGUCUUUGACCUCUAGAAAAAUAUGAAUUUUUCUAUCUCCAGAUAUUUAAAAGCUCUAUCAGCUAUACAUUUAGGCCAGUAUACUAGCAUUCUGGUACAUUGAAUCUUACCCUGUCUUUGUUCUAUCACCUCUGGCUAACUCUUACUGGUUCCUCCAUUGCCUUGCUUUCCAACUCAUGAGGUUAUAUCUUGACAGUGUUUACGGAAUCAGGCAAACAGUCAGUGCAAGGAAAAUGAAAGAAAUUCAAAUGUAAACAAAAGAAAAUGACUUACAUUUUUUAUAGUGUCCCAGUGAAGAUGAUAUCAUACACAUAAUUGAAUAUCUAGAGAGAGGACUCUCAGAUACUCCUUGAAUUUCCAUAUGAGAUCCAGGACUUAAGGCAGACUGGCCAAAUUGAAUUCAGCCAUUCUGUGAUUUUAUUUUAUUUUUUAACCUUACUAUGAAGUUACAAUAGAAGUAGAAGGACAAGAGACAUGACAUAAAAAUAAAAAUCACCUGGCCCUUAUCUUUAGGUUCAUUCAUACUCCCAACUUUACCCAUUCAUUCAUGUACUUCAGCUUAUAAACAUAUUUUUAGGUCUCUACUAAGUGCCAGGUAAUAGGUGUGCAGUUAGGAUUAAAUUUGCAGGGGUGAGUAGAACAGCCCGUCUUCAAAUAGCUCAAGGUAUAGUAAAGGAGACAGAUAGGUAAAUGAUAAUGCAAUAGUGUCAGGGUUAAAUUAGGAAUGUGUGUAUGGAAUUAUGAAUGACCCAACAAGAAUGCUUUGAAUUGAGGCUAAGGAUGAGUGGGAGUUUGCUGGGUAAGACCAACUUCCCGGUCUUUCCUCCAGACCAGGUAGCACUGAUCUAAGAGAGGCAGCCUCCUCCAAAAAGGCAGCCCCACUCCCUGAUACCAGCAUCAGGGAAUGGGGCUGGAAAAAUUGAGAAAACGGUCUCUCUCCAGGUCAGUGCAGCAGCAUGAUGAAACAUGAACUGUACAUCAUUUGGAUCUUUGUUUUUUUUUUUGAAUCAGCACCCUAGAAUUAUUACUCUUUUAUUCCCCAUGUGCUUAGACACUCCUCCAUCUCAAAAUGCCUGGGCCCAGCUCCUGUGUGGAACAACCUUUACCAGGCAAACACCAGAGUCUAGCUAAGUAAGCUAUAAGGAGAGGUGGCCAUCUACAGACCAGCGAGCAGCCUUCACGGGGUUGUACAAACCUGAUCAAACAGGAGUUCACAUGGAAACGGGAAGCCAUUGAGCUUGUAAGAGUCUUUCUUGCUGCUCUUAGCAUCAAACUGGGACUGAAGAUAAAGGAAAGACCCAGUUUAAAAAUUAAAAGCAAACAGGGAAAUUCACUGUGUUCCUUUAUAAAGAAAAAAAUUCAGUCUAUACAUUGCUAAGUAAACUGUUGGGGACAGAAUUUCUUUAAAAAAAAAAGUGCUGAGACAGUCAACUCUGGAAGGAGGGGGGCUUUCUCAGAUAUGCGAAUUAUGUAAUAUGAUGAAUACUGUUGAGUGAAUAUUCCCCGUAGCUUCUAUAUUAUUUUCCCAUCUCUGCUUUGCUCACAAACCUGUUUCCUGUAACUUUUCACCAUGUUUUGGCUUAAGCUCUUUCCCCUUAUAUACCUUUAGAGAUCCCAGUUGUCCAGUUUCACAAUAGAAAUGUUUGUUUUCCUAACUCUUUUUCCGGUUGUUCAAGUUUAAAUAUUGGUCUACUUUUAUAUUCUGUUAACAGAUACUGGAGGACAUUAGCUUGAGCAGAACAAAUGCCAUUAUGUAACAUUACCCUAAUUUUCAGGCACAAAUUACAACAAGAAAACCAAUCCUAAGUAUUUCCUCCCUUCUUGUAUGCACAGUAAAUCUCAAGCCAAGAUUCUUGUGUUAUUUUCUCUAGCGUCAGACCCUUUGAGGUGUUGUCUCUUGUACAUGGCCCAGAGGGAUGACAACACGAAGAAUAAUUAUAAGACUAACUUCUAAUUUCAUUGCUUAAGAGAUGGUAGCUUUCCAGCCAUUGUGACUGCAUGUGCCCAGGUUGAGGUAGUAGGUUGUAUAGUUUAGAAUUACAUCAAGGGAGAUAACUGUACAGCCUCCUAGCUUUCCUUGGGUCUUGCACAAAACAACAUGCCGAGAACGAUCAUGAUUCCUCCGGGCCUUUUUUUUUUUUUUCUAGGAAAGCCUAUGAAAGGUAAGAUUGGGUACAGUUAUUUUAUUGGCGUUUUAGGAUUGAGGUUUUGUUUAAUUCGCGUACCCAUGCUGUAUUUUCGUGUUCUGUUUCUUUGGGUUGGAUUUUGUUUUACCAAAAACGUGAGACUUUGAGGGAUUCAGCAGAUCAGUUCUCCAUCGCCACAAUAAUGCUGCGUAAAUAAACAACACAAAACCUCAGGGACACACAACAAUAAACAUGUUUAGCUCGUGAGUCUGGGGGUCAGUGAUUUAGAAUGGGCAGUUUUGCUGGUCUUGGCUGAUCUCAUUCAUUCUGUCAGCCGUAGGACGGGGUCUCUAGGAUGACUGAGGCAGUUCAGUUCUGUUCCAUAUGACCCAUCUUCCAACAGGUUAUUCCUAGCAUGUUCUCCUGAUAAAGGCAGAGGAACAAGAACAAGAAGGAGCCAAAAGGCUUAGGUAUUUUGUGAACUUCUGCUUGCUUUAUGUUUGGUAAUAUCUCAUUGGGCAAAGGAAGUCACAUGACCAAGCCAGGAGCCAGAGGAGGAGGCACUACAAAAUUUCUUGGCAAAGGGCAAGAACUCAGACACACACAGCGAAUUGGGACCAUUUUUGCAAUCACAUUGCACUUUCUUGGAUUCAAUCAAACUGAAAGUAAUUGUGCACCCUGCAUUCUUGGAAGCUCCAAAAAUCGAGGGCCAUGUUUGUGAAUUCACAUUUUGGAUUGGGGGCUAAGCUGGUCUUGGUCUGAAUGUUAUGUAUAUCUCUGUUAAUGAGAUGUGCUCCAACCAACUUCUGUGGGCAAUUGCCAAGACACCGGAAUUGUAAUGAUGUGGGGAUCGACUAAGCUGGAAACAAGCUCGCAGUCAUUUCAUGGUGAUAACCAGUGUCACGAAAGAUGGACAUUUUGCUUGACCUAGGGCGAACUCACACAAUCUACACAGACCGCACGGGUGGCAAAGCAGCACUAGAAUCCCAAGUCUGUUGACCAGGAUGGGGUUGCUCCAAGCCUAGACACUUUGAACACAACAUGCGAAGAUGUAGUCAGAAGUGCUUAAUGGGUUAUUUCAUCCAUGUUAUUACUUUCUGGUGUUUUAAUAUACAACAUCUGUAAAAGAGAAUGUUUUUUGCACAUUUUAGCUCUCUCUCUCUACUUCUCAGCUACACUAAAAAAGAGGCGAGACCCCUGUGUCACCAUUUUGAUUCCAUGCUCAGAUAUCUUCAUGGUGAUUUACGGUGAUUGUUACGUUACUAAGAGGUUCAAGGAUAAGUAGCUCCAAUUUGAUGAUAAAGCGCAGCUCGCAACGUUCGUUUUAGGCCACCCUGAAAGUCUACACUAGAACUGGGAGCGAUUCUAAGCCUCCAGUACAGUCUUCAUUCCUUCGUUCACUCAUUCAUCCUUUAGAAAGUCCUUUGGCCUUACUCUAGAAGACAUUGCCAUGACUUUGUUACAUUUAUUAUGAGUUUGACAUGAAACACAGGUAUUACCUGUAUCUGUAUUGGCUAAGAGUUUGCGUAUUAAAUAUCUGCAGCCACUUGACAUAUGAAGACCUACUUAGUGCUGUUCAUACGUUUAUAAAGCUUUUUUUAAAAAAAUCAAGUUAUCUUCCUGUAUAAGGCAAUAAGAUCCUCUCUUUGCAGUGGUCAAUAAACUUGAGUGGUUUCACACAGCCAUGGUUACCCAAGGGCCACGUAGUAUUUGGGAUCAUGCUUUGAAAACAAGCUAACUUUCAUAUGAUUGAAUUUCUACUGACUUAGUAAUAAGGUGAUAUCCACCUGAAUUUACAUAAUAUCCUCUUUGCUUUCAGAAUAGUUGUGGUGUCUAGGAGGGCAUAGUGUUGCGUGUUUUCAGCCAGUAGCCCCCAUGGUAGGACAGGCUUUGGGAACUGCAAGGAAAAUACAUUAUGUUGGAAGACACUUUAGACACAUGUUAGUGUCAGUUUCAGCGUUAAGAAAUGGGUAAAAUAUUCUUCAAAAUGAAUCCUUUCUUAUCUUCAUUUUUGGUGAGUAUGUGUUCUCUUCCCCCAGGGGAACUCUUUACUGACUUUUAUGUCUAAUAAUCAUUCUUAGUCCCAGAAGCCCUAAAUACACUGUGAUAGAAUACAAAUAACCAUGGUAUCUUCUGAGAAUUAAUUUUAGGAUCUAAAAGGAAAAAGUAAAGAGGUGCAACAUGCUACAUGUUUAAAUAUCAUCGACAACUUAUAAUAUUUCUAUGGGUGGUGUAAAUGUUACUCUAAUUUUUUCAUAGUCUGGUAAUUGAAUCCAGCUGUUUUUCGGCACUCUGAUAAACUUCAAAACAUAAAUGUGUUGCUGGCACCUUGACCUUCUUCAUCAAUCAAGGAACAUUUUGCUGACACAAUUUAAGGAGACUCUGGCCAGUCAGAAUAGUGAGUUUAUAAACUUUUCUGAAGACAGGUCGUUUGUACUUCUUUAUUUGCAGGCGUCAAAUCCUUUUUGACUUGGUGGAUUAGUAGAGGCAUUUAACUAGUAUGAAAUGAUGGCAUUGGUCCCCUCCUUGUGCUGGGUAAGUGUAUACUUCCAAAGAUGUUUUUGGAAGGACAAGCCCUAGUCUUCUCCAAGCUGGCUUUGGCUCAGUGUCUUUCCUGAGCUUUCUUGAGACCCAGGGAAAAUGAAUAAACCAACGUUUUCUUGUUCAACUAAAUAUGUAUAUUUUCUAGAUGCUUCAUACAAGUUUGGACUGCAAUACCUACCUCAUUGCCAUUCUUGUCCCACUGGACAAUUUUCCCUUCACCUCUUGCCCUCCAAAUUCUAACCCCACUGUAAUGCUUGCUUUUCCAUUCUGAGUAGAACCAAUCUCUGGUGGUCUUCAUAGCCUAUUUCUCUAACAGUUAUACUUCCAAGUUCGAUUGAAAACUUCCUUUAAAUAGUAUUUAUCAAACUUUAAUUAAUGUGAAUCCCCUGAGAUCUUGUUAAAAUACCAAUUCUAAUUCAGUAGGUCUGGACAAGGCCUGAAAUUCUGCAUUUCUAACCAACUCUUAUGUGAAGCUGAUGCUUUUGGUGUAUAGGACACACUCCUGGGUAGCAAAUUUCUACAUAAUCCAGUGCUUCCGAAUCCCAGGAUGUCCAGGCUUUUAAGCUAAGGUUGUAAGAGAUUUGGAGACAGCUUUCCAUCUUUAGAUAAAUACAGCAGUUUCUCCUUUAAUUGCAGCCACCCAGCUUUCUCUUAAAAAUAUCUUAGCUCCUUGGGGCACCUGGGUGGCUCAGUCGGUUAAGCGUCCGACUUCAGCUCAGGUCAUGGUCUCACGGUUCGUGGGUUCGAGCCCCGCAUCGGGCUCUGUGUGCUGACAGCUCAGAGCCUGGGGCCCGUGUCUCCAUCUCUCUCUGCCCCUCCCCCACCCGCGCUCUGUCUCCCUCUGUCUCAAAAAUAAACAUUAAAAAAUAUAUAUAUAUAUCUUAGUUCCUUUCACCAACACAGAACCCAAGAUGCAGCCCUAUGACGGUUGCAUCUUGGAAAUAGGGGCUCUACGACAUUGAGCCAUAGUCCUAAAGAUUUUUGCAUUGCAGUGAUCAUUCACUCAGCAGAAACAUCUUUGAAGAGCACAUGUAAAAAGAAUUCAACCAGGGACAUGAGUUCAGGUAUCAAACCUGGUUCCGCCAUACUCCCAUCAUUUAAACUUUCCAACUUUCAGUGUCCAAACAUCUAAGUCCAUGGGGUAGAACCAGGUAAUUUCUGAGAUACCUCUAUGAUAGAAUAGACUGCAGUUCUGGGACUGUCAUUCAGGAAUCUUAGAUGGCAGUGACUAGAAUCUUCUUCGCCUCCAUGUCCUUCUGUUUUAUAACGUGGCAGGAGAUAUUCCCAGUUCUGUCUCUGUGCUGUCAAAGGGACAUGAGCACCAUGGCAAUGGCCGGAAAGUAUGGUCACCACAACAAGCUGCCAACACUGAAGGCCACAUUAAAGCGAUGGUGAAAGUAGCCUAAGAAAACAGUCGCUAUUAAUCCUCUUGGUCCUUCCAUGUUUGUAGAUCACUGGGGUAAGAAAGAGAAGUAAAUUAAUUUCUGCCUAGUUAAUGUCUACAAAUGGGGUAUGUUAAACCACUGACUAUCAUUUUCCAGCAGAAGUGAUCUCAGUGGUGAACAGAAGGGGGGAUGGCGGGCUAUGCGAAAUUCAUGACCUCCUUCCCUGGUUCCUGUUUGUGCUCUUUCUAAACAAAAAUUAUGUGCUUCGUGCUCCACCGCCAACUGCGGUAUGGAGCACACGAGAGCUUCUGUGGCCCUUCUCAACCCUUUUACAUCAGUCACAGAACUCCCACUGUUCUGUGCUAAUGCAAAAUGCAAUAACGUUUAGCAUCAGGACAUCUCUGAGUCAAGAGGUUAACGGAAAACACAUCUCCCAUUGUGUUCCUGCGGCUCUGAUACUGUUAAUGGCGAAAACACCAUGGAGACAAAUAGAUCUCUCUUUAUUCAGGAAGCUUUGAGUGAAGAGAAAAUAUAUAUGACACCUUUACAACAUGAGAGCCCUCUCUAUAUGGUGCAUUAAGGAAGGGUGGGUGGGGGGGAGUCCACACAACAUCAUGUUUGAUGUGGCUUGAGACUCCUCUAGAUGGAAAAUUCUGUCUCCUCCAUUUUCUUUCUGUUGCUUUAGUAAAUAGUUACUGUUCUGGGAGGGGGAAGUGAGAUUUAACCUUUCAAGAAACAAAUUCAGGGUAAGAGGCUUUAUGGGGUACUUUCUAACAUGUGACCAAAGAGACAUGGCUGCCUCUUUCUUUCCUAUCCUACUUUUGUGCAUCUUGCCUUUAUCUGUCGUAUGUUUUAGAUAGACUGUGGACCAAUAUGUGUAUGGAAGGGAUCGAAAGCAGUAACCAGCACAUUGUAAUUAUGCUGAGAUUUCACUUGAAAAUUACCUGAAAGUAGAUUGUUUUGGAUGGCCAUAUAAAGAUAUGUAAACAUAUUUUUAUGGUCUUGUUUUCCAUUCACUUGAGAAUGUCUCUCAUGAAAUCUUAGUCAAGGUCACUUCUUGUUCCUGUAGAACAUUUUAUCCCCAGUUUUAUUGAGAUAUAAUUAACAUACACCACUGUGUACGUUGAAGGUGUUCAGCAUAAUGGUUUGGCUUAUACAUACAUUUUCUAAUUUUUUUUUUUUUUUGAGAAAGAGAGAAAGCAUGAGUGGGUGGAGAGGCAGAGAGAGAGAGAGAAUCCCAAGCAGGCUCCAUGCUGUCAGCACAGAGCCCAACGUGGGGCUCAGUCUUGUGAACUGUGAGAUCAUGACCUGAUCCAAAAUCAAGAGUCAGACGCUUAACCAACUGAGCCACCCAGGAGCCAUAUAACAUAUGUUACAAAAAUGAUUACAUUGAUAAGUUUAAGUGGCAUUUAUUGUCUCAUACAGGUAUAAUAAAACGAAAAGCAAAAAACGAAAAAAAAAAGGAAGAAAAUUUCCUUGCGAUGAGAAUCCUAUAGAACUUUAGAAAGAAAUUUGUUCUGUAAUUUAUGAAUUGUCAUCGGAUGCUAAAAUUAGGAUGUUACGUUUCUUGAGUAUUUAAAGACUUCAUUCCCUGGUAAAAAUAUUCUGGUUCAGGAAUCCAUUUAAGGGGUUAUCCGCACAGUUUAGGUGCCCCAAAUAAUUAUCAAAUUUUCUGUGUUAUGUGUAGUCUUUGAAACGUUUGGAGGGUAUAUGUUAUUGAUUGCCACCCGAUCCCGUCAGAUGACUACACUGGCUUUGGUAGGGGGUGGAAAGAGCGGCAUGAGCUUUCAGCUUUUACACUGAACUGGAAAUUUUUAGACCUGUUUCCCAACCAGGCUGAUACAUUGCAAUACUAGUACUCUAAUUGUUGAUUCAGUCACAUCAAGGGCAGCCAAACUUCAUGUAUAAAAGUUCACCAAGUCCAGGAAGGAGGGAAAGGAAUUCCAGAAUGACUCAUUGUUUAAUGAAUAAGGCCCCAAGUGUUCUGUGGUUGCCAUUUUUAAACUUGAAUAAAAUGUAUAGAAUUCAAAUCAUAGCUUGAAUUCCGAAUUGGGGCAGAUUGGGGCUACAGUGUUAUAGUGAUAUGCUGCUUCUAGUCAACUGCUAAUAAGCAACUUCAAAACAUAAAUGGGCACUCGUGAUCUGUGCUCUGAAUCCUCUGAAGGUUUAAAAGUCUUUUAAUCUAUUUGUAGCUUUUUAUUAUUGAGUAAUGAAGUGCUGCUAAAAUACUGGAACCAAUAUGCAAAACACAUAUUAAAUCAAGCAUCAUUCAAGGAGAACAGAUCCCCAAAGACUGAACAGAAAGGUUCAAAACGAAUUUAUGGGAAGUAAACUUUUGUGGGUGGGAGGAGAGAAAACUUUAUUACCUUUCAUGACCAAGAAGCAGAGUUUUCUGGUUAAUCAACAGGGUUUUUAACCAAAUUGUCAUAUAUAAGGGACACGAAUGCCAGUUUAAGAAAGUAAAGGUUAUGUUCUGCUUAAAGCUAAAACGGUUUUAAAUCCAAUGUCAUAUUUCUUUUAAGAUUUAUGAGUUAUUUCGUGUCUCAGCUCACAUUCUACCUAUGAUUUAUCUUUAAUCUCAAUUACUCUCAUAGCUCAUGCUUUGAAAUUACCUUGUGCUUCAAGACCAGCACUGCAAAGCUAAAUUUAUGUUGUAUCGUUAGGUGACAGAAGUGGCAAUUAUAGACCGGUUUGGCAGAAUACUGGUUAAACUAGAGUUUACCAUUUACAUUCUGUGGCUUACGUUGCAAACUCAAGUUAAUAUCGACUGUGAUCUCAUCUAAUGGAAAAGUGCCAAAAAAAUCUGUUGCAAAUUAAACCCUACUCUUUUUUUUUUACCAUUGUAUUUAAUUUAUUUUUUAAAUUUAUAUCCAAGUUAGUUAGCAUAUAGCGCAACAAUGAUUUCAGGAGUAGAUUCCUUAAUGCCCCUGACCCAUUUAGCCCAUCCCCCCUCCCACAACCCCUCCAGCAACCCUCCGUUUGUUCUCCAUAUUUAAGAGUCUCUUAUGUUUUGUCCCCCUCCCUGUUUUUAUAUUACUUUUGCUUCCCUUCUCUUAUGUUCAUCUGUUUUUUAUCUUAAAGUCCUCAUAUGAGUGAAUUCAUAUGAUAUUUGUCUUUCUCUGACUAAUUUCGCUUAGCAUAAUGCCCUCUAGUUCCAUCCACGUAGUUGCAAAUGGCAAGAUUUCAUUCUUUUGGAUUCCCGGGUAAUACUCCAUUAUAUAUAUACCACGUCUUCUUUAUCCAUUCAUCCACCAGUGAACAUUUGGGCUGUUUCCAUACUUUGGCUAUUGUUGAUAGUGCUGCUAUAAACAUUGGGGUGCAUGUGUCCCUUCAAAACAGCACACCUGUAUCCCUAGUAGUGCGAUUGCGGGGUCGUAGGGUAGUUCUAUUUUAAACUUUUUGAGGAACCUCCAUACUGUUUUCCAGAGUGGCUGCACCAGUUUACAUUCCCACCAGCAGCGCAAAAGGGAUCCUCUUUCUCCGCAUCCUCGCCAACAUCUGUGGUUGCCUGAGUUGUUCAUGUUAGCCAUUCUGACAGGUGUGAGGUGGUAUCUCAUUGUGGUUUUGAUUUGUAUUUCCCGGAUGAUGAGUGAUGUUGAGCACUUUUUUCAUGUGUCAGUCGGCCAUCUGGAUGUCUUCUUUGGAGGAGUGUCUAUUCAUGUCUUUUGCCCAUUUCUUCACUGGAUUAUUUGUUUUUUGGGUGUUGAGUUUGGUAAGUUCUUUAUAGAUUUUGGAUGCCAACCCUUUAUCUGACAUGUCAUUUGCAAAUAUCUUCUCCCAUUCUGUCAAUUGCCUUUCAGUUUUGCUGAUUGUUUCCUUCGCUGGGCAGAAGGUUUUUAUUUUGAUGAGGCUCCAAUAGUUCAUUUUUGCUUUGGUUUCCCUUGCUUCCGGAGACGUGUUGAGUAAGAAGUUUCUGCGGCUAAGGUCAAAGAGGUUUUGCCUGCUUUCUCCUCGAGGAUUUUGAUGGCUUCCUGUCUUACAUUUAGGUCUUUCAUCUAUUUUGAGUUUCUUUUUGUGUGUUGUGUAAGAAAGUGGUUCAGGUUCAUUUUUUUGCAUGUCACUGUCCAGUUUUCCCCGCACCCCUUGCUGAAGAGACUGUCUUUAUUCCAUUGGAUAUCCUUUACUGCUUUGUCAAAGAUUAGUUGGCCAUACGUUUCUGGGUCCACUUCUGGGUUCUGUAUUCUGUUCCAUUGAUCUGAGUGUCUAUUCUUGUGCCAGUACCAUACUGUCUUGAUGAUUAUAGCUUUGUAAUACAGCUUGAAGUCUGGGAUUGUGAUGCCUCCAGCUUUGGUUUACUUUUUCAAGAUUGCUUUGGCUAUUCAAAGUCUUUUCUGGUUCCAUACAAAUUUUAGGAUUGUUUGUUCUAGCUCUGUGAAGAAUGCUGGCGUUAUUUUAAUAGGUGUUGCAUUGAAUAUAUAGAUUGCUUUGGGUGGUAUUGACAUUUUAACAGUAUUGGUUCUUCCUAUCCAGAGCAUGGAAUAUUUUUCCAUUUUUUUGUGUCUCCUUCAGUUUCUUUCAUAAGCUUUCUAUAGUUUUCAGUGUAUAGAUUUUUCACCUCUUUGGUUAGAUGCAUUCCUAGAUAUUUUAUGGGUUUUGGUGCACUUGUAAAUGGGAUAGAUUCCUUGAUUUCUCUUUCUGUUGCUUCAUUGUUGGUGUAUAGGAAUGCAACUGAUUUCUGUGCAUUGAUUUUACAUCCUGCAAUUUUGCUGAAUUCAUAAAUCAAUUCUAGCACUUUUUUGGUGGAAUCUUUUGGGUUUUCCAUAUAAAGUAUCAUGUCAUCUGUGAAGAGUGAAAGUUUGACCUCCUCCUGGAAAUUAAACCCCACUCUUAACCAAUCUCCCAAAAUAUUUAGUUCUGAAUACAGCAUGUACAUUAUCCUGUGAAAUUGUGUGGUUCUAAAUUUAGCCACCUCUGAUGGCUGUUUUCUGCCUUGUCAGAUCUUCUCUCAACCUUUUUUUCAUCCUGUUCUCUACACUCAGAGAUCGAUCUUCAGGGGCUGCCUCAACAGUCCCUUCGGCCCUCUGGCUUCUGGAUGUGUUUGGCCAAUGGGGAGGCACCAAACAGGAGACAGAAGGGAAAGUGGAGAGAGAGGUACUUAAUCCCCCUGCCUUCCUGCAGGCCUUGGGGUUGACCUGGCUUCAUUCCUUACCAAGAACGGGGGCCGCUCUGACUGACAUCUCUAGUUCUCAGUCUCUGGCUCACUUGCUCUCCCUCUUCUGAUAACCACUCCCCCUCCACGUCCCCUCGGGCUGAAGCUUGGUACUGACUUUCUCCUGCUGUUAGUACUUGGACACUUACACAUCUUCAGUGUCUUUCUUAACUCCGCCCAAUCUUUGCAAAUAAUCCUUUCACUAAACCUCCCCCAGUUUCCCCAUCUGAGUGCGCUACUUUCUUGUGUGGACUCUGAUUUUCUAGGUAAAGUUAACAUAAGCUAGGUAACAGAAAUUAGUCACUCCUGUGUGGGAGAUGAGGGAUGGGAGAGUAGAUAUUUAUCUUUUCCAUAAUACUGUAAGCUCUGGAAGGGCAGGGACCAUAUCUAAGACCUCCUUUAUAAUUCUUUACGACACCUGCAAAGGGCUUAGCUCACAGUGCAUGCUCAGAGCAUGUGGAGAAUCUUCCUGAGUUCCACGGAAAUCCUCAAAUUUGUUAUAGGCUUAAAUGGAACGUAAGUCCUUGGCUUAGGAUGUAGACUUCAAGAAGUCAAGGACCACACUAUUUUUUUAAACGGCAUUUAUAAUAUAAUCUCCCAUGACACAAAUAUCAAACCCACUCUGGAAAUUCUAACUCCAUAAAAAUAGAAGAUGUACACCAUGGGUUAUGUUGGUUUGUGUUUAGUAGAUGAGAAAUAACUCCAGUUAAAGCAUUUGGGUCUAAUUUUCCGUUUACAGCACCAACUCACCCUUUACUAUUUGUUAGUUUUCCUAUUUGUGCUAUUUUUUUAUGUGUUUAUUUAUAUGGCUUCCACCAUGGUGCCGAUACUAAAGAGUAGCAUUAGCAAUAUUCUGAAUAUGAUCUGGGUGGAGGGAACAUUUGGAUGUGUCCGAAAUAGGAUUUAAGAACUUCAGGAUAAAGGGAAUAUUUACCAGAAUAGGUAUCUUCACUCUUUCUUUGGGGUUCAUUUUACCGAUUUGCCCUUUGACUUUUACCGUAAUUCCAAAUCUCUCCAUACUUUAAAUUUCAAAAUGACUCCCAGUUUCAUGAAAUGUAGCCACUGGGAAUGGAAAACACUUUGAUCUUUAAUGUAGUAAGUUUUUGCUGGUAUGGGAGUCUAUUGUUUUAUUUUCUACUUUGAGCAAAUCCAUGCUUUAAUAUCUACUUGCUCUGAAACUUGUGAAAAUAGAUUAGGAAAAAGUUAAGAAGAACUUGCCUUUGGACUUUCUUUACUGAAAGGAAACUCCCCAGCCAGUUCAAAGAGCAGAUCCCUUACUGUUCAUAUUUUGCAAACAAGAGCAUUUCUUCAACAAAUGGAGGCAGUUGGAACAUUGUCAACUCAGAUAAGUUAAGCUUUGUGUCUCCCUGGUAAGUGAAACUGUUUAAUGAUAAUUUUACUAGUCCACUUGGGAAGUGACCGAAGCACUAUUAGAUAAGUUAAGAUUUUUAAAAAGCCUGGAAAAUACUUUGCCAACUGUUUCUUCUUGGCCUCUUGGCAAAGAUCAACAGUUACGUUCCCUAUCUAGGGACUAUCUCUUACGGGCCAGACCGGAUGAUCUAAUAGGUCUUUAUAAUCUCUAAAUACUGUGACUUUUAUCCCCAAGUGAACUACACAGUUUAUUUACAUAGAAACACAUUCACAGGCUUAAGGAAAUGCAGUAUGACUAAUGCUAAGGAAAGUGAGCCAGAAUGACUCAAGUGGCUUUUUUUUUUUUUCUAAAUAGGAUAAGUAAAUUAAAAUCAUAGACAUUCUCUCUAGUUCCCUUCCAGCAUCUCAAUAUGUAGAUUUUAGAUGUCAGAAUUCCCCAGUAGUGAAUUAUUUUUCUGCCACCAGCAAAUUAUAAACAUGUUGUCCUGUUAAAUCAGUAAACCUUUGCCGUACUUCUCAAGAAGGCUCUUCAAUGGAGAUUUGGUUUAAUUGUUGUUUUAAUUUUACAUUCUAUCUCAGGCACAUGGGAAAUUAAAAAUGUUGGGAAGGAUAGAAAAAUAAAAGUUGCUAGAAAAAUACAAGCAUGAUAAAUAAAGCAUAAUCAUUGUGCAUUUCAACUUUAUUAAGAAUGUGUUUUUGUGCCUUGAGCUACAUUUAUCAAGACAAAUGAAGCAUUGGGAGGAAUCUCGAUUUUUUAAUAAAAGAGUCGUUUCCUCGGGAUCGUGUUGGCAAAGACCAUGCUUUUAAGGAGUCUCCCUGCCCCCCCCAACCCCACCUCUGUGUUGUACAAACUUUUUAUGCCUUCUCCAUCAGGUGAUACUUUGAAUUGUCUAUCUGGGACUAAAAAUCAAACAGUUUUAUUGUUGUUGUUGAUUUUUUUUUUUUAAAUCAAAUCUCCAUAGAUGACACUGGACAUCCUUAAUAAAUACAGGGACAGUCAAGAGGUCUUACUUCCAGAGGACUUCGAGCUUCUCAGCUGAUUACUUGCCCAAUUUACUCUGGCAUACACAGGUGAAAAGAAUGUGGACGUGAGAUACCGAAUAAGAAGGCAGAUGACAAGACCCUGGUAUUACCCAUGAAUUGUGUGCCUAAGCCAACUGGGUAAGCUUCAGGCCAUUCUUUGCUUUCCGGGGAAGCGUCUAGAUGCUGAUCCUUUCUGAUAAAAAAAAACGGGUAGUAGUGAGGAAUUCUGUCCGGGGGCUGGAUGAUCAGUCCCUUCCAUUGUGCUUUCUGCUUCCCCAGUCCUGAUUUAUCAUUUGGAAGUCAGUUCUAGUUGAGCACUGAGGAGAAAGGCCAUAUAAACACAAUGCAUUACUCUCCGACAGCCUGUAACUGACUAGGCAGCAAUUGAUUAGGUUGCUUAUCCUUAAACGAAAGCAUUUCUUAAGAGGUGAUCAUUUUUCUACGGGUUCUCUUAUAUAGUAUAUGCUACAAGUUCCAGUAAGUCACUCCCAGCCCCCCACUGCGUCAAGCGAAGAUAUCUCUUAGGUCACUCCCACAAUAAAUUCAACAUGAAAUGUGGUGUAUAUUCCUCAUCCCGCAGUCUUAUGGUUUAAGGGAGAGUAUCACUCUCCUGAACAUAGCUCAUUUUACUAACUUAUCUCCGUUUGGUGUCUCAUCACAUUCUACCAUGAUUUAUCUUUCCUCUCCAUUACUUUCAUAGCGCAUGCUUUGAAAUUACCCUAAAACUUAGAUCCCCGCUGAGGGCCGUGUUCAUGGUCGAAGAUGCGUUUGUUUGGACUGUUGGUGUCCUCCGAAGUCUAGCUCAAAGGUCACUUUCUCUCUUUCUGUUUCCCACUCACCUCCCUCAGGCAACCCUUCCUUUUGUGCUCAACUAACACUUUGUUCAAACAGUUAGCAUACCAUUAUGUGAGCGUUACACACAUCUGUUUUACUGAGAGCUUUAGUGAAUUCUUUGAUGGGACAGACACCAUUUCAAUCACCCUUUUAUUCCCAAGCAGACACAUAAUAGUUGCUUAAUAAGUGUUGGCUCACUUGAACCAGAUUUUCUUUUAGUAAACAAUGUUGAUAGGCCCGUGAUUUCCGGAGUGGUAAACUCAGCUAUCAUUGACACCCCACGUUUCCGUUCUGUUUUGCAUUCUGGAGCAUCUAGGGAUUUUUUUUUCUUUCAUUCUGCUAUUGUUUCAGUGCACAAGAUUGACUCUGAAAUAUGUUUAAUAGCCAAGUGAAAGUAGGAUGCGGUUGAGGCUUGGCUUUUGAAAAGUUUUCUCAGAAUAUUGGGAGUUCUCAGAAAUGUAAGUGUUCAGUAAACUGUGGCUGCAUAGAAUCAAGGCCAAUGCGAAACAUUAAUGCUUAUCAGAACGCGAUUGACCAAAUUUUAUUACUUUUUAUUUCUGAGGAAUCACAUGCGAUUUCCCUGCAAUGGGAUGAAACUUCCAGGGGAGGAAAUCUUCCUUGAUGAAAUCUACCCUUUUCUGCAUUGUUUAUUGAGUGCAAAUAAAACCAUCAUGGUCAUGAAGAUGAUGAAUGGCUUUGCUUUGAUGUUACUAACCUUCCACAGUUGUUGUAGCUUCCUACUGAGCCACAUUUCUACUAUAGUUUUUGAAGUUUUUUAAACUGAGGAAUAGAUUUUAUGAUGGUGGUGGUAGUGAUAGUGGUGACGGUUAUUUGUUUUGUUAGCAUUCAUUGUCCAAAUGGAAUAGACAGUAAAUACUGAGUUACCUUUUUCGCUUACCAAAAUUAAAAAGUCUUUCCAAUCAAGUGACAUACUAUUAUGAUGCCAACUGCGUCUAGCAAUGUCUAUUCAAUUUAAGAAUUCAGUGAAUACAUUUUAAUACAUCUCUCUGUCUGAAAGGAUUUCAGUACAGCCCUGCCCAGAGAGUUGUGACGAUAGUUAACCACCCAUUGGUUUUCCCAACCAAUUUCAUUUCACUUUAUCAAAUAAUUGUUAAUCUACUGAUCUUCUGUUCUCUUUUCUUUUAUGUCUGUUUCAAGUUUUAAUUUAUCAAUAGUUAAUCCGUAAUUAACACCAAUGAUAUGGGCCAUUCACAAUGUAUUGUAUGUGCUCAAUCUUCUCUGUUAUACAUAAAUUAUAUAUGUAUAUAUAUGUGUGUGUAUAUAUAUAUAUAUAUAUAUAUGUAUAUAUAUCUCACAUUCACUCAUUCAGUUAUUAAAUAGUGCUUUACUGAGCAUUUAUGCUAGGCGCUGUGGUAAAUGCAAGAUAGAUAUGAUAUUUCCUGCCCUCAAAGGUCUUGAAAUGUAGUGAAGGGAAUAAUGUAAUUACAAAAUAAUUACUUCACAAAUAUAAAUGCAUUACGUACAAUUCCAAAAUGCUGCAGUGAGUCAGAGGAAGAGGGUACUUCCAACUGUAGAAUCAGUAGGAGGCUGCAUGAAAAAGAUAUGUAUUUUGUGCUGGGCUUGAAGAAGGGGUCAGAUUUUGAGGAACAGAAAUUAGGGACAAAAUAUUCCUGAUGGAAAAAAACGUGAAGAAGGGGCUUAAUUCGCAAGAAGUGGGACCUAUUUGGGAAUGGAAAGAGUCCAUUUCGGCUUAGACAUAGUAGAAAGAAGAAAAGACUUUACAAGCAAUCUGAAAUCAGUUCACGGAAGGAGUUGAGUGCCAUGUAAAGGUGUUUGGAAUUUUGCCAGGUAGCUAUAGGGAGCAGGUAGGUUGAUUAACUGUCCACUUUAAGAUGAUUAAUUAGCGUAUAAAGUGGACAGGACAGGAAGUGGGGAGACUAGUUAAGAGCUUAUUACCAUAGACUCAGGUGAUCCCUAUAUCAGUCUGAACUAGAGUGUUGGCAACGUGUACAGAGAGGAGGGAAUAUUUGGCAUAUCCUGUCCGUGCAAUGGGGAUUCAACAGUAGAUGAGUAAGAAUAAGGAUGACAAAUACUUGCCGAAGGUUGAUUAGGUAAAUUAAUUUAUUUUGGAUUUAAACAGUAUGGCGUUGUGCAUUUUUACAGCAGUAUUUGGCAGGCCAGGAUAGACGCAGAGGAAACAAAUGGCGAUACUCAAGAUCAGAGUUUGGAAAAUGAAAAGGUAUAAAAGAUCAGAAGAUUAAGAUCCUGGGGUUCUAGUGAAAGCAUCACUGAAAUGUCUUCACAAAUGUUACUGACUAAAUAGAGAUAGUUUAAGUACAGCUAGAAGACAGUGAUUAACUGAGGGGAUCAGAAGGAAUUUUGAGGUUUCUUCUAUCACAAAUAGAAAUUAAAUACAUCCAACACAAGUGAGGAGUGGAUGUACAGUAAGAGAUUUCCUGAGGGUGGGGCCAUUCCAGAUGAUGAUGAAGUUCAGGUUAUCGCCAUGUGUACUGUUGACUGUAGUCAUGGAAAUGAAAGGGGAUAAAUAUCGUUAGACUUACUGAGGCCAGGGUACUAGAAAGGCCCUCAGACAGCAAGGAGGAAAAGGUAGUAAGCUGAAAUAGAACUGAAUUACAGAAUUAAAACACCCCCAGACAGAAUGGAAGUUCAGAGAGAAAUCUCACGAACUGUCUCCAUCUCUAAGAAAAUUGUGAUGCUCAAACUGGGCAAAUCUUAGUGAAGAAGCCCCAUUCUUUCUGCUGGGCUCUGAUGAUUGAAGAAUCCUUAGUUACUUUCUAAUUUUUCAAGAAUUCAAUUUGUCAUUUCAAAUGCAACUGUUAUACUCAUUCUCUUAUUCACUUAAGGCAGAGGUACAUAAGUUCACAAUCACUCGAUAUGUUUUAGGGUACAGUCGAUGCUCAUUUAUGAAUUCCAUAUUUUCAAGUUUGCCAACUCACUAAAAUGUAGUUAUUUGUAAACCCAAAUUAAUACUAGCAAUGCUUCUGUGGUCAUUUGCAGACACACACAGAGCAUCGAAAAUUUAUGUCGCCCCAUUCACAUGUUCCAAGCUGAGGUCAAACAAGGUGACCUCCUUCUGCCUUCGUGUUUCGGCUCUCAUACUGUGUCCUUUUUGAGAUCUAUUUAGUGCCACGUUUUCCCCAUUUGUGCACUUUUUUGUUGAUGAUUUCAAUGUUUAAAAUGGCCCCCAAGCCGCUGUGUAGGUCCUAAUAAGCACAGAAAAGCUGUCACGUGCCUUUUGGAGAAAAUACAUGUGUUAGAUAAGCUUCAUUCAGUCAUGAGUUAUAGCUGUUGGCUGGGAGUUCAAUGUUAAUGAAUCAACAAUAUAUAUUAAAUAAGGUGUCUUUAAACAGAAACACACAUAAAUCAAGGUUAUGUAUUGAUCGGCUGAUGAAACCAUGACCAGAAGCUUCAGGAAACGCUCCUCGUACUUCCACUGGGAGCAGUUCUUCAGUAUUCACUAAUUCAGUGUUUGUGGCACCUCUACAGACAUAACUACCGCAAAUAGCGAGAAUCAACUGUACCUUGUUUGUGUUAAAGGUAGCGGUUUUAAUUGUUUGGAUCCCCACUCAAAUUCUUUACCACUGAUUUUCUUUACCAUUUCCUCUUCAAAGUGUAUAAGCUUUUCAUAGACGCUAUUCUCUGGUUAAUUGGUUGAAGAAAACCAAAAUGUGAUUUGCUUAAAUGUUUUAUUUCGAAGGAAUUUUAGACUUACUAGACAACUUACAAAAUAGUACAGCGUUUAAUCUAAAUUUCCCUAACGUUAACAUUUUUUAUAACCAUCGUAUAAUUGUCAAAACUUGGAAAUCAACAUUGUUUUAAUAGUACUAACUAAUCCAUAGACUUUUUUCGAAUUUCUCAACUUUUCCCUUUAAUGCCCUUUUCCUGGUCCAGACUCCACACUGCAUUUAGUGUCACGUUUCCUCAGUGUCUUUCAUGUUGUGAGAGGGGUUCAGUCUUUUCUUUGUCUUCUAUGACCCGGAUAUUUUUAAUGGUUACUACUGGUCAGGUAUUUUGUAGACUGUCCCUCAGUUUGGAUGUUUUCUGAGGAUUAGAUUGUGGUUACUUCUUUUUGGCAAGAAGUCCGCAGGAGAGAUGAUGACAUCAUAUCGGAGCCAAUGAUGCCUUCCUAGUCUUUCUAGUGAUGUUAAUUUUGAUCACUUGGUUAAGGGAGUGUCUGCCAUGUUUCUCCACUAUAAAGUUACUAUUUUUCUCUUUGUUACUGUAUUUCUCUUUGUAAUAAGACUUUUUUUCUUAAUGUUAAAAUUUUCUAGAGUACGUUUCACUCAACCAGCAAGCACAUUAUCACUCAUCAGUUCAGUGCCGAGCACAGUGAUGAGUGGGUGGCUUAAUUUUUAAACGGUAUCCUUUUGUUCACUGGGGACUGACGUCUAAUUGGGGAGAUAGGUAUGGCGCUCAUGAAACACACACAAUACAAGGAAAGAAAUGGAGAACUACAUUGUGGCAAAUAGUAUGGCACAGAAUGGAAAGCUGUAGGAGUAGGGGAGGUACCUUGUGGAAAGUGGGAACUCAUGCCGGACUUUGAAGGGAGGAUUUUCCUAGGUAGAAACUUACAAUUGUUAAUUCAGUGAAAUAUAUUGAGUACCUUAGUUCCCUGGGAACUGUGCUAGAAUCUGGAACUGUAUAGAACUUCGAGGAGUUCCCAGUCUAGUGAGAAGGACAAGACAGAGGGAGGUCUGAGCGGAAAGCGUAUAUGAUCAGUGUUGUAUAGAGGUGGGUGAGCACAGUUCAGUUUGUUACCGGGGCUAGGGGGGGAGCAAUACUGCACCUCAGGGGUUAAAAAUCGACAAACUUCAGGUUGUCUAGACUCUCCACACUCUAAGAAUGUAAAAAAAAAAAAAAAAGUCCCUGCCUUGAUGUCACUGUCUACUACUUGAACACCUUUAGUCAUAGAAGUUAACUUCCGAAUACAUCUUAUUCCACCAGUGGGUCCAAUUCAUCCCUCUGUUGCUGCAGGGAAUAAUUCUAUUCCCUUUUUUAAAAAUGUUUAUUCCUUUUUUGAGAGAGAGAGAGAGAGAGAGAGAGAGAGAGAGAGAGAGAGACCGAGCACCGGCAGGGGAGGGGCAGAAACAGAGGGAGACACAGAAUCUGAAGCAGGCUCCAGGCUCUGAGCUGUCAGCACAGAGCCCAACGUGGGGCUCGAACUCACAGACCGAGAGAUCGUGACCUGAGCCGAAGUCGGACGCUUAACUGACUGAGCCACCCAGGUGCCCCCUAUCCCCUGUUUUUUUAAGGAUAGUCCUAAAAGAAAAGACAUUACAUCUUUUCUUAAUGUCCUCUUUUCAAGAGAAACAUGGAUAAGUCUACAUAUUCUAUGCGAUUUCUAGAUCCUUCACAACUCAGUGUGUUGGCUGGGUUCGUAUUUAAACCAAACCUUAAAAAUAAUCCAUUCUCGGGGCGCCUGGGUGGCGCAGUCGGCUAAGCGUCCGACUUCAGCCAGGUCAUGAUCUCGCGGUCCGUGAGUUCGAGCCCCGCGUCGGGCUCUGGGCUGAUGGCUCAGAGCCUGGAGCCUGUUUCCGAUUCUGUGUCUCCCUCUCUCUCUGCCCCUCCCCUGUUCAUGCUCUGUCUCUCUCUGUCCCAAAAAUAAAUAAAAAACGUUGAAAAAAAAAUUAAAAAAAAAAAAAUCCAUUCUCUUGUACCCUGUUCCUCACGUUCUCACCCUUAUGCUGGUCUCCUCCCCGGAAAUAUUUUAAAAGAAUUGUUAUGUGAGGUCUCCCCCACCCAGUUCAGUUGGAGUUUUGAAUCUAGCAUUCAAAACUUAUUUAUUUCUGUCAUAUUCGGUGCUCUUCAUUUUGACCUCUUGCCGGAGUUCUCUUUGAACUUUGAUCUUGUUGGCUGGCAUAGCUUUUAUUUCCCCUCACCUUUGAUAUCGGAAGAUUUGAUAAGAAUAUAAUCUUUUUUUUCCUUCAAGGAUUUAAUAAAAUAAACAAGACAGGGUCAAGAACAGAGCUCAUGGGCAAACCAUGUAUGUCUGGUCAUUUCACCGUAUAAAAAGCUCCCACCUUCACUGUCAGGAAGCUUCCAGGUCUCCCUCUGCAGGGAACACGUGAUAAAGGUCAUGCUUGUUGGCAGCGUGGAGCCUGACCCAGCUAGAGCCCAAGGUAACGUGUUGGCCAGCAGUUUCAAAUCAGGUUACACUUCAAGGAAGAUGGGUUACAUUAUGUCAUGUCCUAAAAGCCAGGAAGAGUCAUUAUUGCUAAUGACAGUGAUUCUCUCGGGCUAUGCUGCUUGUGAGGUUUUCUUAGAUGCAUGGUCUUACAGACACGAGAUGGCAUAAGUUGCCAAUGAAGACUUUGGGUUAGAGAAUGACACAAUGAAAGCAGAACUUAAAUGGAGCUCCAGGUGGACUGGAGGGGGAAGAAACCGGAGAGAGGGAGGCCAGUAGGGAAACAGCUGGAGUUACCCAGGAGGUGAGGAGGCGAAGAACUUGGUCAAAGACAAUAGUGCGAAGUGGAGAGGAAGGAACAAAUGAAAGACCCGGGUUCACAGAAGAGCGACAGACUUUGUAACUUUCGUAAAAAGCGAUUUGGGGGGGGGGGGGGGGGUGUGGUGGGAGGUGGGGCGGGGGCCAAUCGAAGAUAACUUUCACAUUUUCAAUCUGGGAGAAUGAUGGCUGGAACCAAUAAGGAGAAUCCUGUUUAGGGGAAAGUUGGGUUUCCUGUUUUUGUGUGACUCAGUGGUGAUGAGAGACACGAGUAUCUCAGACGGGAGCCUAAGACUAUAGAGUCAUCAUCCACUAGCGUGGAGAGAAGGGUUUCUGUGGAAUGCUUCCUUUGUGGUAUGGCAGAAUCAUAGGACCACAGUAGCUGUCAACUCCCCUUGGUUUUCUGGCUCAUCAAUGGAUGGUUGCGAAAGCACCAAAUACCGUUUCUGAUUAAAACAAGGAUCCCUUAAUUUUGCAGAUCCUCUUAAUAUGUUGCAAAUGGUAAAUGUGGUUAUGAACAUCUUGGAAAUGGAAGUGUGCGAUGAUAGAUUAUGUCCACGUCAUAGAAUGAGUCCUGGGAAUAAAAUCUUGGAAAUCCUAUUCUUUAACCAUCAGCAAAUAUUCUAACAAAGCAAUCCACAUACUUCCAAAUCGAACAUUCUACUUUCUUCUUUCAAUGAAUGUUCAAUUUGUCAUCUCUCUACACCCACUGAAGUACGAGUGCCAAGAGAGAAUGAAAUCAUAUUAACUUGAAGCCCCAUUAAUCAGCCUUUAGAGAAGACCCUGUUAUUAAGUUCUUGCUCAUCAUCAUCACCAGACAUUCAUUAAGCACCUGACUGUGCUUAUGCACGGGGCCAAAGUCACAUAGGCUUGCCCUCCCUGGAGACCCUACACGCAAGAGCAAGGGAGAAAAAAAGGUAAGCUGGCCCCAUAAAAGGGCUAAAUGAGCCCCUCGUCAAUUAUAUCAGCAAUUCCUCAGCUACCUGAUUUUAUCAAGGAACAAGGUCUGCCGCGGAAGUAAAUUUUUAUAAGAAUAAAAGCUUACCUACCUGGGCAUCACAACACUCUUGCCUGCUUAGCCUUAUAAAGCAGUUUUCUGCCCCUAACCCACUUGGUGGCUAAGGGUCACCCCUUAGCAGAAUGGGCCGUUGUUGAAUUCCACACUCUCGUCAAGUCUUUCUUCGCUUUUUGCUUUUUAGUCGUCUUAGUAUUGACGGUUGGCAGUUGCCCCUCCUGCUCUCUUUGUGCUUGCCUUUCAACUGCUUCCCCAUGCCACCUGCAGCUCGUUUCUCUGAAACACAGUCGGGCCUGGUGAAACAGUUAACCAAAAUGGCGGUACACUAUAAGUGAAAUGAGCCACCACGCGGUUACGAGGGGGGCUCUAAAAUCAAGGCGUAGUGUAUUGUGGAGACAUUCAGCUUGCCAGGCUGAGUGUCCAAAAGUGGGUGAUUGGCUCACUGCUGUCUCCCAGGGUGGGCGCCAGGAGGUCGAGGUUGACAACAUACUGACCGACUCAGAACUGGUGGGCGGGGUGCGUUGCUCUAGGUACAGUAUAGAUUAUUAGGUCAUGAGUUAGUAUGUGUUUUAGGGACGGAAAGCAAAGUCUCGUGUCUGCAAAGUGGAGGAAGGAUAAACUUUUCUGUAAUCAAGCAGCGGCAAGAAAAAUUUAGCUUACCGUGGGAUUAUAAAAAUAAAAAUAAAUAUUACGCUGCCAUAUUGGGUGUCUUCUUCCAAGUAUAGGCAUAUACACACACCAUUUUGUCAAUUUCACUGGUGGCCAUUUUAUUAAACCAGAUAAAGUGGUGUUCGUUCACUAAUGGGAAUGCCGUUGUUUUCAAUGCUUCUGAAGAGUAUUGUCCCCGGUAACCAUGGAACAGCGCUCUGAGAGCCAAGCACUGAAGAGUACGCUAGACACACAGCCCUAGGGCAGAGACAGAAAAGGGAAACAGUCACUUUGAAGAUCGCAACUAUAUUUUAUUAUUGAAAGGUUACGAAACAGCACGAUUAGCUCAGAGCUUCAGGUUUUGUGUUAAGCUUUUGAGGAUUAUUUGUGCAUCUUCCUAAGUAGGGGGGGACACCUACUAGGUGGGGGACACCUGGGGGGCUCAGUUGGUUAAGCGUCUGACUCCAGCUCAAGUCAUGAUCUCAUAGUCUGUGAGUCUGAGCCCUGCAUCAGGCUUCAUGCCCGCAGCCUGGAGCCUGCUUCGGAUUCUGUCUCCGUUGCUUUCUGCCCCUCCCCCACGCGUGCUCGCUCUCUCUUUCUCAAAAAUAAGUAAACAUUAAGAAAAAAAUUUAAGUACCAAGGUGGGCUUUGCAUAUGUCAGGUGAUGUGUAGCAUUCUUUUCUUUCUUUACUAUUUUUAGCUUUUUCUAAAAAUGAACAUGUGGCCAUACUCUUCUCUCUCAUACUAUUUUAGAGGAAAAGUAUUUUAAGUUUCAAAUUUAUGAUAAUUUCUAGAUUGGCUAUUUAAAAAAAAUUUUUUUAAUGGUUAUUUAUUUUUUAGAGAGAGACAGAAUGCGAGUGGGUUAGGGGCAGAGAGAGAGGGAGACACAAGAUCAGAAGCAGGCUCCAGGCUCCGAGCUGUCAGCACAGAGCCCGACUCGGGGCUUGAACCCUCGAUCCGUGAGAUCAUGACCUGAGCUGAAGUUGGACGUUCAACCGGAUGAGCCACCGAGGCGCCCCAAGAUUGGCUAUUUUUUUAAGUUUAUUUAUUUUUGAGAGAGAAAGAGAACUCACAAGGCAGGGAGGAGCAAAGAGAAGAGGAGAGAGAGAAUCUCAAGCAGGUUCUGCACCGUCAGUGCAGAGCCUGAAGCGGGGCUCAAACCCACACACUGUGAAAUCAUGACGUGAGCCAAAACCGAGAGUCAGACCCUUAACUGACUGAGCCACCUGGGCACCCCUAGAUUGGCCAUUUUAAAUUGAUGCAGAAAUAGUUUGAUUACAACCGUCAUUUAGAUUGCCUUUAGUAAUAUCAAUAUUAAGAUAAUCUGGGGGUGCCUGGGUGACUCAGUCAGUUAAGCAUCCAACUCUUGAUUUUGGGUCAGGUCAUGAUAUGACAGUUCCUGAGAUUGAGCCCCACGUCUCUCUAACCCUCCCCCGUUCAUGCUCUGUCUCUCUCUGUCUCAAAAAUAAAUAAAUAAAUGUUAAAAAAAAAUUUUUAAAUAAAAAAUAGAGAAUCUGUUAUGCUUGCAACUUAGUGUUCGUAUCUUCAUUAGUGACCUUUCCACUUGUCUUUAGUAGAUCUGUGCAGAGAACCUGAAAACAGCAUUCCCAUUUUAUACAUGGUUGAACUGGAACCCAGAGAGGACUAAAGACCCAGGCUCACCCUGGGAUAUGGAUAACAUGAGACCAGUGCUGUCUGGAAGGAACAGGAGAAGAAGUUCAAAGAAGCAGGAAGGGUUUUCUGACAGCAGACUAAGGUUCAAGUACAGAGGAGUAAUUCACAAAAGACGAACAAGUGGGAGCCAAUAGAGUCUCAGGUUCUAAAGGUCAGGUGAUAAACGAGGAGAAGUUAAGCAAAAAUGAACAUCAGUCUGAGGAAUGGAAGGUGUCCUCUCUGUCCAGUUUUAUGUUGUUUGCUGGCACAGGUGGUUCUGGGGCCUCAGAAUUUAGUCAUGGCCAGAUAGAAGUCCGAGGAUAAAUCCUGCCCCUCAAUGAGACAACAGAGAAACGCACAUUGCCUCUUAGUUGGUUCUAUGUAAGUGACACCCUGAAACUGAACUUCUCUUUCUGAGUCCAUUGCACAAUUCCAUCCAUAAACUUAUGAGAUGGGUGGCAAUAUUUGAAAAGCCUUUCUCUCAUCUUAGCAAAAUGGUUUCAGGCAAGAGGGGGGAAUUCAGUUUUAAAGAGGAUCCCACUGGGGCGCCUGGGUGGCGCAGUCGGUUGAGCGUCCGACUUCAGCCAGGUCACGAUCUCGCGGUCUGUGAGUUCGAGCCCCGCGUCGGGCUCUGGGCUGAUGGCUCAGAGCCUGGAGCCUGUUUCCGAUUCUGUGUCUCCCUCUCUCUCUGCCCCUCCCCCGUUCAUGCUCUGUCUCUCUCUGUCCCAAAAAUAAAAUAAACGUUGAAAAAAAAAAUUAAAAAAAAAAAAAGAGGAUCCCACUAACACCGUGAGAAGACAAGACUUUCUAGAGAUCCUUUUAGAACAGCUCCCCUAUUCUUGAUAUAACAUCGAUGCAGAUGGUCCAGUAUCCAGAUCUAAUGUUGCAUUAGAACAGGAGGCCAUCAGACUUUAUCUAGAAAGGGCCGGAGAGUAAAUAUUUUGGGCUUUGUCGGCCAUAGGGUCUGUGUUGCAACUGCUCAAUUCCACCAUGGCGGAAUCCCGCCAUUUUUCAUUGUAGUGAAAAACAGCCAUAUCAAGAGUAACCAACGGGAGCAAGAAGAUUCUAGUGCAACACAAAGCAGGAUGGAUUUGGCUCAAAGCCUCUAGUUUGCUCUCCCCUAAACUAAAAGAACAAAAUUUGUGGGGCACCUGGGUGGCUCAGUCGGCUUAGCGUCCAACUUUGGCUCAAGUCAUGAUCUUGAGGUUCAUGAGUUCGAGCCCCGUGUGAGGCUCUGUGCUGACAGUUCGGAGCCUGGAGCCUGCUUCGCAUUCUGCGUCUCCCUGUCUCUCUGCCCCUCGCCCGCUCGCGCUCUGGCUUGCUCUCAAAAAUAAAUAAACAUUUAAAGAAAAUUUUUUUAAAGAACGAAAUUUGCUUACCAACAAAAAUGUAUUAAAAAGCAACCCACAUCUCCCUGUAUGUCACGAAGAGUGUACAACAGAACGUGGAGAAAUAAAGCUCAUCGGAGAUUUUCAAUCUCAGAGUUUCUCAACGAGUAUAACUGCUCUCCUCUAUAAUUUGCCAUUUCUAUCAAACGGUCCUAUGAAUCAACCAGCCUUUGACAGUGUGAUUAUAUUAUCCAUUUUAUUUUGGGGACAAGGGAUGCCUGUAUGCUCCUUACUAAAAGAGUCUGGUUACUUCUUAAAGACAAUCUCCUAGCAAUUUGCCUCUUCUAAGCAACUGGGUUAAGGAGCCUCCUUCUGCCUUAAUUUUCUUUAAUCAUAUGCCCUCGCUGUAUCUAUUAUUCUAGUUUCUCCUUGAAACCUUCACACUGGGACCACAUUUACCCAUGACUUGUUUAUCUUUUGUGUGUUUGGUUUUUGUUUAGACAAUAGUUUGCUCUCCAUUGACUGCAGUACUCAAAGCAGUGGCAUAGAAAAUCUAGAAACAAUGCAUAAUCCCCAGUCACUUCUAUUGUGGAACGCAUUAUAUGAUUUUUUUUUUUUUAAGGAACACAUUUACUUUGGUAAUUGUAUCCUGCCCAAUCUAAUAUUAAAAUCAACUCUAGGGGCGCCUGGGUGGCUCAGUCGGUUAAGCAUCCGACUUAAGCUCAGGUCAUGAUCUCAUGGUUCGUGAGUUCAAGCCCUGCAUGGGGUGAUCUUGAACCCUGCUCCAUCCAGGUGAGCCCUGCUUCUCUCUCCCUCUCUCUUUCCCCCUUUCUCUCUGCCCCUCAUGGGAUUCUCUCUCUCUUCUCUCUCUCUCUGCCCCUCGCUCGCUUGCGCCCUCUCUCUCCCAUAAAUCAAUAGAUAGAUAGGGAGAGAGAGAGAGAAAAAAUCAGCUCUAAUUUCUGGAGUACUUCAUUGACCAAAGUGACGUAAAAGUACAUCUCUGACUGGGAGAAUCGUUUGACAUGGAAAACACGUAUGCAGAUAAUAAGAGAUUUGAGUAUAUGAACAAGCAAAUAACAGUCGAGAUGUCAAUCAACAAAUAUGUUUGGAAGCCCCACUGUUUCAUGCAUAUGUAGCAUGUACUGGAAUGUUCCUGGGGACUCUCGUAGGUAUUAUUUUAAUCUUUACAGCAACUGUAUUGUGGGGAUAUUGUUAUGUUCAUUACGCAGGUUUGGCUUUGAGAGGUGAAAUGACUUCCGCGGGUCUCAGCAGGAUAAAGGACUGGGAUUUCUACCUAGUCUUCUGGUAGUCGACCUGUAGCACUCUCAAAACAGCUGCCUGUGGGCAUAUACUGAAUAAUUCCAUGCAACUCAGAUGCAUCGUUACCCUCCUUAUUUCUGGACACCGAGAGGACCGUAGAUAAAAUACAAGACAGGGUUGCUGCCUGGAGGGAAUGUGUAAACUAUUUUCUGAGAUAAGGCGUAGAUGUCUUCUAUGUGCCUUGUUCCUAUGCUUCUCUCUGCAUGCCCUGUCUUCCCCCCUGUCCAGCUGCUAUCUUUCUACUCCGUAUGUGUAGCAAAUUUAUUGAGAUAUAAUUUACACGCAGCAAAUUGUAUCCAUUUAAAAUAUACAGUCAAUGAGUUUUGACAGACUCACAUCCACAACACAGCCAUGACAAUCAAAAUCCAGAACAUCUUCAUCACUUCCAAAAGUUUCUGUGUGUCCCUUUGCGGUCUUUCUCUCACCCUGGCCCUAGGCACACUCUGAUCUGCUUUUUGUCUCUAUAGGUUAGUUGGCAGUGUCUACAAUUUUACAGAAAUGGAAUCAAUAUAGUAUAUACUCUUUUGUUUCUGGUUUCUUCCAUUCAGUAUAAAGAUUUUGAGACACACCCAUACUGUUACAUGUGUAAGUCAUUUGUUCCUUCUUAUCAGUGAAUUAAUUAAUUUCCACACAGAGCCCGAUGCAGGGCUCGAACUCACGAACCACAGAGCCCGAUGCAGGGCUUGAACUCAUGAACCGUGAGAUCGUGACCUGAGCCAAAGUCAGAUGCUUAACCAACUGAGCCACCCAGGUGCCCCCCUUCUGGACUCUUGAAGGGAGAGUCUGUCCUAUGCCUAGCUUCUGGAGUCUCCUAGGUGUUCCUCAGCCAACCUUCCUGCCUAUGUCUUCACAUGGCCUUCUCCUUCUAGGUCUCAGUGCUGUCUCCUUUUCCGUCUCUUAUAAGGACUCUGUCAUUGGACUUAGGGGGCAGCCUGUUGCAGGAUGACCUCAUCUCAAGAUCUUUACCUUAAUUACAUCUUUAAAGGCCCCUUUUCCAAACUAGGUCACAUUCUGAGGUUCCAGAUAGUCAUCUUUUGGAAGUCACAAUGGAACUCACUCUACGCAUAUUUUAGAAGAUUUCCUCCUAAAUAUUGUGUUUUAUGAUGCUGUUAUAAAUGGUUUAAAAUUCUUCGUUUCUAAUGAUUUGCUGCUAGUGCCUAAAAAUAUAAUUGACUUGGAUAUGUUAAUCUUGUAUUUGCUGGAUAAUAAUUUGCCAAAUGCAAUUAUUCUGGCCAUUGUUAUAGAGAUUAUUUUAGGAUUUUCUACUUAAACGAGCACACCAAUUACAAAAAGUUACAUCAGUUACCAAAAAAAAAAAAAAAAAAAAGCCAUGUUGCUUUUUCUAGUUAUGCUUUUCUUUUUCUUGCUUUAUUACAAUUACUAAGAUAGAUGUCCAGUGAAAUGGUGACUAGAAGUAAUUUGAGCAGGCCUUUUCCCAAUAUUAUGGGGAAAUGAUUUUAUAAUUAAGCAUUAGGGAUUUUGUUUAUAAUAAGUUUUUGUAGGAUGUGUGUUAUCAGAUUGAGAAAAUUCCUUUUUUAUCCCUAAUAUGAGAGGUUUUUUCAUAAAAAAAAGAAUAAGAAUUUUUUUCAAAUGAUUUUUCUGCACCUAUGGAAAUAAUGGUGCUUUUUCCCAUAUAUCCUACUAAUAGGAUGAAUUACUUUGCUUAUUAGAUAUAAAUCCAUCUUAUGUUUCUGGAAUAAAUCCUAGUGGGAGACAAUGCUCUUUAAUAUGUUGCAAGAUUUGAUUUAUUACAAUUUUGUUAAGGAUUUUUGCGUUUAUGUUUAUCAGGUAUAUUGGUCUGUGAUUGCCUUAUAAUUUAUUUGCCCAAUUUUGAUUUAAUUUAAAAAAAAGUAUUCCCUGUUCUUCUAUUUUCUGGAAGAGUUUUGUAAGAUUAGCAUUAUUUCUUACUUGGAUAUUUGAUAGGAAUCACCAGUCAUACCAUUUGGACCCGGAAUUUUCUCUGUGGGAAAGUUUAGAUAAUGAAUUUAAUUGCUCUUAGAGAUACGAGGCCAUUUAGAUUUUCUGUUUCAUCGGUGUCCAUUUGAGUAAGUUGUAUUUUUUAAGGCAUUUGUCCAUUUUAUCGAAGUUCUGACCUCGUUAUUUUUAAUAUGUCUGCCCUAGAUAUCUUCUCCUCUUGAAACUUUCCCUGACCCUUCCAACAGAAGUGAUUUCACAUUCUUCGUGCCAUUACUUUAUCUAGUAGCCCUUGUACUCCCCACUUUCCUAUGCGGCUGUGUGCCCAUAUGUCUCUUCUUAUGCUAAGUGAAGGGCCUUAAAGUUUCACGAUUGCAUCCUCUUUAUCUCUGAGUCUCUGCCACCUUGUAUGGUGCUUGGCACAUAAUAGAUACCAUCUACCGCCAAGGUUUCGUCAACCUGUUCCACUUAUCAUGGUCUGAUUUAUAGCUACACAUGCAUGUUUCUGACUUCCUCAGUAGAUUAGGAGCAUCUUUUGCAAAAAUGGCAAGUACCAGUCCAUGUUCAUAUUCCUUCCAUGUGUUAGAUUUAGAAUAAUUUAACCUCUAAAAUAACACUAAUCUUACAAAACCCUUCCAGAAAAUAGAAGAACAAGGAACACUGCCUCACUCACUUAAAAAAAAAAAUGUUUAUUUAUUUUUGAAGGAGAGAGAGACAGAGCAUGAACUGAGGAGGGGCAGAGAGAGAGGGAGACACAGAAUCUGAAGCAGGCUCCAGGCUCUGAGCUGUCAACCCAGAGCCCGACGAAGGCCUUGAACUCAUGAACCCCAAGAUCAUGACCUGAGCCAAAGUUGGACGCUUAACUGACUGAGCCACCCCAGUGUUUCUUCCCUCACUCAUUUUUAAUCAAAAUUGGACUAUUAAAUCAAUCAAACUGUAUAGAAAGUCAGUGUUCUAUAAAUGCACAAAAUAGGUUAAAUGGAAAUCAGGAAAGCAUGCAUCAAAAAAGGGAGAGAAAUAAGGAAACUAACAUUGUUGAGUGCUUACUAUAAGCCGGACAUUGUGAUGAACAAUUUAUAUUCCUUAUCUCAUUUAACCUCAAAAUAAAUAGGCAUAGAAAAUCCAAUCAUCCCCAAUUUUACAUGUCAGGAAUCUGAGUUUCCAAAAAGUGAAGUACUUUGCCCAAGUCCACAGAGUUAUUAAGUGGCAGAUCUGGGCUUCAGAUCCAAGCCUGAAUGAUUCCAUUAUCCAUCUUAUUGGUUGCAAUUAUACUUUUGCCCAUUUGAUUUUCUACAAGGCACUUGAUGGAUUUUUUCCCAGGUUACCUCUAAAUUUUGCCAGAGUAGAAUAUUAUGUGCCCCCCACUUCCAACUGAGUGUUGGAAUUACUGUAAGUUUAGAAAAACACCCAAGUAUUCCCUGAAUACUUGUUCAUAUAUAUAUAUAUAUAUAUAUANNNNNNNNNNNNNNNNNNNNNNNNNNNNNNNNNNNNNNNNNNNNNNNNNNNNNNNNNNNNNNNNNNNNNNNNNNNNNNNNNNNNNNNNNNNNNNNNNNNNNNNNNNNNNNNNNNNNNNNNNNNNNNNNNNNNNNNNNNNNNNNNNNNNNNNNNNNNNNNNNNNUACCUCUAAAUUUUGCCAGAGUAGAAUAUUAUGUGCCCCCCACUUCCAACUGAGUGUUGGAAUUACUGUAAGUUUAGAAAAACACCCAAGUAUUCCCUGAAUACUUGUUCAUAUAUAUAUAUAUAUAUAUAUAUUAAAUUUGUUUAAUGUUUAUUUAUUUUGAGGGAGAGACAGACAGCGUGCAAGCCGAGGAGGGGCAGAGAGAGAGAAGGAAACACAGAAUCAGAAGCAGGCUCCAGGCUCUGAGCUGUCAGCACAGAGCCCGACGUGGGGCUCGAACUCACAAACCGUGAGAUUGUGACCUGAGCCGAAGUCAGACGCUCAGGAGCCACCCAGGCGCCCCUCUUGUUCAAUAUGUCUUGAUAGUAGAUAUAUGAAACACCAGAUCCAAUCGCAUAGCCUCUCUGCUAUUGCUAACUAAGAUGCUUCUACCUUAAGUCUCUUGGCUCUCAACACAAUAGUACUCUACAAAUCACCUAACCAGGGUUCUCAUGAUAAUCAGGCUUUUCCCAAUUAGAAAUAAUGACUAAUGCACCAUUUUCCCGAUACAUUUUAGCCAAAGAACUAGGAAGGGGAGGCAUGUUUUUCAACGAUUCCAGCCUAUCAGUCGAAGCAAGAUGUUCCGAGGUCUUCCCAGUGUGGAAAACAACAACAGCAUAAUGGCAUUUGUUUAUUUAUUAUUUGUGUACAAUACCAUGGUCAGGAACUUGCCGUUUCAGCAGGGAAAUUAUUGCAAUACAUCUUUUUUUUAAUGUUUAUUUAUUUUUGAGACAGAGAGAGACAGAGCAUGAACGGGGGAGGGGCAGAGAGAGAGGGAGACACAGAAUCCAAAGCAGGCUCCAGGCUCUGAGCUGUCAGCACAGAGCCCGACGUGGGGCUCGAACUCACGGACCGUGAGAUCAUGACCUGAGCCGAAGUCGGACGCCCAACCGACUGAGCCACCCAGGCGCCCCAGCAAUACAUCUUUGAGGAGAUGACUUACUUCACACUGAUCAUUCCCUGUAGUCUGCCAUGGGGAGGUUGAUACUUUCAUGCAUUAUAAGCACCAGACAAGGUAGCUGGAUAAAUUUUCUCUCUUGAAAUUCUAGUCUCGGUUGGAAUGACUCCCUCAGGCAUCCACAGCUCUAGGUUCUUGCUGACUAAGAAAUGAAGCAAAUACUCCCAGGGGUGUUCACAUUUGGGAAAAAAAAAUCUAAAAAAAAGUAUCCCUGCUGUUUAGAUGUCAGAGAUCAACAUGGGGAGAUUUCUUACCUUUAGGUAGAAGAUAGAGCUUCUUUGUAGUCUGAGCAUCAAACUUGAGAGGACAUCAUCAAGACUUCGUAUUAAUUAGUAAUGUUUAUUCACAGAAACCUUGAUCAAAUGAUAUUCUAGGUGGAGGCAGGUUAGAAGAGGUUGGAAUGAAUACGUGAACCCUUGGAAGCUAUUAUCGGCUGAGGAUUUUUGAUGAGUUGCCACUUGAAAUCAAGGAAAAUACCAAGGAUAGUAGGAGUUGAGAAGAAGAGAAGGGCAGGAUGUAAUCUUUCUUCUUCCACUUAACAUUGUGCAUAAGGAGAGCCCAGUCUAUAUGAGCUGCCCUAUAGAAACUUGCUGAAUGAAUGAAUGAAUGAGUGUUUGAUUCUGAACUUUCCUACACUCUAACUUAAAAUUAUGAUGGAUGUGUUGUGCUCCAUUUGGGUGUUGCAGGAAGCCAGGAGGGACCUUUCUAUUCGAUCUUGGAAACUGAGAGUGACUUUGUACUGCCUGGUUAGAACAAGCUUCUGGCCAUUAUUCCAUUUAUCCAGAGGCAGAAGGGACCCUCUUGCCUGUCACUAGAACACUUGCCAGUUUCAACAAAGAGCCUAUAUUGUAUUGCCUAAGGAAACAGUGUUUCCUCUUACAAGGUACAAUCUUGGCUCCUCUGCCACGAGGGGGGGUGUUCUUGAAAAUGUGCUCCAGAGACCUUCCUAUUUAACCAGGAUGCAAAUUGCAUUGCUACAUAAUUCCCCCUGCUGAGGCCCUAUGAAAGGAAGAAGUUGGGACAGAUACAGCAAGAUAUUAGGGCAGAUUUUCCCCCAUUCUUCCUGCUCUGCUACACAGAAGUGAACUUGAUUUCAACAAGAUGACCCAAUUCUUAGCAUGCUUUUCUACCCACUUUUACCCAUAACACUUCCAAAUCACUGUCUGAUUCACAUUGUAGAGAAACCAAAUGGAAAAGAAAAGAUAAACUGGCCACUAAAAAGUAAAAUGGCAUUUAAUUAAAACUAAGCUUCCAAGUUAAUGGGGGGGGGAGUGGGAAAUGGUAUUUUGUUAAAAAACACACACACACAAAACAAAACAAAAGCUCUGUGAUUAAACCUCAGGACAGCAUAGCACAUCACUACCCUUUUGUGGUUUUGAGUGCCUUUUAUUUGUGCACUGGAGGCAGAUAUUUGUCAUGUUGUUAAUAAUUGCUCUACUAAAUUGUGCCCAACAGUGUGCCUUGUUUAUUCGCAGACCUUUCAUUUUCUUCCUGUACUUUCCUUAAGCUUGUUUCUGAUGGGUGAUGCGUUCACAUGCGUUUUCAAUUUUAAAGAACACAAUCCGUUCAUCUCACUAGGCAUCUUUAUUUGCUUAAAGUGGGGGAGGAAUCAGAUCGCAAUUAUGUUGUAAAUAAGUCCAUCCGCUUCCUCCCCUUUGCAGGAAAAGCUGGGGGUGACAGCAAAGAGAGCCCAAAGAAAUAGAAAUUCUACUAGGUUUUUAUGAACUCAGGCCUUAGAGCAAAUAGAACUAAAUCUGUGGAGUUGGUGGAGGGAAGUGACAAAAAUGCAAACGGUGUUUUGUUAGAGCUUUUACUCUAAGGCAUUCCAGUGUUUCCUUCCCUUCUCUUCCUUCCACUACCCUGACCCCACUCCAGCCCCAUGGUCAGAAUCGAGGGCACGGGGCGCUUCCGAAGCCAGAAGGAGAACAAGAAUGAGGCUCUGGGUUCAUCUGUCCGGGUCACCGUGAGAGGUGCAGGCAGAAAGGUAGCCGAGAGGGCCUCGUUUUUUGACCUCUCUAAAGCUGCCAUCAGAGAAACUCCUAAAGAACUUUCUGAUUUUUAAAAUACUGAAUCCUAAAAAAAAAUUCUUUUAAUUAAAUAAGAUACUUAAUCUUGUUGCGAAUCUUUUGAGGUAGGAAAAUCUGAUGAGAAAUAAACGUUCGCUGUAUUCCUAUGCACUGGGUAGGCUCCUGGAAACAUUGGAGGGAUUGUUCGCCAGAAAGCCUUGGCAGUUUUCAGAGCUGGCUGGCCAAGUCAUGAGAGACGAGGAGAAGUGGUUUGUGUAGCAUUGAGUCCAGCAUUGUGUGCAAAACACAGGUUUCGAUGUAAAGAAAUCUGUUGCACAAAAACCUUGGAGAACCGAAUCCUCCCUUGUCUUUACAGGUACUCUCUCCUUCAAAAAAAACCUUUUUUAGAAAAUCUGAAAAAAUAUAAGAGAAUCAACGUGGUCCUAAAGGAAGCGUAUCUCUUUGUUUUAAUUUUCUUUUCUUUUUGCUUUUACAUUUAAGAGUUAAGACAACAUUUCAGCAGAGAAAUGUGGAGAAGGGUAAAGGGAAAUCAAUAAAGUUAUUCUGUGACUUUUCCCAGGAGGCGGCUGUGUUAAUCGAGAAAGGCCUGCUUGGCUAUAUAUCAAGUUCGAGGAGAGAGCAGGAGUUGAUUUUGAAACAGAUUUUCCCAGCUAGGCUGAAGGAGAUAUAUAUAUAAUAUACAUAUAUGUACAUACAUACAUGUGUGAUGUUUACAAGAAUGGCAUAUAUCUGCAUUACACUAUUCUAUACAUUCUAACAUAUAUGAAAAGUAGAUUUAAAAUUUAAUUUAAAAAGUAGAUAAAAAUAAUUGCUUUAGGUAAUGAGUGAUACCGAUAUCAAAAAUUCCUCUAACCGUCGUUUCUGCAUGGUGAUCUAGGAUCGUUUUACACUUUAUGAGUUUCUCUAGUAAGUUCUUCGACUCCCAAAGAAGGAACGUGAUGUACAAAAGCCUAAGGUGACAGAUGGAAGGGAUGGAAACCGGAUAGAUUUCCUGACGCAAGGCCAGUGGAAGUGUCGUUGACCGUAGGGAAACUUCUAAAGAGUCUCUCUGGGUUAUUCAUGUGGUCACUUUCUCUAGUGAUCAGUGCUAUAGCAGGUGUGAUUUCAGCAGAGUUUUUGAAAGCCAAGUUGGUCAGGACACUGCCCAGUUACGCUGGGUCACAGCACCACAUUCUCGCGGUCACUGGAAGCAGUGGUGGGUUCUUUCUGAACAGAUUUGGGCAACAUAAUUGGGUGGGAGGCAGGAUACCUGAGUGUCAGGCCUGACUUCAUCUUCACAGUGAUCUUGAGUGAAUUACCUCUCCUUUCUGGAUGUCAGUUUCCCUUUGUAUGAAAUGGGAUGGAUAAUUCUUGCCUCUUCUGGACAACUUCCUUAUUGCCUAAGAAUCUUGUCAAAACUUCUUUGAUCCAGGCAAUGCUCAGGAGAUUUGGGAGACCGUUAAAUGGGGAUCUCCUUUUCAUGACCCGAUCUGCUGUGAUCAAUUCCUCCAUUCUGAGACUCUUCACGUGUUUCUUCUUUCAUUUUGGAUGUUCGGAUUCUAUAUUGUUUUUAACAUCAGCUAAGAUGCUCUAUUUAUUUUCAAAAGACCAAUUCCGUCUGUAUCAUAACUGUUAAGAAAAUAGUUUUGUAAGAAAAUGGAAUCUAGACAGAGAGAGGGACUGUGCAGUUCUAGAAUUUUCCUGGAGGGGAUUUAAAAGUUCAUCUAGUCUCAUCCUCUCAUUUUAUAUUCAAGGAGGAAGCUAAUGAUCCGAGAGGAAAAAUGUCUUGUCCAAGGUCGCUAUGACAACAUUUUUUUUAACUUUUUAAAAAAAUUAAUUAUUUUUUAAUUUACAUCUAAAUUGGUUAGCAUAUAGUGACACAAUGAUUUCAGGAGUAGAUUCCUUAGUGCCCCUUACCCAUUUAGCCCAUCCCCCCUCCCACACCCCCUCCAGCAACCCUCAGUUUGUUCUCCAUAUUUACGAGUCUCUUCUGUUUUGUCCCCCUCCCUGUUUUUAUAUUAUUUUUGUUUCCCUUCCCUUAUGUUCCUCUGUUUUGUCUCUUAAAGUCCUCAUAUGAGUGAAGUCAUAUGAUAUUUGUCUUUCUCUGACUGACUAAUUUCACUUCGCAUCAUACCCUCCAGUUCCAUCCACGUAGUUGCAAAUGGCAAGAUUUCAUUCUUUUGGAUUGCUGAGUAAUACUCCAUUGUAUAAACAUACCACAUCUUUACCUGUUCAUCCAUGCUGUCACAGAAUUAAGCAGAGAACCCACGUCUCUUUAACUUUCAGUUCUAUAUUUUUUCCAUUGAUUCAUGUGCCUUGAGACCACUAUGAUUAGAAACAGUACCCGAAGUUCAAAUAAGCAGUCCGGACCAAGAUUUGUCAACCUUUGGCUUUCCCCAGGGCCAUAUUCUAAUUCUCUGUGCAUAACCUGACCAACGUGGCAUUAGCAUCCUCAUGGAGGAUGGAUUCAUGGUUGCCAGAGCCUCUUCUUUGUCCCCUCCUGUCCCAUAAGACCCAGCCUAGACUCUGGAUCUAAUUGAACUCCUACUUUUCCAAGCUUACUUUGGACAUGGUUGCAUUUGCACUUUAUCUGACAGCUCUUAAAUUUUAUCUGUAAGUUGACUUUACAUAUUUUUUUAAAUUUUUAUGUUUAUUUAUUUUUGAGAGAGAGAGAGAGAAACAGAGCGUGAGCGGGGGAGGGUCAGAGAGAGAGGGAGACACAGAAUCCAAAACAGGAUCCAGGCUCCGAGCUGAACUGUCAGCACAGAGCCCCAGGCAGGGCUCAAACCCACAGACCGUGAGAUCAUAACCUGAGCCGAAGUCGAAUGCUUAAUCUACGGAGCCACUCUUGUGCCCCAACUUUACACAUUUUUUAUUCGACAUUUACUGAGAGUUUACUGUGUGCCAGUCAUGGGCAGUGGGCCGGAGAUACAGAGCUGGAUCCCACAGUCUCUUAAGUACAAUCAUGGUGUAAUAGGUCCUGCAUGAGAUAUGCUCAUACGAGAUGUGCUGUGUGGCGGCGGGAAGCGAUGAAGAAGGAGAGCCUGGGGUCAUCUGAAGAAGUCCAAGAAGAUGUUAGAUCUGGUGAUAAUUGCCUUUACUCUCUCCUCUCCUUCUUUAUCAGAGCCAAGAAGUUAAUUUUAGACAAUAGUGUUUUCCAGAGCCAUCUCUGCCUUGUGUUCAGCAAAAGAGAAGUAGCAUGUAGGAUUUUUCUUUUACUUCCUGGCUUAGAUAUUCUCACCUUCCUCCAUAAAUUCUCUGAACAAAGCAGGUUUCCUGAUACUUCAGUCAAUUCCUCCUGUGCUACAGAAAGCAAGUCCUCUGGGCCCAGGGAUGCACACAUAUGUAGAUUCGUUGGGGGAAGAAGAUGUUAUUCACCAAUCAUUUCCUCUCCAACUUUAAUUUUUAAAUCAGUUUUCUUUAUUUACUUUGUAUUUAAAAAGACCUUGACAGGUUGACACCUAGGUGCUUACUAGAAACACCCAACAGCUCUGUUAACGUUUUAUAACAGAGCCCUAGCCAGAUUUUGUUUGUUUUAUUUUCAAAGUGCGUCUCCUCCUUCCUUACCUUAGAGCUGGUCUCAUUUUCCCGUCAAUUUGAAGACAUGGAUUUGGAGUAAUUGAGCACAUGGCAGGAGAGGAAAAUCAUCAAUUGAAGAUUGCUUGCCUAUGCGUAAUCCGUUGAUUGGUCUGUGUUCAUAACACUGUGACCCUAGAUUAUAUUAAAUUCCCAGCACAGGACAGACAGAACAAUAAUUUGUAAAGCACCUAUCAUGCGGCAGGCACAACGCUAACCAUAGUAAAAUCAUAAUCAGCACACUUCACGCAGGAGGUAUUAAGUAUCACGCAGAGCUAAGAGACCCACGGGCCCAUAAACCGAACAAUUUUCCAGACUUGCGGUAGGUCGUCAUAAUAUCACGGUGAAUCUUGGAAGACUUAAGAAUGCCAGAAAGUUCACUUAACCUCCCUUCAUUUGGGGGUGCAGGUUGGUUGCAAACUCCAGUUGAUUUACCCUGCCUGGAUUGGAGAGUGUGCAGUCCAACAUUCCUGAAGGGCAAAGCAUCGGACCCCGGAAGGCUAGCGUGGCUCCCUGUGACAGAGUUCCCUGUGGUCUUCCUGUCAUUGCUGUUUGCAGCAUGGAGAGACUCUUCGACGAGGGUUGAGUGCGCCACAUUUAAAAUCUCUGAGUUAGCAGUUUCCACCUUGAGAAUAUUCCUGGCUUUCUCCCCCAGAGUGCUCCCCAUGCAUCUAUCUCCGUUUGAAUCUUAGCAGGAAGUCCGGGGCUGCCACGGCACCUCAGUCCCCAAAAUGUGUCUCAAACAGUGUUUCUGUGUUCUUUUAAGUUUAUUAAUUCUGCACACUCAGUGCUUUUGAAACUCCUCUAUUUCACAAACACUCAAGUAAAUGUAAUCGUAUCUUUUUGAAGCUCUUCCUUACUGUGCUGUCAUUAGUAAAUAAUGGGGGAAACCAGGCGGCAUAGGGUAUGAUUAUUAGUAACAAUACUUUGGAUUUGCACAAACUCACUCUCAAUGAACCCUAGGCAGUUCCUACACAUUAGCUCAUUUUUCCUCACCACAGCUGGGCCGGGAGACCUAGAUUCUAUUCUUGGUGCUUCAACAACCUUCUUGGGAAAAGUAUUUAGCCACUAAUUGCCUCAGUUCCCAACUAUGAAAAGGGAAUAAUGAUAUUAGGAUAUUUGCCUCUCCCUGUCUUUAUCCUAGACCUUUAGAACCUAACUAGUAAAAAAAAAAAAAUGUUUUUAAUCUGAAGAGCCUAAAAAGUCUAAAAGAGAAGGAGUGUGGCUUGACUUUAUUUCCAUUAAUGAAAAGGUGAGAUACAGUCUUAGGAGUUUGACUGGAAACCUUGAAAUCUGAAUUGUAAUCCAGUAUCUGCUUCAUGAUAGACCAUUGCCUUGGAUACCUCUCUCCUUUAUAUUGGAAAGCACUUAGUGAUCCAGCAAUGGUGAAUACUAUAAAAGGGGACUGAUCUUCUAAGGAGCAUUAAUUUGGUCAGCAAAGAUGUCUCUAUGAGCCAUGGCAUCAAUAAGACUGAAUUUAAGAUGAGAACACUCUUGGCUUCCAAAGCCUUCCCCUCCCCCCACCUCUCUCCUUUUCCUCACAACCUCCUGGCUGUGUAGCUGUUUCAAAUAUAUAGACAAAUAACUCCAGCCCAAGUCCCUGGCCUAUAUCUUUGGUCUCCUAUCAUCUCUAGACUCUUGGCCUGGCAAUCUCCAUCUUCAAAAGUUCCAGGGGCAGAAAUAAGCCUUUUUGCUUGCCAGCCUAAACCUAAUGACUGAGUGGCAGGGAACCUAGACCAAAAUAGAACUUGGCUCUUAGAUGAUAUGCAUCAGCCAAGAAUAAUGCUUCUUUUUUAACGUCAGGCUCCAUUCUAUUAGUGCACAGGUAAUAGGGAUCUCAUCCUUUAGAAGGGCCUUGAUUUUCUCUAUUUUUCACUCUCAGUUUACCCACUUAUUGUAUAGGAGUGAAAGCUUCUCUCUUUUACCUGCCUACAUCCAAAAGCCUAUUGAAAUGUACUACUUACAAAUUGGUCAAGUCAGACCCCAAGGCAGUGGGCCAUAGAGUACCUUCCAGAGGGCUUCAUAGACAACAUGGGCUCGUCAGAUAAGUGACAGUCCUUGUAUGGAGUUAAUCCAGAAGCCAAGAAAAGUCCUCUGAAGCUCACCCAAUGAAGCAUAAGGAGGCAACAGAAUUAGUAUACAUAUUCAUAUCAAAAAAUAUUAUUAAAUAAUAUGCUGAAGACUUCUCUCACCGUUGAUUUCCCCUAAUAUCCUAAAAGGCUAAGGAAAGCGAAAUAAUAUUUUUUUUUCUUUUUUACUAGGCAAAAAUUCAAGUCUUUAGCCUGACAUUACUUAACCUGACACUUGGAACUCUUACAGAUUUGGGGUAUAAAAUCCGCCAGAUGACUCCUUUGGAGACCACUGGAGCUUCAGACUGUUUGCACCAAACGCUGCUCCCUACUGGCUCAAAGUCUCAUUGCUUCAGGAAAAUGGUUUUGCUGAUCAAGGCAGAAGGAAGCUUCGUCUUCCUCCCCUUCCUGGGAAUAUCUUUUUGUCAGUUAAUGAGGGACUCUUGCUGAGGGAAUUUAGAUCGUUCCCAUCUAAAGUAUGUUUAGAGUUUGGGGGCUGGAGUCGGGGGGACUGUGGUUAUGCAUCCAGCUGUCCCUUGAGAGUCACGGUCAGCCACCAAGGAUGCAUCUUUAGAAACUUGAGUGGUGUCAAAACUCUGAAUGUGCAUCAAUGCCUGUCAAAGGACGGAUUGAGCGCCAUCAUAUUCUCCCUGCCCGCCCCUAUCACCCGGAUGAGGUCUCGGAUGGAAGCUAGCCUGCCAAGGAUACCACUUGUACACGCUUCAGUACUCUUUCCUUAGGCAAAUAAGGACUUGUGUAACCUUUUUUCAGAAUACAUAUUAUGAAACUCUGGAGCCUUUCGGUCAUAUGGUCACGAACGAUUUCUAGCUUCUCAACCUCUUUUUUUCUGAAAUGAGGGCAUCUGAGCUCGGUUGCUUAUCUCAGAUCUGGACUUACCCACACACUUUAAAGUGCAAGAGAUCUCCCUCCCUCCCUGCGUGUAGCCCAGAAUAGGCCUUCACAGCCACGUCAUCCUGGACACUUUAUCACUUGAUAUUACCUCCUAAUCCACAGAUCAGUGAGAUUUCAGACAGAAUCUGUCUGGCUCUCAAACAGAAACAGCAUGACUUCAGAACAUUUAGAAUGAAUUAAGCAGACCAAUUUGUUAUUUUUCAGAAACACAAAGGUGGCUAUAAGUGGGACCUCAGCCAGAGUAUGGUCUUAGAAAAUAAGGUUGCAGUUCACCCUUUAUAAAAUGUUAUUUUACGUGGCAUCGUACUAAGCGUUCUUCCAAGGGUUAUUUAGACAUGAGCUCUGAUCACUCAAAAAGUUACAGUCAAAGCCACAUCAGCAUAAACGUUUAUUAAAAAACUUUUGCUAUGGGGGUACCUGGGUGGCUCAGUCCAUUCGUUGGGCAUCCAACUUCGGCUCGGGUCAUGAUCUCAUGGUUCGGUUUGUGGGGUCAUGCCCCACGUAGGGCUCUGUGCUGAUGGCUCAGAGCCUGGAACCUGCUUCGGAUUCUGUGUCUUCUUCUCUCUCUGCCCCUCUCCCGCUCACACUCUGUCUCUCUCUGCCUCUCAAAAAUAAAUAAAUGUUAGAAAAAAAAAAACUUUUGCUAUAUACCAGGUGCUGAGCUGUAUACCAGAAACACAAUAGCAAUCAUGUGACAACCACCCUCCGCGUUCAUCUUGGAAUUUGGAGCUAGAGACAACAUAGUCUAUGGAUAGUGCCAACACCAGAACAUCGAGUUCUUUCCUCUAGCUAACGGACUUAUACUGCCGAGCACAGUGCCUGACAUACAGUCAAGUACUCAAUAAAUAUUCCUUGGCUAAAAUGAGCUCAUGAAAAGAAUGAAUACAUGUUAAAGUGGAGUAAGUAUAGACUGCUAUGGAAAACACAUCGGAGGAGAAACCAGGCUGGUGGGAGGGGAUGAACUGUGUGGAAAGUGUCAUUUACACGGAGACAAGAGUCAACACAAUGAUCUAAAGGAAAGACCGGGCUCAUGGAGUUCGACCUGGUUCGGAUCCUAGUGCUGCGCUCAGAGCUGGGCAGUUCCAACUAUCCCAAACCUUUGAAAACACUGAUGAUGGCUUUGGAAGACAAAAUGAGAUAUUAUUUGCCUGUAAGUGUCUGUCACAUCGAAGAACUCAAGAGCAGCUAGUAAAGGAGGAACAGAGAACAGAACUGCAACGUUAAAGCAAUAAAGACCUGAGGAGUAAGGUUAAGAGCACAAACACUUUGAGGGAUGGAUGGCAACGACGAGCUUAAUUUAAAGUCACGGUGGCAGCAGGGAGAGGUGCUCCCGAAGUUCUUAGCUUCUAAGCCCAGACGAGGCUGGGGGGAGGGUAGGUGUCUUACGGGAUUUAUCUUCCUCUUCCAAUCCGUCUGAAGGCUUUCAAAUUCAGCUUUUAGCUGCAAAACCACGUGGGCCCUGCCUGUCACUGUUUACGGUAUGGUAAAUGCCCUUUUCAGAUCAUCAGAUCCUCUUAAAAUAUUGUGACGUGUCGAAGCUCGAGACAGACCAUAUAUGUGUGUAUGUUUAUAUACAGAGACAUAGAAAUACACACAUAAAAAUAUAACCCUUUUCUCUAGAAGGCCUUGCAAUAAUUAGCUUCUGUUGCUUUUAUCUUAAAUACCCACAAAUAUACCAGACCCCUUUCUUCUGUGCUUCCUUCCCUCCAUGUCCAUCAGGCCCUUUCCCACUGCAUUCAUAUAGUUAGAUCAGCGCGCGCGCGCGCACACACACACACACACACACACACACACACNNNNNNNNNNNNNNNNNNNNNNNNNNNNNNNNNNNNNNNNNNNNNNNNNNNNNNNNNNNNNNNNNNNNNNNNNNNNNNNNNNNNNNNNNNNNNNNNNNNNNNNNNNNNNNNNNNNNNNNNNNNNNNNNNNNNNNNNNNNNNNNNNNNNNNNNNNNNNNNNNNNNNNNNNNNNNNNNNNNNNNNNNNNNNNNNNNNNNNNNNNNNNNNNNNNNNNNNNNNNNNNNNNNNNNNNNNNNNNNNNNNNNNNNNNNNNNNNNNNNNNNNNNNNNNNNNNNNNNNNNNNNNNNNNNNNNNNNNNNNNNNNNNNNNNNNNNNNNNNNNNNNNNNNNNNNNNNNNNNNNNNNNNNNNNNNNNNNNNNNNNNNNNNNNNNNNNNNNNNNNNNNNNNNNNNNNNNNNNNNNNNNNNNNNNNNNNNNNNNNNNNNNNNNNNNNNNNNNNNNNNNNNNNNNNNNNNNNNNNNNNNNNNNNNNNNNNNNNNNNNNNNNNNNNNNNNNNNNNNNNNNNNNNNNNNNNNNNNNNNNNNNNNNNNNNNNNNNNNNNNNNNNNNNNNNNNNNNNNNNNNNNNNNNNNNNNNNNNNNNNNNNNNNNNNNNNNNNNNNNNNNNNNNNNNNNNNNNNNNNNNNNNNNNNNNNNNNNNNNNNNNNNNNNNNNNNNNNNNNNNNNNNNNNNNNNNNNNNNNNNNNNNNNNNNNNNNNNNNNNNNNNNNNNNNNNNNNNNNNNNNNNNNNNNNNNNNNNNNNNNNNNNNNNNNNNNNNNNNNNNNNNNNNNNNNNNNNNNNNNNNNNNNNNNNNNNNNNNNNNNNNNNNNNNNNNNNNNNNNNNNNNNNNNNNNNNNNNNNNNNNNNNNNNNNNNNNNNNNNNNNNNNNNNNNNNNNNNNNNNNNNNNNNNNNNNNNNNNNNNNNNNNNNNNNNNNNNNNNNNNNNNNNNNNNNNNNNNNNNNNNNNNNNNNNNNNNNNNNNNNNNNNNNNNNNNNNNNNNNNNNNNNNNNNNNNNNNNNNNUAUCUCUACAUAUGUCCCUUCAUCCUGCCCAAAUGCUUCACAUCUCCCAGACUCCUAGGGUUAAUCCCAGGGACAACCUUGCUUUGAAAGAAAAAAAUGUGGUGAGCCUACUAGAAGAUGUGGAACUCAGAGGCCUCUGUCUGUCCCUGCUUCAGCCAGACCCCAGACAGCCGGCUCAAGGAGAUGGACAUUUACAGAGAAGGAAGCAGUAAGUUUAUGUUUGUUGCUGUUUAUUUUCCAGGCUUGGUCUCUCUCCCCAGAAUUAAGGUCCCUGACAGCAUGAGGCUUUUUCUUUUUUCUUUUCUUUUCUUUUCUUUUCUUUUCUUUUCUUUUCUUUUCUUUUCUUUUCUUUCCUUUCCUUUCCUUUCCUUUCCUUUCCUUUUCUUUUUUCUUUUUUCUUUUUCCACCCCUCUCCUUUCGUUUCUUUUUCUUUUCUUUCUUUCUCAGCAGAAGUAAAUGAUAUCCCCUUCCCAUCUUGGGGGAUGAUUCAGAAAAGCAAUCGAAUUAGAAAGGGUUUCUUCACUGGUGUUCCUGUCUUGGGUUAAAAAUAUCUGAAGCUGAUUUGUGCGUGCUUAUUCUCAACACUGUAAUAUUUUAAUGUGUAUCUGCAUUUGUUCAAGUAAUUUGUAGUGAUUGUUCUUCUCCAGAAUAAAUACUAUAUAUCUGGCUGAUUGGUUGUAAUUAGGAUGAAUUUGUCCCGGCACUUGCACGGAUGUCUUCUUUGAGGAUUUUUGCGCAUAUUUGCUGCUCAUCAAAGGGGAGGCUAGAAGGACUUUGGAAGGAGGGUGUGGUCGGGCUGAUUCAGCUUCCUUCCAGGCCCAUCCCUGACUUCUCUCUGCUCCUCCCUCUCCCCAUCUCCUACCCCGGCUCCACACGUCCUUCCUGAGCCAGCUGUCAAGGAAAUGGCAUAUACCUUUCUUUUCUAUCACCGCCUGUGUUAGACGGCUAGGUAGGCGACCGGUCCCUGCAAACAAACUCACUGCAUUUGUUAUCUGAGCGUAUUUUUCCAAAGCAAGACAGACACCGGGCUAUUGAAUCUACUCCCUAAGCUCCUCUCACCCUGGGAUUCUUAGCCAACACAGUAAUAACAAUAAUAAUACUGUAUUUAGAAACUCUCCAGCACAUUUCCUCUCUGAGAGUCUUACAGAUGUUAACUAAUUAAUUUUCACAACGCUCCGUAUGAGAGAGGUAAAUAUUAUUAACCAGGAUGGAAUAUACAUAUGUAUAUACGCGAAGGACAGCAAAACAGUUCACUUGCUUAUCAUGGUUCACUUGAUAUAGUAACUGGUAUUUUUAAAACACCCAUCAUAGAUACAAUAAUUAGAGAUGUGCUUUUGUUAACAAAGCCACUACCCACUUCUAGCGUACCCUUGGGUACUAAAUAAUUACCCACUUUGUGUGGUUAUCUAGCUCACUAAUUACCCACAGAAAUUGGGGUCAGGCGUUAACUGCUUGAAGUAAGGAUCCUCCAAAGACGUCGCUGAGUUGUGUAGAGAACACGAUGUGUUCGUAGCAAAACUUUCGUAACUCAUACAUUUGUAUAUCUUUGUAAGCAGAGUGAAUACAGACAGGGGCGGAUUCGCUGGGCGUAUGACAAACCGCGCUGAACUGCGGCUGCACACAGAGGUUUAGGGGAGUCUCAGAAUUCCAUUUCUCUGCUUACCUUUCCUUUCUGAAGAUGGGGGCACUGACGUGAUUCCCAUAAUCUGGCCUUCGUGUGCAAGCACACUGAGACAAUUGACGACUCUGGUUAGGAAUGAUUCAUCUUGGCGUUACAGGGAGGCACCCAGUGAGUCAAAGAUUUUUUUCUUUGACAGCUCCACCCUUUAUGAUUAUUCUAGCAUGUCUUUUUUUCUCAUCAGUCUAGUGCAAACACACUAUUAGCCAAAUCUGAAAAAGAUUCUAACCCAGUCCCCAAGCCUGCCAACCAUGUCUUUCUCCUUCCCAAUAACGACACACACACACACACACACACAAAGUAUUAAAGGGAAUCCAAUGCUAUGAUUGUAAGUCUGUCUGGUUUGUUUGUUUUUUUUUUUUGCCUCUGUUUGUUCUCCCCCCCCCACCUCUCCCCUCCCCUCCCUUCCCCUCCUCUCCUCUCUUCUCCUUUCCCUUCUUCCUCUCUCUGGGUCUCCUCAUGUGUGCUUUUUCUUCUCCUUUUCCUUGGCAUCCAGCUGCGUUUCUGCAGGUCUCCCAGUGAGAGACAAAGCACAAUGUCUGAGUUGAGCACAAAGAAGCCACCUUUAAAAAACAUCGACUUAGAGGAAACCUGUGUCCUCAGAUAUCUCCCUCCCUUCCCUGCUAUUUACGGAACCCAGCGUUAUACUUAACACAGCACUGCCUGUUGUCUGCAUGAUUCCGGCCAGCAAACUCGGGUGAAGAUGGCAAUAUACCCACUGUGUGUGUAGAUAGGUAGAGACCCCGAUUUUCAGGAGCUACCUGCUUUCCAGGAUCGAUGUGCAGCCGAGCUCCGAAAACGCGUGCNNNNNNNNNNNNNNNNNNNNNNNNNNNNNNNNNNNNNNNNNNNNNNNNNNNNNNNNNNNNNNNNNNNNNNNNNNNNNNNNNNNNNNNNNNNNNNNNNNNNNNNNNNNNNNNNNNNNNNNNNNNNNNNNNNNNNNNNNNNNNNNNNNNNNNNNNNNNNNNNNNNNNNNNNNNNNNNNNNNNNNNNNNNNNNNNNNNNNNNNNNNNNNNNNNNNNNNNNNNNNNNNNNNNNNNNNNNNNNNNNNNNNNNNNNNNNNNNNNNNNNNNNNNNNNNNNNNNNNNNNNNNNNNNNNNNNNNNNNNNNNNNNNNNNNNNNNNNNNNNNNNNNNNNNNNNNNNNNNNNNNNNNNNNNNNNNNNNNNNNNNNNNNNNNNNNNNNNNNNNNNNNNNNNNNNNNNNNNNNNNNNNNNNNNNNNNNNNNNNNNNNNNNNNNNNNNNNNNNNNNNNNNNNNNNNNNNNNNNNNNNNNNNNNNNNNNNNNNNNNNNNNNNNNNNNNNNNNNNNNNNNNNNNNNNNNNNNNNNNNNNNNNNNNNNNNNNNNNNNNNNNNNNNNNNNNNNNNNNNNNNNNNNNNNNNNNNNNNNNNNNNNNNNNNNNNNNNNNNNNNNNNNNNNNNNNNNNNNNNNNNNNNNNNNNNNNNNNNNNNNNNNNNNNNNNNNNNNNNNNNNNNNNNNNNNNNNNNNNNNNNNNNNNNNNNNNNNNNNNNNNNNNNNNNNNNNNNNNNNNNNNNNNNNNNNNNNNNNNNNNNNNNNNNNNNNNNNNNNNNNNNNNNNNNNNNNNNNNNNNNNNNNNNNNNNNNNNNNNNNNNNNNNNNNNNNNNNNNNNNNNNNNNNNNNNNNNNNNNNNNNNNNNNNNNNNNNNNNNNNNNNNNNNNNNNNNNNNNNNNNNNNNNNNNNNNNNNNNNNNNNNNNNNNNNNNNNNNNNNNNNNNNNNNNNNNNNNNNNNNNNNNNNNNNNNNNNNNNNNNNNNNNNNNNNNNNNNNNNNNNNNNNNNNNNNNNNNNNNNNNNNNNNNNNNNNNNNNNNNNNNNNNNNNNNNNNNNNNNNNNNNNNNNNNNNNNNNNNNNNNNNNNNNNNNNNNNNNNNNNNNNNNNNNNNNNNNNNNNNNNNNNNNNNNNNNNNNNNNNNNNNNNNNNNNNNNNNNNNNNNNNNNNNNNNNNNNNNNNNNNNNNNNNNNNNNNNNNNNNNNNNNNNNNNNNNNNNNNNNNNNNNNNNNNNNNNNNNNNNNNNNNNNNNNNNNNNNNNNNNNNNNNNNNNNNNNNNNNNNNNNNNNNNNNNNNNNNNNNNNNNNNNNNNNNNNNNNNNNNNNNNNNNNNNNNNNNNNNNNNNNNNNNNNNNNNNNNNNNNNNNNNNNNNNNNNNNNNNNNNNNNNNNNNNNNNNNNNNNNNNNNNNNNNNNNNNNNNNNNNNNNNNNNNNNNNNNNNNNNNNNNNNNNNNNNNNNNNNNNNNNNNNNNNNNNNNNNNNNNNNNNNNNNNNNNNNNNNNNNNNNNNNNNNNNNNNNNNNNNNNNNNNNNNNNNNNNNNNNNNNNNNNNNNNNNNNNNNNNNNNNNNNNNNNNNNNNNNNNNNNNNNNNNNNNNNNNNNNNNNNNNNNNNNNNNNNNNNNNNNNNNNNNNNNNNNNNNNNNNNNNNNNNNNNNNNNNNNNNNNNNNNNNNNNNNNNNNNNNNNNNNNNNNNNNNNNNNNNNNNNNNNNNNNNNNNNNNNNNNNNNNNNNNNNNNNNNNNNNNNNNNNNNNNNNNNNNNNNNNNNNNNNNNNNNNNNNNNNNNNNNNNNNNNNNNNNNNNNNNNNNNNNNNNNNNNNNNNNNNNNNNNNNNNNNNNNNNNNNNNNNNNNNNNNNNNNNNNNNNNNNNNNNNNNNNNNNNNNNNNNNNNNNNNNNNNNNNNNNNNNNNNNNNNNNNNNNNNNNNNNNNNNNNNNNNNNNNNNNNNNNNNNNNNNNNNNNNNNNNNNNNNNNNNNNNNNNNNNNAGGGAGGGAGGGAGGGAGGGAGGGAGGAAGGAAGGGAGGAAGGAGAGAAAAAGAAAGAGAAAGAAAGAAAGAAAGAGAAAGAAAGAAAGAAAGAAAGAAAAGAAAGAGAGAAGGAGAAACACAAGGAGGAAGAAAAAUUUUAAGAGUCUUUCCACCCACUUCCCCUCCCUUUCCUUUCGGUUUUGGAGGCGGCACAAGAACCCCUGGCUUGGGGAAAACUCAGCUUCUAGGCAGAUGGGAACAAGCGACUAUCUCUCAGGUACAGAACCGGUAGCUUCUGCGACAAGAGAAGGCAAUUAUGCUUCUGAUUCCUCUGAAAUAUUGGCAAGAGGCUCCAAAGGUUCGGCGGCGGCGGGAGUGGGGCGGGGGAGACGGAUCUCCCCAGCCUGCACCCACCCCUUCCCCACCUCGCCUCCCAAAUGACAGCCUGGUGCUGGCUCUGGGUGAUUUGGCCUUGGCCUCAGCCAAGCAGCUGAUGAAGACGAGGCCCCCGUUUGCAGGACUGGCAAAGUGCAUGCUAAAGAAAGAAGCAAGGAAUUUUUUAAAAGCAGCUCUUGGGAGGUUUCUCGUUCUUAAAAAAAAAAAAAAAAGAGAGAGAGAGAGGGAAUUAAAAACGUUUUUUUUCACUGAAUAUUUUCAAAAUUUGAUCAGUCCCAGUCCCUCCCUCCACUUGCACCAAAUUGCCUUUUUUUUCUCCCUCGUCAAAGCAUGAGCUACAGAGUUACAGUCUCGAGAUUUGGUGUAUCGCUUCCUGCCCCCGCCUCCCUCCCCGCCCCGAUGUCGGUCCUCUGUUGAAACACCUCGCCCAGGCUAGCGCACUGCGAGCUCCCAUUUCCCCCCCUUGCUCGGAAUGGUGUUGCACGAGGGCUGCAGCCCUGCUCCGCUUCCGAUGGGUGAGUUUAAAACGCUAUUCGUAUUUGUACUUCCACGGCCUCCAAGCCCUGUGCCUUGGGUCUUCUCCCUCCGAAAACCUGAUUUUCUAUGAUUUUGCAUGCGGCAUGCUUGCCCAGGGGGAGUGAGAUGCCUCCUAUUUUCUUUACCGUCAUUUGUGCUAGUUGUAAGUUAAAAGCUCCAAAAGGACAUUUGAUCCUUCUUUUAGACCUUGGUUUUGAAGACAGGGGCGUUCCUGGGUCUAUGCAUAUGAUUUUCCUUGUAAAACUGGAUUGCCCAAAGCGUCAAAGAGUUUUUUGUUUUGUUUUUUUUUUUCUCUGAUAUGCUCGCGAUCGUAUGUUCAGGUACGUAUAUGUGUCCACAGAGAGUGCGUGUGUGCAUAUGAAUGUAUCGUAUUUACGUGGGCUCUGAAUUUUGUGACCUGAGGAAGCUUCGAGAGUGAGGGAAUACCCUGCCACCUGUUUGUGGCCUUUUUGGUCAUGAACCUGGAACAGAACCUGGCUGUGGUUCUUGCUUUGCCUUGCUUUGUCUCAAGAAAGAACAAUUUUCCUGCGCUCCUCUCAAUCCCUGAGACCCUAACUUGUGAUGUUUACCGUUUAAAUCCACGGGUUAGGCUCUUGGGAGCUGUGAGUCGUGCUUGUGCAUCCUGGAAAUUGGGUGGAACUUCUUUCUUUAAAGCAAAAACAAAAGAAAAGAAAGUUUGUCUGAACUGACGGAGCACGGCUCAGAGGUUUUCAUUGUUAGAUGGGGUCAGGUGAGCAGAAAGUGGCCGCUCUCCUGGAUUUCUGGCGAAGGAGGUAUACAUUCUGUUAGAGGAGCGUGUUGGCUGCUGUGCGUACGAAUGUGUAUCACUGAUGCCCAAGGCUUGGGGAACUCAUCUACCGUGGUCUGUUUCUUGAGAGCAACACGCAGUACUAUCCGAGCGUAACAAGAACAGCUCAGUACCUGGUGCUUGACCUCAGAACAUAGCAGCUGAAGUCCCAGCAUGCCCCGUGCCUCCAACUUUGAAACUCAACAGUUAAUCUGAAAAUCAUGUCCAAUUAAAACAGGCAUGUGGACAUGUUACACACUCAGUCCUCACACACAUGUAUCACAUAUACGGCCGGACAGUGAGCACACAGACGCAGAUGGGGGCAAACCAGGAGUUUGGGCUAAAAUAGUAGUAGGCUAAAAAUUCGACUCUUGCUACGCUACAGGGAGGAUGAAAUUGAUGGUGUUCAUGAAGAUUACAUCUGUGGUACUUUGCGAGAUUUUAAAAAUAAGAGAGACAGAGCCUGCGUGCUUGGCGUCCGUUUUAAAAUGUUACACGCUGUGAGUUCAAGGGUAAUAGGCAUUGGAAAUAUAUUUUCUGAAUAUAUGAAAGCAAAGAAAUAGCAGCAUGCACACAAUAUGCAAUUAUUGUAUCUUUUAGGAGUAAUCAAGGGGUGGAGAAAUUUAUCAGGAUUUAAAUGUAAUCCAACAAAGUUACUUAUAACACCAAACUGUACCUUUAAAAUAAUCUUAAGGUAAUUUGUUAGCAUUACCUCGUCUGCAGUUUUCAGAAAAACGGAACUUUCUGUGACAGAAUAAUUUUAGUGAUUUAGAUCUAUCUCCUAGUUGAAGAAGAGAAACAUUAACUUACCUUUUCUUUGUUGUGAAGAACUCCCAUAUACAAUUUUAUUUAGACAGUUUUGGUAUUCGUGGGCCAACACUUGUCUCGUAUUUUUGGGAAAUACCUAAAUCACCCCUGACUUCUAAUGCUUUCUUCUUUUAAAGACUUUGUAUUGGCUGUAAUCUCAUUUUAUACGUGUAGUCGAAGGUUAAGGAAACUGUUCUUUUCCUGUGUGUGUGUGUGUGUGUGUGUGUGUGUGUGUGUGUAUGGGUGUUUUUUUUUUUUUGAGUGUUUAUUGCAAUUUCAGUCAUUGACUCCAAACCGUAGUCAAGAAACCAUUUUGUAUCAGAAAACUGAAUCGAGAAAAUGAAGCGUGCAACAAUUGCACUACGUCUUUUGUUGCGACCUCUCGUGCAGUUGUACUAUUUAAAUAUUACUUUCCAGCCUUGGGGAGCCUGAAUGGGCUUCGGAGAAAAGAGUUAUUUGAUUUUCAAGUCACCUUCGGUUUCUCCACAAUGGAUUAAUGAUUUUUUCCCCAUCGUAAGCUGGUGUGUAUGCAUAGGUAUUUGGAAAUUAUGGAAAGGGAUCUAUUUAACUUAUGGAUCUAUAUUACCACAUGAUGCAUAUCAAAUAUUUGCAAAACAUUUGGUGCUUUACUAAGUCAAAAUCUAUCUGCAGUCAGUUCUAUAAAGAUAGACUCAUGGGCCAAUAAAAACAUGCUGGAUAUCAUUCUUCUAUGAUUUUAAAUGGGAACAGGAUAGUAAUUUAAUACAAGUGAUACAGUUUGUAUUCCAAGGCUCUCUUUUGGUUUUGGUUUUUUUUUUUUUUUUUAACAUGUUUUCAAGUGGAUUGCUCAUGCCCUGAGGUUGCCAUCACAACUGAUCACACGGGCAUUUAGCAAUGCACAACGACGCACAGGACUUUGAAUUUCAGCAGGGGACUGCUCGAGUGUAAGGGCAGGUUUCUCAACACCCCUUCUUCCUCACCGAGCCCAUCAGCGAAGUUCAGUGAAAUGAAUAACAUAAUUGGUGGUUGGUUCAAUCACUACCAGUCUAGACUAGCCCAGACGCAUCAAUUAGAGAGAGCUGUCUUUUAAAGGGGGAGUGCAACCGAAACAAGCCGGGCAUUAUUGAUACCGAUCUUUAAAAGUGCAAAUCCAGCUUGGCAGAUAAAAAAAAAAAAAAAANNNNNNNNNNNNNNNNNNNNNNNNNNNNNNNNNNNNNNGGGGGGGGAUUGGGGGGGGGGCAGUUUGCGUUGCAGGAAGAAAAGAAAAAGACGUGAAGUGGAGCUUUCGGACACAGAAGGACAGGAAGCUUGAGAGAAAAGGAGCGGAUAAUGAGUGAAAUGCAAUGCAACACCUCGUUGGAACACACAGUUACAAUUCAGUUCACAGGGCAUCCUGGUUCACCAUAUUUUUAACUAGAUUCUCCCCCUCCUCCCCCUUUUUUUUUNNNNNNNNNNNNNNNNNNNNNNNNNNNNNNNNNNNNNNNNNNNNNNNNNNNNNNNNNNNNNNNNNNNNNNNNNNNNNNNNNNNNNNNNNNNNNNNNNNUUUAGGAAGCUCUACUGAGAAGAAGGCCAAGUAAUACGAACCAGCCAAAACUCCUUUUGCAACAUUUUUCCCCAAAAGAAAAACACACAAGAUGUUUAUUUUUGAGUCUCUAAUUCUACCUUUAAAAAAAAAAGAAAAAUCAACUGUACUAACGACCAGGACUCAUUUUAAAUCCUGCACCUGGGAACUAAUUUUAUGGGCAAGACACCUUUAGGUAAACAGCUCAUAGUUUUCUGUUGAAUACAGUAAAAUGAUGAAGAAUGUAACAAAAGGCUUUGGUAAUUUGGUGGUUGGGGGGGGGGGGUGGAUGGANNNNNNNNAUGGAUAAAUACCAGAUGAUUUAGAAAGCGUUAGGAACACAUCAAGCCCCAGGGAAAGAAAAUGUUUGAUUGGUAUUAAUUAAAACACUGCUAAUAUAUUCUAAUAAAAUCAAAUUUAACAUUCUGAACUAAUCCGCUUGGUACGUCAAAGGAAAAGAAAAGUAUUAUCUUAUUUGCAUCUCUGCCAUCCAAACGCAUUUGCUCAUUCAGCAGAAUUAAUUUUUAUCACCAGCCUGUUUAAUCUCCUCACAGAUUUAGUCAAACUUAUUCUUUCAAACUAAAAGGGAUCAGGGGAGGGAAUCCAUGGAAGGUAUUGGGAAGACUAGCGACCGUAUUUAGUACUGGCUUUAUAUUUUACCACGUCCUUUCCUCUUCAUUCCCCGUACUGGGGUGUGGAGGAACCCACGAUGCUGCAGGGUGGGGAGGGGGGGUGAGGGAUGGUUAAUUUUCCUCCCUUUCUCUUCUACCUACUGGGUUAUUGGGGAAUUUCAGUUGCCAGAUUAUUUGAGUGGCAUUUAUUUCCACGACCGAUGUUGCUCCGUUGAUUAAGAUCUCAUGUAUUUCUAAUUUCAGAAUCUAUUUUGUUACAAAUUCGUGAUGCGUUGGGGCGGGGGGGGGGGGGGGGGGGGAAANGGGGGGGUGGAGAAAAGGCUUUUGCACUACAUGCCAAUUUCCUCUUCUCAAUUCUUUGCAACUGUAGUCCUCCUAGGAGAAAGUGGGGAGGUGGAUGUAAAAUUCUAUUUACUAAGAGCUGAGUUCUUUGUUUCCUUUUUAAGUCGGAAUGUCUGCAGCAAAAUGUAUAUUUUCUGAAACGGCGAGUUUUAUGCUCUUGAUUGUUAAACUCUCACAAUGGAUAAAACUGUCCCCAAAUGACAUCACGGCCAAAAUGUUUCUCCUCUCAUCAGCCUCUCAUGACUACGAUAUCCUAUGGAAAGAUGUGCCCAACACAAAAAAAUGAAUGGGCCGUAAAUAUGGAGGGCCGCGUUGGCGUCUUUCAAAAGUGGGGGAUUUUGCCCACUUAUCAAGGGGAUGGAAACUACCAGACGACAGUCCUGAUGAUGCUGCCUUUUUUGCUCCAUUGCCUUUUUCAGUUCUUCAACGCAAAAGAGCAGUCGCAGUUCGGUUUCACAUGUAUUGUUCUAUAAUCCAGGCAAUAAAUGCUAAUUAGUAAUGCUCAAGGAUCCGACCAUUCAGAGUAAUUAUCAUAAUUUACUUCUUCCUUGUUAAAGACAUUCCUUGCUGAUUAAAAAAAAAAAAAAGAUUAAAUCGUUUUACCAUUGCACUGCAGUGGAAAUGCAGUGGGGAGAGGUCCAAGGUAUAGUAAUACCAUCCUGGCUGCGUUUGAAGUCGCCGACAUGUGCCUUUUAACUUAUUCCAAAUGGAAUUGCAACUUAAUUUCUAAAAAGAGAUUCAUGUAAAUGCAUAAAGUUUUGCAUGGGCACCAGGAAUGUAUGAUUUUAUUUUACAAACCCCAGGCUCCUCCUUCCCGGCCCACCCCCUUUCUAAAACCACUUACUGAGUAGAACAAAGGAAACUGGUAACUAUAGAGGCAUCAUUAAGUGUGAACAGCAGUAGCAUGAUAAAGUAUGUGAUAUGACAACAUAUUUCAUUGCACAGAAGUGCAGAUAAUUAAAUAAUUCAAUAGUAACCCUGACUAAUUAGCAGAAAGAUCUUCAAGGAGGAAUCAAGAAAAUGGAUCCAAUCAACUUGAAUAAUACGCUCCACUCUCCAAGAUCACAAAUAUAUAUUUGGUUAUUUGAUAAUUGAUUGAUUCAUACAGAAAGAUGAGGACAAAAGCCUGUUCCUCAAAAUGGAGCUUUGAUCUGGCCUCCUUUUUCGGACACAUUAAUCGUAUGUUCUAUAAGAGCGGAAUUUAACGGAGGGCCCUCUGUUUUCAAUCAAAGAUAUAAUCCGCCAUUCAGUUGCGUAUUUCUCUUUUAUCAGGUGUUCUAAAAAAUCGUCAGCCCCUUAGCUUUUUAUAUCAUUGCCUCAGACUCUACAUGGGAAGCCUCCCCCACGUUUUGUAAUGAGGAUUGUGUUUAAGUUUGUUUCUUCUUGCUGGAAGCAAAUAAGGAUCCUAUGCACAGAAGGCAGAGGAUAAAUAACCAUGCUGAAUAUUAUAUUUGGUGGAAUCUCCCCCCUCCCUUGCCUAAUCUAUCAAGGUAAUAUUCCCAGUUUCAUUGUUCAUUGGUCCUUUCAGGGAGAGCUUCAGCUUUUACUUGAGGGUUGUAAGCACAUUAGAGGAAUAAUUCUCUCUGGAUACUAUGGAGAAGGAGCCACCUGCAAGAUGUUGAUGCUGUUAUUGAAAUCUCAAGUGGAGUCAGCUUUCAAAAAAUUAGAUAUUAGAUACAUCCGAUAUAAUUUGCAAUGUGUAAUUAUACUAAUGUGCAUAUAGUUGUGUGUGGCUUUACAUGUUGCCUACUUGAGAUUCCCGCCUCCCCCCCCACCUUGGGUAUUGCUCAUCAUUUGAAAUGGCUCCUGACUAGAAUGUUCUUAAAAUCAGCUUUAAAAAAAAUUCCUCGCUAAUUGAUCUAAGAGAAAAAGGGCUCCACGGUCUGUGUUCCCAUGCAAGAAUGAAUGGAUGUGUGUGACCUUGAUGUUGGAAAGUAGUGGUCUCUAAGAGGGUUAUCAUUGUGGACAUUGGGACUAGUUGUAAAAUAUUUGCUACUCUUUACUGAUUUACUCUUCAUCCAGACUGGGGACAAUUUGUGAAGUGAAUGGAGAAUAUUAGAAUGGUAAAUCUUACUCGUAGGAAAUCCAUUUCCUUUACUGGGAUGAGAUAAAAUGCCAGGGAAAUGGCUUUAGGCAGAGAUAAUAAUUUGUUGAUUUAAUCAGAGUAACCAAAAUCAUAACGAUAAUAACUUCUUUUCCAUUUUUCCUCCAUUUUGCAUGGCACACGAUGAAUAACUAAAACUCUGCCUUCGGUCAUUUAUGCACUAACCUCAACUUCCCUUUUGGUGUCUCGACGUGGUCUUCCGUUGGACUGAAGACCCCCUCCCCACCAAGGAGCUGACCCCCGAAGAUCUAGCCAUUAAGGAAAAAGCCAGACAGUGCAACAGUGAGUUUGGUCAGCCUGGUGCGAGGCACUUGCUCUAUGCUCCGUAGGUGAAGGUGCUCUUGAUGCAAAUUUGGAGAAUCAUUACCAUCAGAUCACGGAGGGACCCUGAGCGAGGCUACGCAAACGUCCCGAUUUAUGCUUAUAUGUUCGGGAGACAAAAAGGAGUCCGAGGGAGGCUCAUGUUGAGAUGAUACAAGAGAUUACUCAUUCCAAUUAAGUAGGCAGAGGCCCCAAAGAAGGCUGAUUUGUUAAACAUUUGACUCAUACUGGACACCAAAAUACGGUGGCUCAUAUUUUUAUACCAUUUCUUCCUCAACAGUCAUUUUAAUAAUGGGGCCCAUAUCAUGAAGGAGGCACUCUGCAUGGGCCAUAUCUAUGCAACACCAAAGCGAUGCGUUGUUUUACUUCUCGUUUGCUCACGUAUACAAGGACUUGCCCUUAUUAGCUACCCCCAAAACUGUGCCAAGCGUCCUUCUUGACUCUAAUAGCAUUUUAAUGUAUUCACAAGUGAGUCCUGCACACGUGUGUCAGGGGCUUUGCGACCCCCGUCCCCAACGAUGUUCACAAAACACUGAGUUCUAAAAUACAGACCUCUGUAAGAUACAUUUUUAAUUACUCUUCCGGGAUCAGUUGCUGCAUGCUUGCUCAGCACAGAAAAAUACCUGUUAACAAUAUGUCAUACAGGGUUAUAUUUCAGGUUUUAGGGGGAAAAAAAUAUCGUACCUGCUAUCUAGAGACCCAUCGUCAACAUAUCCAAAGUGUUUAGGGCAGAUAUGUGGCAGUAUAUCAGUGAUACGUGUUAGUGUAUCUCUUUUGCCGUGCCUAACUCAUUAUGCACCUUCAUUGUGCUGGCAUAAUGAAAAGGCUGACAGUAAGGGCUUUCGUUACAUCAAAAUCCACCUGCAAAGUAUAUUUCAUUCAUAAUAACUUUUGCAGAAUAAGAGAAACACGAAUACAGCUCUUCCCGAAUAUCCUUAUCUGCAAAAUGAGUGGGUUGGAUGAGUUGGUCUCUAAAUGUUUUUGCAGCCUUAAGGAUUUUUGAAGUUGCUCUAGAGUAUAGAAAUAGAAGAACCAUUCCAGGACCCUGGAAUCCGGAGUCUGUUUUUACCAACAGUUGUCCUUUAAAGUUAUAUUUGAUUCCACCUCCAGGUACUUUAUUUACUAACAUCUUUUGCCUUGCUGCUAAAACAGUAAAGUCUGAAGUUCAUUUUCAGGAAGGGCAGAGACAAAAAAGAGGAACAGCUGAAGAAUGAAAAAAGCUACACAGUGGGAGAAGGAAAUUCUUGAUCUGACUUCUAAGCCCAUGUCCUUCAGCAUUAACACAGAAGAAACCCAGACAAGCACCUGUCUUUCUAUUUUAAGACCAUAGUCUUUGGUCCUUCUGCCUUCAUUUAAUUUCUUGCAGCAUGGUUUUGUUUUACCCCAUUGGGUUGACUGCUUUGAGUUUCACAUUUCCCUUUCCAUUCGAUUUAUCUGAAUCAUGUUAAUAUUCCCUUCAAAACCCACAAAGUCACAUUAACACACCACGUUUCCCAAAUUAAAUCUUAACAUGUUCAGGACCUCCUGAAAAUUGCCCUGCCCUAUUUUCUAAAGCCACUCUGAAUGUAUAAUCUCUCCUUGAAUUAAGCAAGCCUGCUCUUUCUGGCUUCCCGGUCUUUGAAUGAGCUCGCACACUGCUAUUCCUCCCCGCACACUCUGCUCUCCAUCACUGUUACCUUUCAGCAACCUUUCUCUUCUUUCUUUCUUUCUUUCUUUCUUUCUUUCUUUCUUUCUUUCUUUCUUUCUUUCUUUCUCUCCCUCCCUCCACCCUUUUUCUCUCUCUCUCCUUUCCUUCCUUCCCUCCUUCCUUCCUUCCUUCUUUUCUUCCUCCCUCCCUCCCUUCCUUCCUCCUUCCCUUCCUUCCUUCCUUCCUUCCUCCCUCCCUCCCUUCCUUCUUCAGUCUCUCCCUUCCUCCCUCCCUUUUGUUCUUCCUUUCCUCCUUUCUUUCAGUGGGCACCGUAUGUCGUGCUCUGAGCCAGGCACUGGAAAUACAAACACAAGAAACUGACAUUAACUCCUAACAAUUUCAGUGACUUCAUUCACCCCUGCGUUGCUAAGCACUUCUGUAUCCACAAUUAUUUUAUUUUGCCUUUGGUCUUUAGAUUUAUUUGAAUUUGUCCUUAAUGUCCUGUGUUCUUUUGUUGUUUUCCUACGUGUCCUAUUUCAGUAAGUUGCCUGUUGGAUAACCCUGAAGCUUUUCUGACGGAGCUUUUUCUCCCAGAGUGAUUAGCGUGGGGUGCUCACACGCUCAAGCAAUGCUGUUGCUUGACUGGUCCUUGAGCGACGUGAAGAGCGAGAAAGUGCUACGUCUUUCUGGUGAUGCAGCAUUUCACGUGGAGUUAGAAAUAGCACGGCCCCCAAAGUAUCGUUACGUUUACUUAUUUUUAUCGAAGAGUCAAUGUGAUAACUUUCUGUGACAUGUUCUGUUAUUUUUUUAGUUGUGUCGAUGUUCCUUUCAGCUGGUCCUAUAGCCCCCCUCCUCAGGAAGGUCUCCCCAGGGAAAGGACAAAAACUUCAGAGACACAGCUGCACUGAUGGACGCUCAAGCCAACAAUGGAGUUGAAACAAAGAAAGAGAUCACCUGAAGACACCUUCCCUGCUAAGCAGCACACCCCAAAUGGCGCAGUUGCAGGCAAUAGAACUCUCAGAACAGGAGACCAUGUUUUCAAGAACCAGACAAAAUUUAACAGUGACAUCUAGAUUUCUAAAGAGCCAAGGACUUUCCCUUCCUCAUGUGUAUUCCUCUGUUUGUAUUUAAAUUCAGUGUGACAUUCAUUUCUAAAAUAUUUUCCCGCGAUGAGUAUGCUCGUGAAGGCAUUGAUGUUUUUACAACAGAAAAUUGCACACAGGUGUUCAUGGGGUAAGGAACAAAAUUAGUGCUAUAAGAACAUCGAUUUUUAGCCACACACCGUUUGAUCUUAAGAGUGACCUGAAGGAACAUAAAGUACUUUCGAAAUACCAAAGUAGUCAGAGGCAAUCCGAAGGAUAACAUAGUGGACAUUAUCCCACCUGACACAGACCAGUCAACCAUUCUUUUAAUCCAGCAAAAUAGGUUCGCUGAGACAUGAUCCCUGCCUCUAAAGAGUUUAAAUUUAAUGAGACCGAGAAACACAAACUUUUGAAAAGAUAGUAACCAAUCAGGUGCAUUGAUGUUAAGACCACAGUAAAACUCAAGAGAUAAUAAGCAAAGAGUUCAGAGGAGGUCACCAUAAUCUGGGCAAACCUGGCCUGUUUAGGGAAGAAAGUUUCCAAAGGAGGAAAACACAAGAUGAAUCUUAAAGGAUAGUAAGAUUUAGGGGCACCUGGUUGGCUCCGUUGGUAGAGCAUGCGACUCUUAAUCUCAGGGUUGUGAGUUCAAGCCCCACAUUGGGCGUGGAGCCUACUUACUAAAAAAGGGGGGGAGGUAUUAAAUAUUUAGAUGAAUGGAAAGGAAAGAGAGAAUAGAUUGCUUUAAAUGAAUGCAAUGUGAGCAAAGCCAUGGAGGAAGGAAUCUAUGUGGUGAAUAUUGGGAAUUAUGAGUAUACGUGUCUAGUUGACAUUGAAUGCCAGCAUACAUAGACAUAUACGGUAAGGACUUCGCACACACACGUCCCCUCUCCCACCUUGGGUGUCACCUAGAAAUACCAUCUUAUUUUCCACAAAAGCAAGUGGGAGUGAUUGGUGGUAAUAUGAGAACUUACGAUUUUUCUUUUCACUUAAUAACAAUUAGUAUUUACCGAGGUCUUGAUGUAUGUUAAGCAUUUGACGUAUGAACUCGCUUAAGCCUACAGCUCAGAACAGCCCUGCAAGAUAGGUACGAUUAUCCCUGUUUGGAAGCUAACAGUUAAUGAGAUUAAGUAACUUGCCAAACUGCCACGCACAGGGUCUGCACUCAGAAUUGUGACCAUAAAUCUCAUGAUCUGAAGCAUGAAGUCCCAAUAUUGUGAUCAGUGUUGCAGUGUUACCACUUCCGUAUUCCCCGAUAGUCCUUUAUGGUGAACAAAUAGCUAUGACAUUCAGUUAUCCCCUCAAAUUUUUCAGUUUUCUGCUUAAAUGACAUUAGAACGAUCGAAAGACUUUUCAUGGGAGAAAACUGACAGAAUUGGGGAAGAGAGCUUCUCAGCAUUUUAGGGUGUUGUUUGUUUUUUUGCCAGACGUUGAGGAAACGGUUCGCCUUGUUCUGCACAAAAUCUAAAAUUCCUGAGGAUUAAUAAAGGAGGGGGGAAACUCAAAGGUCAUCUGUUGCCACGUGCUUUUCUACAGACCCCUCAAAGUGUGAGUGGCUUACGGGAAGCUCACACAUUUGAGUGUGGCAGAGCUAGGUCCAGAAACCAGGCUGUCCAGUCUCCUCUCCGAGGCUCUUGAACUACCCCACCCUGCCUACAUGGAGUAUGAACUUGAAUUUGAUCAAGGAAAGUGUUCUGUCUGGGUGAUCGGGGGGACUGCGCCUAGCAGGUUGUUUCCAUUUUGCACCUGUUUUGCUUCCCACCUCAACGUGAAAACUAGCCAGUUAUGAACUGACAUCUUCUGAUGUAGACAUUGUCAAUGGUCCACCCCCAAAGAACACGUAAUGGCUCAAAUUAUGUGCACCAUGUCUCCAAUGCUAUUCUUAAGUUAUUUGGAAUUCUUAGUUCACCUAAACCAAUCGGGUCUUCUAAUGAGCAUUUCCUUACCCGAUUUUAUGCGCAGUAUGUAUUUGUCAGUGCUUCUGCAUGAAUAUUUAUGCACGACUGUUUCAAUAGUCCUUAUGUUUUUGAAAAUAUCAAUGGUUAUUUGCUAUUUUAAUCCUCACUUAUCCAUGUAACUGACUGAAGAAUACUUCAGCCAUAAAAAGCUAGAAGUGAGGAAAUCUCACUCUUUUUCACCGGAUCCUUCGCAUUUAAUUGGCAUUUAGUAAUGAUUAAUAAAGUGGUCAGCUGGGUGACACAGUUCCCAAAUGCAAUUCUGUCUCGAAGGAGUCAGUUAAGCUGCCUCUACUUAAGGACACACAUCUAGACAUUUGGAAGCACCUGAAUAUUUGUUGUAAAUUUCCACUUCAAAAUCUGGCAUUGUCAGACCUAGACCUCCUUGUGGCUCAGGCCGUCCUGUUUUCAAAAUGAUGAUUAUUGGCCCUAUCUCACACAGUUCUCAUUAAGUGAGUGGCCAAGCACAAAAUGUGACUUUGUUGACAUUUUCUGAGACUUUGUCGUAUGUCCCUUGAAUCCCCAAAUAAAAGCAACGUUGCAUCAACUGUGAACUUGUGUUGAUUUCUUGGAAGAGCGUGCUCUCAUAAUUUGUUUGUUUUCACUAGUGUUUAUCAAAGCUAGUUUCAGGAUCCACGAGGAGCAAUUAAUCUGAUGCGAUGGGAAAACGUAAAUUUAGAGACCGUUGCUAACAAUCCCAUAUUGCCUUUCAAUAAACAGCCCUGUCAUCUACCCAGGUCAGAAAGCAAGGUGUGGUCCUUGUCUUUUCUCCUUUCAACUGUCAUGGCUAAUCAAUCAGGAAAGACAUGUACCUUUUCCCUUCUUCCGUUUCCAAGUCCGUCUGCUUCUCUUCAUCUUCUGCCAGACUGUAGUUAAGACAGCUCUCGUGUUUCACCUGGAUGAUGGCGGCAUGCCUCCAGUUUUUCCCUCCACACCACCAAGCAGCCGCCAGGGAAAUCUCUCUAAACCACAAAUAUGGUCACAUCACGCCACGGUUUCAAACUUUUCACGGCCUUCCCAUUGCCCUUGGAAUAGCGUGAUACCUAAAGCCCUUCAUGUUCUAGAUCCUGGCCCCAACAUUCCUCUCUGAACUCAUUGAGUGACUGUCUCCCACUACUGUUCUAGGUUCUCGCCAUACCUCUUUGCCUUUUCUUAACAUUCUCUUUACCUUCAGGGCUUUCUCAAACACCUAAACCUUCUGCGUAGUACUUUUUCCGCUACCUUUCCAGAUCCAUCUCUUGUCCUGCUGGUCUCGUUCUGGAGGUCAUUUCUUCUUGGAAAUUUCCACCCCUGUCAUCCACUCCCCUGACCUAGGAUGAGCUUCCUCAGGUAGGAGAUUUCAUAGCAUUCUGUGCUCACUUCACCCAGAUUAUGAUCAUUUAUGUGCCAGUCUCCUCCCUUUGGAUGUGAAAUUCUAGACCUGCCUUGUUGGGUAGUUGGAUACGGUAGCCGCUUGCCACAUGUGGGCUACAUCAAUUUAAAUGAACUAGUAUUAAAGACAAUUCAAAAUUAAAAAUUCGGUUUCUCAGUUGCACUGGCCAUAUCUCAAGUGCUCGAUAGUCAGAUGUGGCCAGUGGCUACCCUGUUGAGUAGCACAUAUACAACAGUUCAAUCAUUGAUAAAGUUCUAUUGGACAGUAUGGUUCUGAAAGACAAGUAUUGGGUUUUGUCUGUCAUUUCAUCGCCUAGACUUGCAGCCUUUUUAAACUUGUAUUUGUUUAGGGGCGCCUGGUUGGCUCAGUAGGUUGAGCGUCCAACCUAGGCUCAGGUCAUGAUCUCGCAGUUCGUGAGUUCCAGCCCCGUGUUGGCUCUGUGCUGACAGCUCAGAGCCUGNAGAGCCUGGAGCCUGCUUCGGAUUCUGUGUCUCCCUUUCUCUCUGCCCUUCCCCCCCACCCCACUCCCCCGCCUCUGUCUCUGUCUCUGUCUCUCUCUCUUUCUCAAAAAUAAAUAAACGUUAAAAAAAAUAAACUUGAAUUUGUUUAAAAUUCAUCUGAACCACAGAGCAAAAAAUUGAGUGACUGUUUUUUCCCCAAUUUUCCCAAGGGUGAUAUAUAACUAAAAUGAUACGAUAUGCAUAGGAGGGAAAUUAAUUCAUGACAUGUUAAGACGCCCAGGAUAUAGAGAUUUAAUUCUAGCAUAAAAUCCUCGAGGAAGUUGACGACGGGGCUAUCCUAGUGCGUGGCGCUAUGUAAGUACUUCAUAAAUAUCUGCUGAAUGAAUGCAUGACACAUUUGGAUUCUUAGGCAUCUCAUCUUACUCAUUUUCACCUAGCUGCAUGGACUCAUGUAAGAGACACGUCUUUAGAUUCCGGAGGGCCACUUCUCAGGAGGAUGUGGUGAUAGAUGAGGUCCUCACUUUCAUCUCAAGGAUAGUUGAACUGUAGCAGGGCCAUGGGAUUGCCCGUUAUUUCGCUUUCCUUCAUUGUUUACACUGGCAACCAGUAGUAAAGAAUUGAGUUCCUAGUCAGUGAAUAAGACCAAAGUGAAAAUGAUCAAAGUAGAUACCAGAUUUGACAAGCCCUCUUUCUCUUAGGGAUUGGCCAAAGGGCACUAAAAAUGUUGAUCCUUUCCUGAGCACCUACUAUGUCUGAGACAUUUUGUGAGGUCCUGAGGAUACAGGAAGUGACAAGACAGACACCGUUCCUAUGCUCAGAGUGAAGCAUUAAUGUUAUUUCAGUUCCUCUCCCUGCCUUGUACCCAAAGCAGGAGUUCUCAACAUUGCGUAUUGUAACCACCUGAGGGGUUUAAAAAAUACCGAUACCAGCAUCUUUCCCCCAAAAGGCUCUGAAAUAACUGGUGUGGGGAUGGCCUGGGAACCGGGAAUUUCGUAAAGCUUCCCGGGUGACUGUCAUGUGCAACCAAAGUUGAGAACUAUUGAUUUAUCGGGACAUAAUCUUGGAGUGAGCUCAGAGAUUAAGAGCUUUUGGUAUUGAUAAUUGAUAGCCUAUUUGAAUCAAAAAGGGAAACUGUAAAGUCUUCUGCCUAACCUAUCUACAUUCUACCUUUUAUUCCUCAGAAUAUAAGCUGGUACUUAAGAGUCACUAAGUUGUCUGGGUCAAACAGCCAGUUUAUGACUUAGGUAAGACCCGAUCCCGUGCUCUUUGAUAACACCAUGCUCUUUCCGCUCCGCUGAGCUCUCUCAGGGAAACAGAAAAUAUCAUCAUCUUCAAGUCAAGAGACAACCAGCAUCCACCACGGCCAUAAUUUUUUAAAGCAAGAAUUGGAGUUGGACCAAUUUGAAUCCCAUGGACUCACAGCUUUCUGCUAAUCAAAAGUCAGCACCAUAGAUUCAUUUUGUUAGAGUGCAUCUUUUUGGGGGGAAAACAUACGACAUUCUAUAUAUAAUUGUAAAGAGAGAGUUCAGGUUCCCAGGGGCCAUGACCACAGUCUCACAAAUUCAGAAAAUCAAUAUGCAUGCGUUCACCUCCACAUGUAACCAGGAAAGACAUUUUGCCUUUAAACUUGAACUACUUAAUGGCAAAAAUGGUAGUAGGAGGAGAAAAUAAGAGUGCAUUGUGCUCCCACAUUUUCUGUCUCCACCCACCUUGUCACAGGACAUUCCACUGAGUUGAACAUUUCACAGCACAGGUAAAAACUUCCAGUCCGUCCCCAUGAGAAAAGCUGACUUUAAGAAAUAAGUACCAUUAAAAAAAAGUUACCCCUCUUAGCUACCACCCGGUUUUAGAUUCGGCUCCCAGAUCAAGAGAAUCCAGGAACCAGAGUCCCCUCUUCUUCGUCCGUGGAAGACCACAGAGUGAAAAAUGUGCCUUUCCAUUUUUUAAGGUUGUCAAAAUAAAACUCACGUUCCCAUACAUCCUUCGAAACAUAUUUCAGUGUUUGAGAGCCUACACAGUUGGGAAAUUCUCUUUUAUUUCGAUCCCAAAUCCCUCACGCUGUAGUUUAAUCCCAUUUUCUGUUGUUCCCUGUGGAGAGAAAGAACAGCUGGUCUCCGUUCUCUCUAAACUCAAUUCCUUCAAGUCCUUAAAGACACCUACCACCCAGCCUUCUCUUCUCUGGAAUAAAUAAUAACAGUUCCCAUCAGGAAAAUGUCUCUCUUGGAUUGUGCAUAUUCGCUGCCAUAUCACAUAUAUUCAUGCUUCUCACAUAAUGUUCAUAACCAAAACAAGCCAAGGCCAAGAGCAGAAACAAGCUAAUGUAUCAUUGUUUUCAUGAAUGAAGUUACGGAUCCAAUAAUAGAUGCUGAAUACAUAGCUGUGAACGAUACUCUUCCAAUCAUUAUGUGCCCAAAUUAUCAUAAUUUCUUUUAGAAAGUAUUGGCGAUCUGUUGCUUUUGGAGAGGUGAAUUAAAAAUUCGGUGAUUAGGUUUCAAUUUCUUUCAUGCAAGUUCUCCCCAUGCCCUGCAAUGGAAUAUUCCAUUCAGCAUUCCACAGCAGGAGCCACCAUUGCUUUGACAAAAAUAGAUACAGUAUUGGAACGUUCAGUCAAUGGAGUAAUCCAAUUGUCUGAACAUUCUUUUCUGCUUUGUCAUUUACAUUUUAAUAAAUCCCAGAAUAUGUCAAGCCGUGUCGAGUUGUACCAAGUGUAGCUAAUAACAUGCAGUUACCAGAUGCAAUGAGGAAAUCGUAACAUGCAAGUCCUGAAAUGCAUCAACAUUUGGUUUGUGUAUAUUUUUAGGUUCCGACAUUUAAAUAGGGACACUCUUAAAAAUAAAAAUGGAUAUUUAGCAAAAUCCUUGCUAUUAUCAACAUUCUGUUAGUAUAUUCACUUUUCAUAAAGGAAGCUAUAGGGAGGGGAUGCUGUACUUAAUUGAUCUCGGAAUGUUGGCAUCUGUUAACCACAAGGGUGACCCCAUAUCACCAGCAGAAUCUGGAAUGUUAAAUCGUCAUCUUAUGCCUAUUUUUCUCCAUUCAGGAGGCUCUCCAUUCACUGCCUCUCCAUUCAGGAGGCCCAAAUAAUCACAUUUUAAAGUCACUUGACAUUCCACAAGGCCAAGAUUUGAGGCAAACCAGUCCUGAGAAAGAUUGUGUGUGUGUGUGUGGGGGGGGGGGGGGCGAUUAGUAUUAUUGUCGAUCACACAUAACUUAUCCCAUACCUAUAUUGACCACUGACUAUUUCAACACUUUGAGAGAUUUAUUAUCCUGACGAAACCCCGUGAAUUUUAUAAUAGGGCAGAGCUGUAAUGAUGGUGGAGUGGGUCUCAGCAUAUUAGGGAUCCCUAGACAGGUAUGUGCCUGGAGAGGAGGGUUCUUCAAGGAUGAGACUGUGUGGAGUCAUGUAAGAGACACGUCAUUAUUCAGAUUAUUCCAUACUAGCAAAAACUCACGUGGGCUAUGAGGCUAAAAUUCAGCUCUGGUUAUCUCCUUUGUAUCUAAUUCCCUAAGUCACUUAAAUUAGCACAUCACAAAACUCUCAUGUGAGGCUUCUUCUCUCAAACUUCUGAUAUAUACCUUGGGUUGUUAGUUGCCAAAGGGCCAGUGUUAUUUUCGGACAUCAGGUAAAUCUGAUUAGUGUUAUACUUCUAAUAAACUCAACAGUUAAAAGGAACCAGUUGGUUUUUGCUGAUGUAUAGAGCAGAUUAUAUGUUUGCCGUAGGGACAUUACCACAUGGGGCCAACUAUGGUGUUGAGGAGAAUGAUAUCAUAGCUUAGAGCAGUGCAAUGGAGAAAACAAAAAUGUGUUGGCAUUGCAUCGCCCAAGUGAGGUCAUCAGCAUUUCCUGAGUCCCGGAGUUUUCUCUUACUCUGCCCACAGUGCGAUAACUGAUAGAUUCAGGGGGAAGUAUGACCUAGCCAAUAGUAGAAUGAUCACAAUACCUUGAAGACCCCUAGACAAGGAUCCUUUACAACUUUCCCGUUCACUUAGAAUAUGACCGAACACUUGCUCUCAUAAAAUACUACAUGAUUAUAGAAUAAUGGUUUACAGCUUUGGAUUGCACUGGUUUGAAUCUAUCAACUAAUGAUCUCAGCCAACAUUAGGGAGAAUUUUAGAAGGUAUGCCAGAUAGUGAAGGUUGAAGGGCGCAGCUGGCAGUUUUAUUUUCUUGAAUAAAGGUCCCUGUUCUAGAUCGAACUCAGUAAUUAUUUCCUUCAAAAUAUCUGGAGAUGACUUAGCUCUUCCAUUGAAUGAGACAUGUGGUAGUUGACUUGUUCUUGCUUUGCAAGAUCUUGAAAGUAAAUGUGGUAAAAUGUUUUAAGAAGUCCUUUCUACUUUUAAUAUUCUCUCCUUCUCUAUUAACUUUUGACACUGUAACUACAAUGUGUCUUGAUGAGGGUCUCUUUGGUUUCAUCUUAUUUGGAACUCUCUGGGAUUCCUGGAUCCGGAUAUUGGUUUCCUUUCCAACUUAGGGACAUUUUUAGCUAUUAUUUCUUCAAACACAACUUCUGGCCCUUUUCCCCUCUCUUCUCCUCUGGGACCCCUCUAAUGUGAAUAUUAGUCCAUUUGAUAUUGUCCCAUCGGCCCCUUAAGCUAUCUCCACUUUUUUUCGUUCUUUUUUUCUUUUUUGCUGCUCUGAUUGGGUGAGUCCCACUGCCUUGUCUUUGAGUUGACUGAUUCUUUCUUCUGCUUUGCCCAAUCUGUUCUUAACGACCCCCCAAGUCAGUUUAGUUACUGUAUUUUCAGCUCUGUAACUUCUGUUUGAUACUUCCUUAUAUUUUUCAUCUCUCUGUUGAAGUUUUCAUUGCGUUUGUCUAUUCUUCUCUUCAGCUCAGUGGGCAUCUUUAUGACCAAUACUUUGAACUCUUUAUCAGGCAAAUUACUUAUCUCUGUUUCAUUAACGUUUUUUUUUCCUGCGGUUUUAUCUUGUUCUUUCAUUUGGAACACAUUUCUGCUUCUUUAUUUUGCUGGCCUCCCUGCGCUGGUUUCUCUGCCGUAGAUGAAACAUCCACCUCCCCAGUCUUGAAGGAGUGGCCUCAUAUAGGAGGUAAACCUUGUUGUUCAACCCUACCUGGCUCUUUGUUGUCUCUCAAAACUUUGUGCUUGUCCAGGAGCCUAUUAUAUUUUUAAUAGCUCCAGAGGCCUCCUUUACAGAAAGACUGGGGAGAGAGGGGUGGUAUACCUUAGUCUGCUGUAGGCACAGUGCCUGGGGAUGGCACUCUGCCAAGAACCAUCUCUCUGACUGCCACAGUCCUAUGGGACCUAGGAAUGCAAAUCCCCUUGGCCACCAACACCAGGCAAUCAAAAUUACAUCCCACUGGCUUUUAACUCCCCAGGCUAAUGGAGAAGAACAGGGAUGCACAUGUUGUUUAAAAAUUAAUAUGGUUUUACACGAUGCACUUUUGAUGUUUUCUUGGGCCAAAUGUCCUUUUGGAAUCAAGCUCUAUAGACUUUCAAUGAUAAAGAAGCCACGAGGGCCAUCUUGUCUACUUGUUGCUUAAAUUGUCUCUGUUAGCCUAUAACGGGCUACUUUGUGGGUCAGUAGUCCCACCUAUGGACAACUCAGAUCGUUUACCUUUUCCUUACACCGAACCACAGGACACUCGUCCGUCUUUCUUGGACCCAUGGAUCAUAGAGUGCAAAUCCAGUUCUCUUCCGCCUGAUUCAUCUAGGUAUCUUCUACUACAGAUACCUAAAGGAAGAAAUCCUGUGCUCUCUAGAAUCUUCUUUUCUCUAGGCCACAUGGCCCUAGCACCUUCCAUUAGCCCUCCCGUGGCAUUAUUCCCAACAUCUUCAUCAUUCUUGUCAGUCUCCACACUCCCGCUUGUCUAUCCGCCAUUUAAAAGGAAGAACUGAAUGCAAUUUUCUAGCCACGCGCUGACCAAUGGAGAGCAGAAUGUGGUGAUCGCUUUUCGAAAAAUGAUUUUUCCCCCAAGUACGAGGUUUCUAUGAAUAAAGCUUCAUAUUAGUCUUCCUGGCAACCAUGUAGCAGUGUUGACCCAUAUCAUCUCACUCUCUGUUAAAACACUUACGUCUAUUUUGUACAUGCUGCUGUCAAACACCAUUUUUCUCAUCCUUCGAUUCAGCCCAUUAUUCUGUCUCAUAGUAUCUUUUUUUGAUCUCAAUUAAGAUAUCUGCUAUGUUAGAUAUUUCUCUGAAAGUCAUCGUACUCGCAUAUUUGACUCAAACUUUCCCAAAGGAGAUCUCAGGAAGCCUUGUCGAGUGACUUGUGGAAGUUAGAAUUCCCAGUGUCAUCUCCCAAAACUAUCAGUCUAAUAAGUGUCAAAGAAACAAGUGGAGUUAAUCUGGCACCCUUUAAACAUUUUGUUGUUGUUGUUUGGUCUCAUAUUUCCAUUAUUACCUUUACAUGUUUUCUUAACAACUAGUGACGCUGGGAAGUAGCUAUCUGGAUGAAUGAUGAAAGGGAAAGGGAAAGUUGGUUUGGUUUGGGAUCAAUAUUUUGCAUCAGGCAAUCAAAAGAGGGACAUUUCAUAUGUGAAAAUUUGAGUGCACUAAUGCACGUGUUGAUGUUUUAAAUAACUGGCUUUUCUUUGUCCUUGCUCUCUUUGGGUUGAUAGACAACCUUCCUUGAAAGAGGAGCUUUUGGGUAAAAGGAAUUGGAAAUCUCUUGUCCGUAGUAUAUCAAGAUAUAAAUAUGUCAAUUCAUCUUUGCCCUUAUGUCUUCCACAUAAUAAAGUAAAAGUAAAUGUGACCAAAAAAUACUUGGUCCCUCAUUGUAGUAACAAUUCUCUGUAAGACGAGAGGGAGUUAUACAAGGUGAGUCUGGCCUGGCACUUAUUCAGGAGUUUGGCUACCAAAGUGCCUAAAGAUCCAUAACCAGGCAUUUCAACUCAAUUCAAACUGUUCAAAUGAAUUAAAACUCAUGAUAAAGCAGUUCCACAAUCUGGCCCCAGAGGACAGAAUUCUUAGCAAGGCUCCAGUACACUGUGCUAUUGGAUGGUAAUGUUAUCCAGAAACACUGGAAGUCUUCAUUCUUUUUCUCUUUCCUUCUGUGUGGAGACUGGGAAUUCUUUCUCUGUACUCCAUUUUCUUUCACUGUUUCCUUUUUUCUUUCCCCUUCCUUCCUCUUCCAUCUGUCCUUUUCUCUGUGUGUCUUUUUCUUUCCUGUUUUUUGGUUGGCAUUUCUCUCUCUCUCUCUCUCUCUCUCUCUGUCUCAAACUGAUUUUCUAAAAAGUUAUGGCUCUUUCCACUAAUUAUGGACUAUUUAAGAAUCAGUACUACUUGAGUUUGGUGUACGUAUGUGGCUUUAUUUCUCAGGCUACUGUUCCCUUGGGACUCCAUCUUUGAAUAAACAUAUGUUAACAUUUAAUCUAAGGAUACCACCACAUGUAGUUGUCAGGGGUCUGAAUUUUCCAUGAAAGAGAAGGAAAGAAAGAAAAAGAAGGAAAGAAAGAAAGAAGGAAAGAAAGAAAGAAGGAAAGAAAGAAAGAAAGAAAGAAAGAAAGAAAGAAAGAAAGAAGAAAGAAAAAAAGAAAGAAGGAAAGAAAGAAAAGAAAGGAGCCCUCUCCGAAUGGCUUCUGUGCUGUCUUGCCCCCAAGUUACUUUCUUAUUUUCAUCUAUCACUAUCUGGUAGCUUUGACCAGGGAAGGAUCCACUCAUCCCUUCUUUCCUGUUCCAAGGCUGACAUCACUCAUUUUCGUUACUCACCUUGAGACUACUACUCCUAUUCUCUAAAUGGUUCUUACCCCGCAAUGUGCAUCAGAAUCAUCUCGAAGGGCUGUUGAACCACAGAUUGCUGGGUCCCAUCCCCAGAGUUUCUGGCUCGGUAGGUCUGGGGCAGAGACCCAGGACUUGCAUUUCUAUCAAGUCCUCAGGUGCUGCAGAUACUAUUAGUCCUGGGACCACACUUUGAGAACCACUGCUCUAAUCCUAAACCAUCAUUUCACUCUCCUUUGACCGUUUCUCUAAUGGGAUAAAUAAUACCAGUUCCUUUCAUCUUCCUUAGUAGCAUCUACGUCUAGAACUUUUAAUUAUCAAGUGGCUCUUCUUUAAACUAUUUCCAAAUCCAUAUUUUGCUGGAUGGCCAGAACCAGAUGCAGACUCUAGCUGAUCGGGACAUAAUAAAAAUAACAACCCCUUUAUAUUCCGAUGAUGGAUUUCUCCCAAAGGGUUGGAGCCGUACUUUCUCAUCUGUUAUCUUGUGCGUUUGCAUAAUAUCCAUGCAUUCUUAUCUCAUUUUGGUAAAAGAGCCAUUUGAGGGGUCAUAUAUUGGGCAAUUCCUUAUGAAGAUAUGGAGGACAAGACUUGAACUCAGCUUUCCUGACUCCUCGGUCACAGCUCUCUUUGAAUUCGUGAAGGAUUUGUUUAAUUCCUAAAAUCUAAAAUCCACUUCAGCUCGUGGGAUCAAGAUACCUAUUUGAUCUAUUAAUACACUGUCCAAAAAAAAGGGGAAAAUUGCUUCAUUUUGAGUAAAAGUUGUCAUUGGCUGUUCGUACACAAACCAAGCCUAAUUUAGAGAGUUGUAUUCAACAUGAACAUUUAAAACUCUUUGACCUGGAGUUUAAUUUUUGUGCUCACAAAUAAAAGCUUUUAACUGUGAACCACCUUUGGCUUUCGGUUCACUAAACUUACUAAUUUUGGCAUAGUCUGUCGCCCAGUUUUUCCUGUGGUAGCCAAAUAGCCUUCUACCUGGUUCUGCAAAUGGGUUAUGACAUUGUGUCAUUGUUACAAUCUUGCUAUUCACAAGAAGAUUGGGAAUUUUUACUUCUGUCACUGAUCUGGUUCUAUGCGCUACAUGUUUCCAAAACAAAAGUGGGAAAGAGAUUAGAGGGAAAGCAGUUCUUCAACAUACCAAUUUCAUUAUUUACAUUAUCUCAAAGUCCUGUAGCUUGUUAAGCCCCAUGGUCUUCUCUCGGCCCUGGUUACAUCCUUUCCCAUCUUCCCAUCCUGACAAAGAAAAUGAAGAGUCUCACUGUUUAUGAAACAAUAAAGCUGGAUUAGAUGGGUUUUUAAGGGUCCUAUUGUUUGCCCCUAAACCAUUGUUGCAAAAGUGAAAGGCUCCAACUGUUCGUCUGACACACAAAUUGCCAUCAGCAAGGUAUUAGAAGGAAUCUCAUUUAUUACCACCAAGGAAAUAAAUAACACCAAUGGACCGAGUGUCUUUCAUCCGAAUUAGACUAACCAAAUCAAUUCAAAUCAUUAGAAUACAUUAUUCCCAAUUAUAUAUAAAUCUGCCUUGUAAACAGCCACUUACCUGCUUGCCCAGAGCGAUGUAACGCUUUAUGCUACACCCACCGCUUAAAAAAUUGUAGAAUUGACUGGCAAAACAUUUUAAUGGGCUGUUACAUAUUUUGUACUUAAUGCACUCAAUAAACGUUCAUUGUGGACCUACUACAUUUUGGGAAUACAGGGAUGAAUAAACAUGAGCUUGGUCCUCAAAGUGCUCACCUAGUAAGGGGAAAGAGACAUGCAAAGAAAUGAAUGCCCUUCUCUGGUUCUAAACUGCACUCAAUUCCAGGAAAAUCAAUGGUCUGAGUUUCAGCCUGAUUUAUGCGUGGGUGAAAAAAAGAUGAAGAGACUAGAGAAAAUAUCCAGAGGAAAGUAAUAGAUGAAAAUUUACAUAAAGGUUCAUGUCCAUCGCCAUCCAAUGACUUUCUCCAGUAAGUGCAGGUUUUGGGGUAAGCAAAAUAUAAUAGGGAAGAUGGGGCCAUGCAGGUGAACAUUGUAUUCCAAAGUCAAAUAGAAAUGGUUUUUAGACUAUCUAGAAUGUUGUGAUCCCAUUCUGUCUGUUCUUAUGGAUAAUUAUGUACAUUAAAAGCAUUUGCAGGGGAAUCCCUAGCAAUGGGGAAACAUUUAUUCUUCGAAUUAUGUUUCUAUCUCAAGAGAGUCCAUUUCCUUAGGUAAUAAUACAUUCUUUCCUCUAUACAGCAAGAUGGUUUGACUGACUCACAUUUAGCUGAACACAUGUCAAGGAUACACAUGGGUCCACCCACACUUUAUUUAUUUAUUUAUUUAUUUUUUUAAAUGUUUAGGUUUUCUUUUUUUUUUUUUUUUUUAAUUUUUUUUUCAACGUUUAUUUAUUUUUGGGACAGAGAGAGACAGAGCAUGAACGGGGGAGGGGCAGAGAGAGAGGGAGACACAGAAUCGGAAACAGGCUCCAGGCUCCGAGCCAUCAGCCCAGAGCCUGACGCGGGGCUCGAACUCCCGGACCGCGAGAUCGUGACCUGGCUGAAGUCGGACGCUUAACCGGCUGCGCCACCCAGGCGCCCCCACCCACACUUUCUUUAAACAAUGUGCUCAUCUCCUUUAAACAGUGGCAUUUGCCAACUGGACCUAGGCUGGACUGAGAUCAUGGUACUGGUGAAGAUGGACAAAAUUUGUGGAGUGAAACGAAGUGGUGUAUUUAGAGAUUGAAUUUACAACCUUAUGAAUACAAAGUCCAAUCCAGCUGAUUGUAGAGCCUGAUAAUGAAUAAGAUUAUCUUCUCAGUUUUCAUUUUCCAAUAUCUUCUUUAAAAAGGCACAACCCAGGGUGCCUGGGUGGCUCAGUCGUUAAGCAUCUGAUCAUAAGGUGAUGAUCUCAUGGUUUGUGAGUUCGAGUCCCACAUUGGGUGAACAUGAGCCCCGCUUUGGAUGAGCCUUGCUUCUUUCUCUCUCUCUCUCUCUCUCUCUCUGCCCCUCGCUCACUAGCGCCCUCUCUCUCUCCACCCUCACACAACACACUAAUUGAGAUGAAAUGCUGAUUUUAAGACGCCCAAGGUGGAUCAAAGAGACCGUCUUCAGACCUUUAAGCGAGAAGAGCCUGUGGGUGUCAAGUCUAUUACAUGUUCAGCUGGGGGACUCUGGAAAGGAAAUGAUAACCCUCUCUUUCUCCUAAAGUUUAUUUUUGAGAGAGGGGGAGGGGCAGAGAGCAGGACAGGGGAUCCCAAGCGGGCUCUGUGCUGACGGCAGAGAGGCCAAUGUCAGGCUGUCAGGUUCACAGGAACCAUGAGAUCAUGACCUGAGCUGAAGUCAGAUGCUUAACCGACUGAGCCACCCAGGCGCCCCGAAAUGAUAACCGUCUUAAUGCUAGUGCUGAGAAAAACUUCAGAGGUAGCUUUUGAACCCUAAAAGGGAGCCAUACAGUAAACCAAGUCACCUUUUCCCAAAGUCACUCAUUUUUGCCUUUUUAAACAUAUAACUUGUUUCCAUUUCCAGCCUUACUCAUCAUCUUACAUUCUCCAAGAUUUUUUGCAAUCGUGAUUGUCAUUAUCGUCUUUUUAGUAGCUAAUAACCACAAGUAAUUCACCUUUCCUACUGAUGGUUUUUGUUUAAAAGUUAUGGUAUCAGGAACUUUUACAGAUUUGGUAUCAGGCCCCGAAAAUUGGCAUUUCUUAUGUGUGGGAUCAGUUUGGGAUCAAGGCAUUGCUGAGUUCUGAUUGGCCAAUUUGCUUAUGGUCUGAUUGCCACUCAGUAAUGCCCAUUCACAAAAGCAUGGGAUGAGUUAAUCAUGCCCGCAGCGAGGCAUGCUUGCGUGCUUUUUAUUUUGUGUGUAGCUUAUAAUCACUUUUUCCUACAUCUGGCUAAAUAUCGGACCAUGGAAGCUCUGCGUAUGCCAAAGAGCAAAUGCUCCAAAUAUGUGCACAUUUAUCUUCAUUGCCUAAUCGCCCCUUUAUGAAUAAAGCAUUUGCAUAUAUAGUGACUUUGUGUGAGACCAAGCACUGUUUAUUGGGAGCCAGUAGAGCUCUGAUAGAAUUGCAAGCAUCGUUUGUGACGUUGGGUGGAAUUUUGUCCAGUAUUAUCCCACUUAGUAGGGCCUGUGCCUGGCCCUUAGCUUUGUCACAUGUCUCCUCUCUUUGGGACCUCAGGUUCAGCUCUCUGUACCUAUCUAAAAAAUAACUGACAUAUUACUGCUUCUUUAAGGUAUUAUUUAAUAAGGUGGGUUCUUCCCCUGGGCUUUAGUGCUUUAAUAAAGGAGCCUCGGACACGGAAAUGACUUAACAUCGCAGAGAAGAGUUCUCCCAUGAUAGGCUUUCUGGCACCAAGGCAGACUCGUGGGGUGAAGGGGGGAACUAGGCAGGCUAAGUCACUUGCAAUCAUGUCUCCCACCACCACUUGCCUGAGAAUAACUGCUGAGCAGCUAAGCUUAUGUCUUCUGUACCCACGGCUUUGACUUUCUACACUCUUUGUUCUCAGUAAUCUGAACACUCUGUUUCUUCCACCUGCCUUCAAAUUCAAAGCCACUGAAGUUUAAAUAGUGCUGUCCCUAGAAACGGGGCCCUUCACUCCCGUUAGGCAUUUCCAUCGUAGGGUCAGAAGAGCCACACGAGGUCGUUAAGCCCACGCAGAGGUGGAAAAAAUUUGCUACUUGUUGGGAAUGUACAGGAUGUCUCUCAGAACCCAAGGAUGCCAUUCUGGACCUUAAAAUGUUCCCUGUGGGUAUUGACUGGUCAAUGCAGCAUCCUAGAAGUUCUCGAUGCACCUUCUCCCUUUGCGUUUUCAAUUUUUUAAAAGUUUUUAUUUAUUUAUUUUGAAAGAGAGAUCAGGGGAGGAGCAGAGAGAGAGGUAAUGAGAGAGAGAAGCCCAAGCAGGUUCCACACUGUCAGCUACAAGCCCCAUGUGGGGCUCAAACUCCCGAACCAUGAGAUCAUGACCUGAACCAAAGUCGAGAGGCAGACGCUUCACCGAGUGAGCCACCCAGGCGCCCCUGCUUUUUCAGUUCUUAAGAGCUUCGACUUCAGGCAUGGACCACCCAAGUCGGCCAUACAACUCCACCUGUCUUCUCCCAGAACCUUUAGCUAUCCCAUUUACUUUCAUAAGUUCACCUGGAAGCAUGUUUGUACAUGAAUAUCCAGCCAGAGCCAGAGGCCACAGACAAACCAACCUGAACGCCUCACAUUUAAGUCCAUCCAGCCCUUACUCUUCUUUGCUUCCAUCACAUUGAGAAGGGUGACAACAUUCAGGAGGGUGACAUCAUACCGGUCCAGGACCUAGGCACAGACACAUGCAGUCUCAUGAAAGGCCACCUCAGGAUUGCCUUUGGUCACACCCGUUCGUUAACUUCUAAACGCAAGUUGUGUAACUGCAAACCAAAAAUGCUUGUUGGUCGAAGAUUUGUAGAAUUUAUUUGAGACAUCCAGGAUGGAGAUUGAUGGUAGACUCAUCAUUUCCUCCUUUUUGCCUUGUGUUUGUAUUUCGCUACUUGUUCAGGCUUAUUAUUUAUUCAUUGAGCUAUUUUCUCCCCCUCUCAGCCAUAUCUCUCUUCUCUUUUAUCAUGUGCUUCUCUGGACCAUCCUUCUUAGUGUCUGCCUACUUUGCCGCAUACGCUCAAAAUUAUUAGCGCUGAUGCUAGACCACUUGCCAUCCUCACGCAGGCUGGAAACAUCUGAUCGCAGGGUAGAAAUGCCUUUAAAUGGCCAUUCUAUUCAGCCCCCGGCUGUCAAGUCACUACUCUGUCCAUGAUCAACUGCUAUCAUCAUUCACAUCUGAAUAGAAACACCGAUUCCUCAAGGAAGGCUUUCCUGACCUCCCCCCAAUUAGAUCCUGUCCCUUUGUUUGUGUUCUCAUAACUGGCUUUAAUGUUUUUCUUUAUAAUAUUCAUGGUUCGCGAUUAUAUCUUUGGGCAAUGAUUUGACCACGCAUGUCCUUUCCAUAGGACUAUGAUCCUCAGAGAGGAGAGAUGUGUAUGUCUCUCCCACCACAGCAUCCUUCCGUCUUUGUUCGACACGUAGCCCAUUAUAGGCGUCGAUACGUGUUAAUUCGUAGUUAUUAUUAUUAUUAAUACUAAAGUCUAUGGUAAGCCCUGGAAAACAAAAGCUGGAUAUAGGUAAAGGAUUGAUAAAUUUACGUACCUUUUCCAUCAAUCAUCCAUUCAUCCAUUUGUUCACUCAUUCAUUCAGUACAGGUGUCAAACAAAUAACACAAAUAUAUAUUGCUUGAUCACUCUGUUUAAGUACCUUUUCAAGUAAAUAAGGGUAAGAGUUAAAAACCCUUCCCGUUGAAUGUACCUGUAAUUGCACAGGAAAGACAGGAAGACACAGAAAGGAUUCUAAUACAGAGGAGAGACCGCUAAAUGCCCAAGAGCUUAAGAGUCGUAACGUGGAGGCCUCGGGACAGCUUCACAGAGGACGCUGCCUUUAGCUGAGCCUCGAAGGCCAUGAACAACUUGCACAAGUAGAGGUGGAAAGAAAUCGUGCUCUAGAGGGAGAGAAGGGUGAGACCAAAGUUUGUGACUCUAUCCUUCGAAUGCCAUGAGCAUGUACAGGCAACAGCUGGUGUCUUAGUGAUCUUGAAAGAGAGGUAAAGUAGAAAGUGGAUUUUGAAAGAAAGUCCUGGAAGGACCUGUAUGCUCAGCACAGGAGCUUAGAUUUUAUUCUUGGGCCAGCGGGAGCGGUUGGAGGCACGUGGGCUUGAUGAUCUCAUCCGAAUGGUGUGUUGGGAAAAUUAAUUGGGUAUCACUGUGUCUCGUGGUGAAAUUGGCUGUUGUGCUUAUCUGGGCGACUUCCUCUUCAAUGCUUGGGUCCCUGUCCCUGUGUCUCAGUCUCCGGGGGCCUGGGCUCCAACUCCUGCUGCCCAUGGGUCAGCUGCUGAGUUUCCCUGGUGCUGGUUACCUGCGGUCUGAAACUCUGCUUAUCACCUGCAGGGGCUCAACUGACCCAUUUAGCCUUGGUCUCUCAAUAGAUGGACUUCUCGUGACACAUCUUAUGAGCCGGAUCUUAUUUCCCUGGUCAGAUGAGGAAUCCAAGGCUUCUAAGUGGCUGAACUGAUUUUCCAACCCAGGUCUCCUGAUCCCCAGUCUGUAGCUCUUCUGGUCAUAAGUUCCUAAUCUCUCUUAACUUUAAUGAAAAGGCUGAGUACAAAUCAAACCACGACAGCUAAAAUUUAUUGAGAUUUGAUUUUACCUUCUAUGUGCAGACACUGUUCUAAGAGCUUUAGAAUCCUUUAAUGACCACAAAAAAAAAAAAAAUCUUUGUGAGGUAGAUACACCAUUGUUCGUUUUACAGAUGAGGCAACGGUAAUAAGAGAAUUUAAGUAACGUGCCUAGUUAUGAAGCUACUAAGCAGAAGAGUCUGGACGGAAGCCCUGACAGUCUUGACUCUCGAACCUGGGCUUUACGGCUGUGUUGCUGCCUCCAAAGUUAACAGAUAUACACACACACCCCUGAACGCACAGAGCCAUUGUCCCGUAUACAGUAGGUGCUGCAUAAAUGCUGCUAUCAGUUCGCUCUCAGAACUCAGCUGAUGCUGUGCGCCCCCCACUGGUACCAAUUUUGCGGUCCGUGAUUUGUUCUCCGAUUACUCACACACAAGUGGUUAUCCCGAGAUUAAUGGCCCUACAGCUGUGCAUUCGUGUUGGUCCCUCACCUGCUGCCCGUGCUAAGGGUCUGUCCUCACUUCCCAACCCGGCCUUCCCGAAUUCAGUCUUCCUUGCUGCGGUGAAUUGUGGACGGCCUUUGCUCUUCUCUUGCAACUGACGUGGUCUUUGGAAUGGGUCCGCGAAACCAGUUUCUGGAGAAGGAACCUUUCAGGAACCCCUACCUUUCUUAGCAGCAUCAUAUGGCUUCCGAGAAGUCCCUUAAAAAUUCAACAGAAAGUAUUGCACGGAAAAGGGGAAGAGAAGUGGCCAUUGCAUACCUGCAGGAGUGUGCUGGGGACUUUGCAUUUUUUUUUUUUUUAAUUUUUUUUCAACGUUUAUUCAUUUUUGGGACAGAGAGAGACAGAGCGUGAACGGGGGAGGGGCAGAGAGAGAGGGAGACACAGAAUCGGAAACAGGCUCCAGGCUCUGAGCCAUCAGCCCAGAGCCCGACGCGGGGCUCGAACUCGCGGACCGCGAGAUCGUGACCUGGCUGAAGUCGGACGCUUAACCGACUGCGCCACCCAGGCGCCCCAAGGGACUUUGCAUUUUUACCCACGUGUCUUGGAAAAGGAAAGACGCCCACAGUCACAGCGAGUACGCAGAGCUGCAGCAAAAGCCUAGGUGCGUCUGACUGCAAAGCUCAUCCGUUUGAUCACCAAAUAUGUCUUAAGGGCCUCCUCUGGGUGAAACACUCUGUUAGGCCAGGGAGAUGGGUUAAGCGAGCAAGAUGGGCUCGACCCCUGCCUGACAGGAGCGCUCCGUCCGGCAAGGAGAACAGAUCAUCGAAUAACAGCACGGGUGUGUGCGAGAUACCGGGGCAGAGGAAAUGCAGUCGACGUGCCCCUUCUCCGUGUUCCACAGGUGGGGAAAACACAAGCCUUACACUUAACACAUGGGUAUCACAUUAAAAAAAAAAAAGCAUUUUCUCCCCUCCAAUCUCCAUUCCUCCCCUUUUUACUCCAAGUCGCCAAGGAGUCUAUUUGAACAACCGAGUCUCCUCGUGGUUUGCAAAAGCACCAUGACAUCUACUGUUGGAAAUUUUAAAACUAUGAACGGGUUGUAGUCCCAGGACAAUAGAAGCUUGGGAAGAAGAUCGAUGGUAGUCGGCAAAGUAGAUGAUGCUAGAAAAUUCCAGGCAAAGCUUGCAAAGAGGGUCAGUUUCAAUACACCAAGUUCCCUCUGCAUGAGUGGCCAGGGAGAGCCAGCAAGCAUGGGGCGGUGCCUUGGUGAGGGCAGCGUCGAGCCGCGGGCCGUGAGAGGGGUUUGCGCCCUGGUCCUGUUUACAAUUUGUCUGAAGCUUCUUGAGCUCAGCCCAGCCAGAUGGACUCUUCCUCUCAAAUAUCAGACCUGAUCUUUUCAAAUAAAACGGUACAAAGCACAUUAAAAGCUUUGAUCCAAAUGUUUACUUUGCAUUUGUAUGUGUUGGGGGAAAUGGGGACAAAGGAAGGAUUUAUUAGGCCUUGCUGUGGGUGGCCACACAGCCACUGGGCAUGUCAGAGGGAAAUGGAGAGUGCUCUGAGCUGACACGUACUGAGUACACGUCAGUGCUCAGAUACUCCGAUGCCCCAGCUAAAGUCCCUGGACUUGCUCUGUGGGCCUCAAACAUUUCAAUCUUCUUGUCCACAAGGGGGGAGGUCUUGAGUUAGGAGCCCUUGGGGUACAGCUGGUCAGCCCAUCCCUCUGCCUUAGGGCAGGUCAGAGCCAGACACCUUUCUUGAGAUGCUUCUAGAAGUUUCUCAACAUCUGGGUGGCACCCCCUUUCUUUUUCAUGACCAUCUCAUGCUUUAAAAGUAUUUCACAUAGGGGUGCCUGGGUGGCUCAGUUAAGCGUCCGACUUCAGCUCAGGUCACGAUUUCACGGUUCGUGGGUUCGAGCCCCGCUUCGCGUUCUGUACUGACCGCUCAGAGCCUAGAGCCUGUUUCGGAUUCUGUGUCUUCCUCUCUCUGUCCCACCCCUGUUUGCACUCUCUCUGUGUCUCUCAAGAAUGAAUAAAUGUUAAAACAAAUUUUUAAAAAAAGCAUUUCACAUAAAUUCACUUAUUUGACCUACAGCCUUCUGAAACAGGUGGUUAGGACACAUAGCCUCUCUCCCCCUCUUCCUCCUUCCCUCUCUCGCUUUCUCUCUCUCUCUCUCUCACACACACACAUACACCAGACAGAUAUUUCUGCUACACAGAUUAGAAAGCUGGCAGUUUUGACUGCAGGGAGGAGGACCACUUUCAACAAGUGAUCUCAUUAAUCUUCUUAAAAGUCCCAUGAAGUAGGUAAGAAGCGCCCAUUUUAUUUUAUUUUUUAACGUUUAUUUACUUUUGAGACAGAGAGAGACAGAGCAUGAACAGGGGAGGGGCAGAGAGAGAGAGGGAGACACAGAAUCGGAAGCAGGCUCCAGGCUCCGAGCCAUCAGCCCAGAGCCCGACGCGGGGCUCGAACUCACGGACCGCGAGAUCGUGACCUGAGCUGAAGUCGGACGCUUAACCGACUGAGCCACCCAGGCGCCCCAGAAGUACCCAUUUUAGAGAUGAAAAAUACUGAAGCUCAGAGAAGUUAAAAACUCUAGGGUUCAUUCCUCAUCGAUAUGGAUACCUAUUGUCAUAUCGCCAAAGGGGUAGAGCUAGGAUUCAAAUCAAGGCCUAUUUGUUUGUUCUCUUCCCACCCCCGCCCUGGGCUAGCCAACCCCAGGUGGCAAAGCUGAGAGCCUCACAGGACUCCUGUCUUCUGUUUCCAGCUCAGUGUUCUUUGCUUCCACCAAUAUCCACUGCAAAAGGGCUACUGCUCUCAGAACAUCCUCCUUUAUAUCUGUCUUCUGUUACACAUGCAUACAGCAGAGACAGAGACCGUCUAAAAGGAAAACUGGUAGUGAUGCUUUGUUAUCGGUAAAUAAAAGGAAAUCAUAUGGGCAGAAUAAUAUACAGUGUUCUGAAUGGGAGUUCAGGAACCUUCUAAUGUGAGGAAUGAGAAUAUAGCAAAGCAUGGCAGCUUCAUUUUAGCUCAACAGAACAACUAUGACUCCUUAGCAAAUGCAGUAGAUGGAGUAUGUAAGACCACCGUCAGAUAAAACUGUUGCACGCCAAGCCCUUAGUCGCUGCAUAGUUCGGGGGUAGGCACUAGAGAGGAGAGGAAUCGAGAAAUUCCAGUACAAACGCCGUGCAUCAGGCUUAAUAAAAUGCGGUGCGUGGUGAAAUUAAAUGCCUCUUUGAAAAAAUAUCAGCUAUUCCUAGGUUUCAAAACAAACGAGGCAUUUUGAAAAAUAAAGAUAAGACAUGAUUGUUGCAUGUUUAUCAAAUAGCAUUUUAAAAUAUCUGGUCGGGGUGUGUGUGCUUGCGUGUGUGUGUGUGUGUGUGUGUGAGAGAGAGAGACAGACAGACAGAGAGAGACAGAAAGAGGGAGAGAGGGAGAGGGAGAGGGAGAGAGGGAGACUAGGUACUGUAAUUUUAAUUGCUUGUAAUCUAACUUGCCUUUUUGUUCCUUUUUUCCUUUCUUUCUUUCUUUUCUUUUUUUGUAUCAGUUAAUCUGUUGGUUACAUUUUCAGCUUUUCUUUGCUUCUGGUUUCAUUUUCAGAUGAAAAAAUGCUAGGCACACAGCGCUGCUGUCUGGUUGCCAUGGCGACCACAGCCUAUUAUCCUGCCUUGUCAUUCAUCAAGAAAGAAUUGCACUUGACAGAGGGAGAGGAAAAUGCCUGCAGUCUGCAGCAUAGGAGGAAAAAAAGGUUUUCUUUUCUUCUAUGUAUGUAAAAGGUCUUUAAUGCCCGUUUAGUUACAUGUUUUAUUUAGCAUUAUUUAUUACUUGUAACGACAAUAAUUGAUACCUGUAAAAAUACGUCCCCUCCCCUGAAAGUAUUUAACUUGCAAUUUGUUCCUUUGCCUGGCUUUCCCAUUUUCAAACCUAUCCCUGGUGCUGUACCCCUGCCCCCACCCCUACAAACAUCGCUUCCACUUUCCUAACAGAAACGGCCAAAAGAUUGUAUUCUCCAUGGAGAACGAUCAUUGUAAGGGUAGCUAAACAUGACACUUCUUCCGAAAAUUGUGUUUCAUAACCAACAGUUCUCUUGUGCCGCUCUUCUGAAUAUGAAUUCGUGUGAUACACAAUCAAUCAGGACGUGAAGAUUACUUUUGAUUAAGCAAAUUCUCCGAGUGUGCCGUGCCUAUGAAAUAGAGCGUUAGCAAAAAUAAUACGAAAGUACAGCGCUGUUUCCAUUACAUAACCAACUAUCAAAUCAUGACUGCUCUUUAUACAUUUGGAUCCAUCCCAAACCCAUUGUUCUUCAAGGCAAGAAAAAGUAAUUACUUGUUAUUUGACUACUCCUCGUCGUGGCCAUUUGAGUUAACUCUGCAUUACUUCCCCAAAUAAAUGGUCUAAGAAGUUCUAUAUGCUUAAAUACCUAGGCUCUCAUUUAUCAUUUUUUUUUUAAGUCUGGUAUUUUCCACCUCGCCAUUCACCUCCUAAGAUAUCUGUAGCCAGUGGGCCAUUGCAAACAACUCUGCUCUGCUGGUUGCUUUGCCGUUCUGGAAAUUGUUUGAUUUCCUUCUUAAGGUGGAGAAAGUGGUUGUAAAAGAGGCAGUAUGUUAAGCGGGUAUCUUCUGAGCUUGGUGUUGAAUAUCUGCUCGAUCUUUUGUCUCGGGGGUCAGAGAGAAGCUGGACAAUGGGUGGUACUCCAUCCUGAGCUGUUUCAACAGCGGCAUUAAGCACCACUGAUGUUGGCUGUGGUGGAACCACGUCACCUUGAGUGUGAACGGGCAACUCGGCGGAGAAAUAGAGAACUUCUGAAGUUCAAGUUUUAUUCUGUUGGGAGACAACUUCCCUACUAGAGGCCUUGCUCCACUGGCUGACACGGAGACGCCGAAAUCCUAUUUCUACAUUGUAAGUGAGGCAGAGAGUUGGGUAAUUAUCUGGCCAGUUUUGGUAUGGAGAUGGUUCAGAUUCUAACCUUCCCACCACUUCCUUAAUUAUCUGGAUAAUUCUGGCAAGAGGAGGCUUGGGGGUGGAGAGGGAGACUUCUAAAAGAAUUAAACAACUACAGCUGUCAGGAAAUUUGUCCGGGGUUUUAGAUAUUGCUACAUAAGCAUUCAAAACCCCUUGAUUGUCAGCACAUCGAAGGUAACUUCCAUUAACGCAGACUUCCCAGCAUCCUUUGUGUACCUUGGCCAUGUAAAACUGUAGAAACCAUGGAAUGUUUUUCUUUAAUCUUGACAUUUGGGAGAGCAAAAGGAAACAACGAAAAAAAGGGAAAGAUAUAUUAAGUUUAGAAUUGUGGCUAUUUUCUAUUGGUCCUAAACUUUUGCUUUAAUAAUGCAGCAACACCACUGUUCAUUUCCUGUUAAACUUCAAGCCUACCUUUUGAUUUUCAAAUGUCCCUUAGGCUAAUGUUUUCACUGAAGAAUGAAAUGAACAGGCAGAAACAAUUAAGCGAGCAGAUACAGUGAAAACGAACACCGCACUGCACUUUCACAGCAGAAAUGGACGGGUAUGAAGGAAUUCUGCUUGGAAUUUGAUCCUACAGGAGCAAAGUGCUUGCUUCUUGUCAUUUUUCUUUUGCCCACCCCCAAUACACACCACUUCCCCUUUAUGAGGGCGGGGGGCGGGUGGUGGGGGGGGCGGAGAUCUAGGCACACAAAGAACUCCUAAAUACUCACAGGCAUGGGAAAUAUUUUCUCUGCCUGUUACUCGUACAGGAUAAUCUCCAAGAGAAAAAAAAAAUAAAAGAAUUCAUCUAGAUAUUUUACACUGCAAAUGUCUCCCAAAGCCUGUUAAAUGUUCACAUAUGUCUUUAUGAAACUUGUAAUAUAGAUUGUUUAUACACUCUUGAUUAAGGGCACGAACAUCAUUAAAAAGGAUCAAGUCAGUUUCAAGAUGGAAAAUUAUAAAACCAGAUAGAAUUGUAACCUACAAGGAUAAGUGUGCACAAAAAAAAAAAACACCUUAAUAAUCUGUGACUCUUUACCUAAAGAGAUAAAUCAAUAGCCAAAAGUGAGCUGUGAGAGAGCCUUCUACGUUCUAUCAGGAAUUAACAAGGGAGUAAUUAACUCUACCUCAAACAAAUCUGCCAUCACAUGUUUAUAGCAAUUCUGUCACUCUAUGAAAGCUAUAUCUUCUUUUUUAGCACUAAACUGAGAAAUUUUACAUGGCAGGAGCUUGGCAUUCCUAAUUUUGGAUUUACUUUAUUAAAACAGAACUAAGUCAUACACCGUGAUACGUUGAGAGACUGAUUAUGAGAAAGGUAAGGGGGCUAAGAACGGGGUAGCAUUGCAUACACUUUGGAAGACUCUGUCUUAGCAUCUGACAAAAGGCCUGUGUGACAGCUUCAAGGCUGGUUCCCAUUUAAAUUCAAACAUUAUUUCUAAGAUGGUAUGCAAUGGGAAAUUGCCUUGGGAGAGGAUCAGCACACCAACACCACAAACGAAAUUUAAACCUGUGGGUGUCCUUUGUCGGGUAAAACAACACCUCAGGAACGAAUCUGGACGAGGAAGGUCAUCCAUAAGAUUUUACCCAGUGGAAGGCGUGGUUUUGUUUUUUAUUGAAUGCAUCCCUCAGUAUUUUCCCAAUGAAACACCUCUCGUAAACCAGGGACUUUGUGUUUUUGUUGUUGUUAUAGGUUUUUGUGUUUUUUUUUUUAAUACCAGUAGAAUUAGUUUUACUCUGCAGUAAUGAAGAUCUGAAGAUGGCCGCUCUAAACAUAAAACCAGCUACAGAAGGGCAUUCACGUGGAUUUUUUUUAUUUGAGAUUCCAAGAUGGGAUAGAUUUGUUACCCUAACAAACGACGGGUUGUGUGGGAAUUGACUUCAUAUACUAGGGAAAAGGAGGCAACUUACGUUGGUUAAAAUCCCAAACACUGACAUACUCCCUCUUCUUUGUUACUUAUAAACACGAUAACAACCACAAAACCCCCACCUGUGUGGUGUCCUGACAUGAGAACUGUUCCAGUAAACCAUUCUGCCCGGUGUUGUAAUACUAAUCCUAGAGAGCUUACAAAAGCGCAGGUGACUUUCCAGCUAGCUACGGAAGACACUAGUGGGAUAGGACAUUUCCUUAACCUUAUCUACAGCUAUAUGUCGCUAACAGCAUUCGAACUAAGCGAACUGAGAUCACCUGGUCAGCUUUCUUGUCUUUGUAACACAGGAAAAGAAAAGGAAAUGUUUUACGGCACAGUGUUAUUUUUUACAUUACGGUGUUGUGUUUGUUAAAUGUCCAAAUGACCUUACAGAAAGAAAAAUAUGGGCAGUGGUGGCAGGUGGGGAAAGUAUAAUUAAAUGUACGAAAGAAUUUAUGGAGGUGGUUAUCACUACAUUUUGAAACUAAUUGCUAUCAUUUGGGAUUCUCUUUGUCCGGAGGUUCAUAUCAGCCUCCCCCAAAGUCACGUCCACCCAGAAUCUGUGAACGUGGCCUUAUUUGCAAAAAGGGACUUUGCAGACAUAAUUAAGCUGAGGAGAUCAUCUGCCUAUGGAUGGGCUCUAAGUCCAAUGACAAGCUUCCUUGUAAGAGAAAAGACCAGGAGGGAACACAUAGAGACACAGAGAGAGAGGUCAUGUGAAGACAGAGGGAGAUAAGGUGGAGGAGUGAUGAGUCGACAAGGCACGUGAUACCAAGGACUGCCAGCAGCCAGUAGAAGCCAGGAGAUAGAGGGGCGCCUGGGUGGCUCAGUCGGUUGAGCGUCCGACUUCAGCUCAGAUCAUGAUCUCACAGUUCGUGAGUUCGAGCCCCACUUCGGGCUCUGUGCUCACAGCUCAGAGCCUGGAGCCUGCUUCAGAUUCUGUGUCUCCCUCUCUCUCUGCCCCCACCCCCCUUGCUCAUACCGUCUCUCUCUCUCUCUCUCUCUCUCUCUGUCUCUCAAAAAUAAAAGUAAACAUAAAGAAAACAUAUUUAAAGAAGCCAGGAGAUAGACGCGGAACAACUUCUGUCAGCCUCGAGAAGGAGCCAAGCUGGCCACCACCUUGAUUCUGGACUUCUGGCCUCCAGAACUGUGACACAAUAUGUUUCAGUUGUUUUGAGUCCAUCAGUUUGUGGUAAUUUGUGACAGUAGUUCUAGGAAACUAAUACAAGGUCAUUCAACAAUUAAAGCAAGAAGAGGACAUAUUAGCCCACGGAAUGCAAGGGAGGACAGAACGACCGAGCCGUUCGAAGGCCAAGGGUGCAACUGGACCUCACGAACGACCAAAACUCAGGAUCCAAAUUCCGCCAGGACCCUCCAUCUGUCCCCUCUGCUUCAUCGUCUCACAUUGACAAGGGGCUUUCUUCACUUGCAGGAGACAUGGCUGCUAAUAUUUCCCGAGUUUCCCAUUUGAUGGCCUUAAUUACCUCAGACAGACCAAUUUUCUCUCACGUUUCCAAAUUCUGUGGCAACAGCCUACUUUCCAAAUUUCGUUCGUGCCUAUCUCUGAGCUAAUCAACCAAGACUAAGCUUCCAAGAUCUUAUAAAAUAUGGCAGUUCCUGACGUGGAAGUGUUGGCACCCAGGUGUCCAACUCACAGAAUCUUUUCUUUUCUGUGUGUGACGCUAUAGCCAUUAUUCUUAACUGCAACAGUGUGGUAUUUGCAAAGACAUUUGUUCUGUGGAUAAGAUCUGGAGGUGAGUCCGGCUCUGCCAUUUACUAGAGGUGUGAUGUGAGCAAGUCACUUCACUUUUCUGAGCUUCUUUAUCUCCUUUUGAAAAAUAAGGAUAGAGUCCCUGUACAAAUAGAAGGAUUCCAAUCAUGUUGGUUAAGGACGAUAAUAGAAGAAUAGAACUUGAAUGGGCCUUAAAGUCAGACAAGGUCAAUCACUUCAUUUUUGUAGAUGAGGUUUCAGAAGUUAAGUUGGUAAGAAAACCGGGGCAAGAAUUUAGGUUACUCAACUACCAAGUUAGUAGUCUUUUGUUAUUUUAUAGGACCUGUCCCCAUUCCUGUGGAUAUAAAACAAGGUCUCAUCUGAAGGGGGUCAUUCAGCAAAGUAAAAAGCACCUGUCUUAGAACAGACACUGAUAUUAUGCUUUAGAUUAGAUGGUAACAGACGGCUAAAGAUGUCAAAAAAGAAGGUGCAAAGAAGUGGGUUGGGAGUUCAGAUGUGAGGGGCCCUGCCUAGGUACUUGCAAAAUUUUGCCUGCCCUUAAGCUCACAGAAUGUAGUUAUUCUGAGGCAGCUUCCAGAAAGGAGAGAAAUAAGCCAUGAUAGGAUCAGAACCCUCUAAUUUUUAAGCCAUUUUUGUUUAUAUCCCUCUACCCUGUGUUUAUUUUUCUUUUGCCAUCCCUUAUUACAUAAUGAAAGCAUUUUGCAAAGGCCCACUUGUUUCAAUGUUGGAAUGAGGAAAUCAAGAGAAAGGUUCUGCCUUCUCUGGGCCGAGGUUGGGCCAGAAUAAGAGAGACUAUGAGCACGUCUAGUGGCUGUAGUUCAGCUCAGUUUGUAAGCUGAGCACAACCUGACGUUCAUGCCUAUGUUUUAAAGUUUUCUAAGAUCGACUACAUUUUCAGCUUGCUCGGAGCCAGAAAGAUCUACUCCAGUCUCUGCAGGAAACCAUAAUCAUAACCAGCGAGACCUAAGCCAUCCUGUUGCGCAGAUGUGCACAAAUGUACGUUACAAGGGCACACAACGUAGAACAUGUGGCAUUCACAGAAAACGGUAUGCCUUGUAAGGCCCUGUUCUGUACGAAAUACUGCUUCACAUGACCACCCCGAGCCCAAGAAUAUUACCUGCAUUUGUUAACAAGAUCCACUGUUCGCAUAGCCCUCUGCAGGGCGAUUUCAAAUUUUUCUUUAACACAGAACUUUAUGAAUAUAAUUGAAGGAUUGUUUGAAAAUGGUGGAAUGUACGCCUCGGUACGAAGACCACAGUGAAUUGAAACCCAUAUUCAGGUGUCCUUACAUGCCCAACAAAUGAUAAAUGAUUCAGUCUAAGAAAGCGAUCAUUAAAUUCCGGCCCCCUCUCACUAGGUUUUGACGAGACAAACAUUAACCAAGCCCUUUCAUAAUGACUUGAUCUAGUCUGAAACCUAUUCUAUUCUUGUCAGUCAUCCUGUUGCCCACUGUCCCUUGCUACCUUGGCCCCGUGACAGUCUGUGCUGAAAUGGCUCCCUGGUCAGCGCAUUUCAGGUAAAUUUCAGUCUCUCGCCUGCAGUUUCUCAAUGCUCAGGUUUUGUAGACAGAAAGUCAUGAUUAUUUUCUUUCUAAGGAAUUUACCUUCUUUCAGUGGCCAUCGCAAAAUUAAUGCCAUUUUAUUUUUGCCAAAGAAUGGCUUCUCUGUGUAUGUGUGCAGCCCGGAAGCCUGUCUUUGCACGCGUCUGCAACGUUCUACGGCAGAAAGGAGUCUUAUGUGUUCAGCCAUUCAUCCAAUUCACUCAAGUAUUUAUUGAAUCCUUACUGUCUCCCAGGUAAUGCUUCUAGAUUCUUGGGAUAUAUUAACAUACAAAACGGACAAAAUUAAAAGGCCUUCAUAGUGCUUAUAUUCUAUUGGGUAAAAUAAACAAUUUUUGAAAACCACAGUAAGUGUAAUAAAUAGGCUAUGGGAAAAAGAAAAAAAUAACAAUAAGGGCAAUCAGGAGUGUUAGCAGAAGCAGGGGUACAGGUUGCCAUUUUGAAUAGGACGGACAAGGGCGGAUCUCUCUGACGCAAUGUUUGAGCAAAGACGUUAAGUACAAGAGGAAGUUAGACAUAUGAAUACAUGGGAAUAACAGAAUUCCAGGCAGGUGAUACAGCCCUUGCAAAGGCACAAAAGAGAACGAGUACUUUGCUUGUAGUGGUAGGCAGAGUCAUGCCCCCAGAGGUGUUAGGAGAUCCAUAUCCUAAUACAAGGAAAACGUGAGUAUCUUCCUUUCCAUGGCAAAAGGGACUUUGCAUAUGGGAUUAAGUUAAAGAUCUUGAGAUGGGGAGAUUAUCUGGGUGGGUCUAGUGUAGUCACAGCUCCCUUAUAAGAGGGAGGUAGGAGAAUCAGAGAAGAUGUGUGAUAGAAAGCAGAGGUUCAAGUGCUGUGAUUGCUGGUUUUGAAGAUGGAAAAAAAUGCCAUGAGCCAAGGAAUGCAGGAAGCAUGUAGAAGGUGGAAAAGGCAAAAAGAAAAAGAAAAAAAAAAAGAAUUCUGUCCACUAAUGUUUCCAGAAGGAACAAAGCCAUGCCAAUACCGCUGAGACCUAUUUUGGACUUCUGACCUCUAGAACUAUAAGAUAAAAAAGUUUGUGUUUUAAGCCACUAAUUUUGUGUUUGUUAUUUAGGAAUGGGAAGCCAACAAAAUAGUUCAAGAACAUUCAUUCAUUUGUUCAGAAAAUUUUCAGAUUAAAUUACUUUAUGCAUCCAACACAUGCCAGGCACUGAGCAGGAGUGGAGAUUCAGGGUUUAAACACACAAUUCUUAGUUUGAAAGCUAUGAUCUCAAAGCAGUGAUAAGUAAUUCCUAAAAAAUGUGGCAAAAGCUCUGAUAACACUAGGCACACAAUGCUGCAACAGCACAUAUGAGGCUCAUUUAAUCAGACUGAGGGGAAAUGAUAACCCGGAAGGCUUCCUGGAAGAAGUGAUAUCUGAACUAAAAUGCAAAUGAUUUGGAGAAAUUAAUCUGGCAAAGAUGGAGGGAAAAGAAUAUGACAAAUAGAAGUAAUGUUGAGUUGGGAAUGCCAUAAGAGGACAUGUGACAUCCAGGGACUGUGAGUAGUUUGGUACUUACUGGGAAGUAAAGUGAAAUGCACGAGAAACCACGGACCAACAUACUCAUAAGAUGCAGACCUUAAAUAGACAAAUGUGUGUAGUAAUAUUAAUAUAAUUUUACUGAGGUACAUUCACCUAUCAGGAAGUGCACAGAUUUUAGGUGUUCCGUUUGAUUAGAUCUGCCCGUUGAAGUCACUUGUACAACCCAUACCCUAACAGGAUCCGGUCAAUUCUGCUGCGGUGCAAAAUAGGCAUUGCCCCAAAUCACCACUGCCAUGCAAAGCCAUGCAAUAGACACUCCCAUCCUAAAUCUACAAAAAAUGGAACUGGGGCCAGAUCAAACCUUUGUCGGUGACAUGUGAAACAAGUAGGAGCCUAGUAAAAACGGUAGUGUAAUUUUACACGUUAGGUGAUUAAGUAGUCCAUAAAUGCUAUAAUAAAUAUGGCACUUUUCCUUGAAAAAGACCUGAAAUGUGCUCGUGGAAGUGAACAUCAGAAGUCUGUGUGUUAUUGUGAAGCGGAGGGAGGCGGGUUCCUUGAAAUGAGCAGAAAUAUGUAACACCUUAUGCGGAUGGUUGUGUCUCCUAAUACGUGAGAUCAACUUAGGUAGCUAGUAGAUGUUUGAGGUGUAUUCCCUUGUGUGAGGUUUGUGUUUUCUUACGCAGCUCAAUUUGGCUGGAUACACUUUUCUGCAUUCACCUAGGUUUCUUGCAGACAGAAUCACACGUAAGCGAACGAAAAAUCAAAAAUUUCCCUCAUGUAUCAAUGGCAGUGGAACAAAGUCACGUCUUCAAAACAAGGGUUUAGCGAAACUAACUCUAUAGAACAUUUCCAUCACCCCCAAACAUCCCCCGUACCUCUGCCCAAUCAGUUGCCAAUUCCCACCCCAAAGGCGAACGCUGCUCUGAUUUCUAUCACCAUAGAUUGGUUUUGCCCCUUCUGGAACUGCAUAUCCACAGAGUCAUGCAGGCUGUACUCUUUGGGAUUUGGCUUCUUGCGUUCAAGUAUUUUUGAGGUUCAUUUGUGCUGUUGCUUUCAUUUGUAGGUCACCUCUUUUAUGGCUGAGAAGUAUUCCAUUGCAUGGAUAUACAAUAAUUUGUUUUUUGUUUUUUGUUUUUCAUUUUCUUACCGGUGCUCAUUAUGGUUGUUACAAGGUUUGGGCUCUCACGUAUAAAGAUUCUAUGAACAUUUCGUACGUAUCUCUUUGUGUACGUAUGUUUUCAUUUCUCUCGCUGGGUCAUGGGGUAGGUAUAUGUUCAAUUUUGUGAAAAGUGCUCCAACUUCCUAAGUAGAUGUACCAUUUACACUUGUAUCGAUAAAUGGAUGAAAGAGUCAGUGACUCCACACACGCAGCAACAUUGGAGGUGGUUCAUCUUUUAGCUACUCUACGAGGUGCAUAGAGGUAUCUGCCUGGGACUUAAAUUUGCCUUUCCCUGACAGCUAAUGAUGUUGCACACUUUCAAGUUUUUUGUGUAUAUGUAUAGUGCCUUAUAUUCAUUUUAUUGGUUGUUUGUCUUAUUAUUAUUGAAUUGAAGGAGUUGUUUAUAUAUUUUAAAAAUAAGUCUUUUAUCACAUAUGUGGUAUAUGAAUAUGACACCCACCGAUAGAUAGAUAGAUAGAAACACAGAUAGAUGACAGAUGCUUAAAUUGAUGUCCAAUUUAACAAAUGUUUGUUGUCGUUUUUUUAUAUUUAGUACUUUCUGGAUUGUACCAAAGAAAUUCUUGCUUAUCCCCAAAUCAUUAAUAUAGUCUUCUGUUUUCUUAUAGAAGAUUCAGAAUUGUAGCGUUAUGAUUUGGGGGGCUUAGGUCUGCAGUCUAUCCCAAAUUAAUUUUUGUGUAUGUAUGAAGCUGGGGUUUCAAUUUUUUUUUUUAAUUUUUUUUCAACGUUUAUUUAUUUUUGGGACAGAGAGAGACAGAGCAUGAACGGGAGAGGGGCAGAGAGAGAGGGAGACACAGAAUCGGAAACAGGCUCCAGGCUCUGAGCCAUCAGCCCAGAGCCCGACGCGGGGCUCGAACUCACGGACCGCGAGAUCGUGACCUGGCUGAAGUCGGACGCUUAACCGACUGCGCCACCCAGGGGCCCCGUCAAUUUUUUUCAUCUUCCUCCAUGUAGAUAGCCAGUUUUCUAGCACUAUUGGUUGCAAAUAAUUUCCUUACCCAUUAAAUUACUUUGGCACCUUGGCCAAAAGUUAAUAGAUCAUAUCAGGAUGGGUAUAUUUUCUAUUUUCGGUUCUAUCCUACUAAUCUGUUUGUUAAUAUUCAUAUCAAUACCAUGCUGCCCUAAUUUUUACAGCUUCAUUAUAGGUAUUAAAAUCAGGUACUGUGCACCCUUCAACUAUGUGAGGCUUUUCAAAAUCAGUAUGGCUCUUCUAAAUUCUUGCGUUUCCAACUACGUUUUGGAAUCAGCUUAUCACCUUCUACUUUUUAAAAGCCUGGGGAUUAAAUUGAGUCAAAUGCUUUUUCUUCAACUAAUGAAAUAAGCAAAUAAUUUUUAUUUUUCCUAUCAAUAUGUUGAAUCACAUUGAUUUUUUUUUGAAUAUUAAAAUGCUUUUGUGUGUCUGGAAUACCUUCAUUAGUUCAUGAUGAAUUCAUCCAUUUAUGCGUUGCUGGAUUGGGUUCUUACUAUUUUCUUAAGGAAUUUUGAUCUAUGCUAGUGAGAGGUAUUGAGUGGUAAUUUGUGUUUUGUUUUGUUUUGUUUCUUGUAAUGCAUUUAAAUGGUUUUGGGAUCAGGGAAUACUGGACUCAUGAAAGGAAUUGGUAAGUGUUCCCUCUUCCUAUAUCCUUGAAAGGGUUUGCAUCCAAUUUGUGUUAUUUCUUCCUUAAUUGUUUGAUAGGACUCACCAAGGAAGCCAUCUGAGUUUGGAGUUUUCUUUGUGGGAAUAUUUUAAAAUUAUGAAUCAAUGUCUUAAUGGAUAGAGAGCUAUUAUGAUUUUUUAUUUAUUCUUAUGGUAUCCUUAAUAAUUUGUCUUUUUUGAGGCCUUUUUCCUUUUUAUGUAAAUUAUCGAAUUUCUCUUCAUAAAGUUGUUCAUAUUAUACAUCUAUCAAGUUUUUAAGUUUGAAUGGCCUGUAUUAAUACCUCUUCUUUCAUUUGUAAUACUGAUAACUUGUGUUUUCUCUUUUUUGUUGAUGAGUAUGGCUAAAAGCUUAUGGAUUUUAUUAAUCUUGUUAAAGAACCGAUUUGUUUUUCCAUUGUUUUUUUUCUCUGUUAUUUGCCACUUUUCUAUUUAAUCGAUUUCAGCUCUUAUCCUUCAUGAUUUCCUUCGAUAUUCUUCCUUUGGGCUCAUUUUUCUCUGAUAUUUUUACUUCUUGAACUGGAAUCUUAGAUCAUUACUUUGAAAUGAUUCCCAUUUUCUUUUUUUAAUUUAAAAAAAAUUUUUUUAAACUGUAUUUAUUUACUUUGAGGGAGACGGAGACAGUGCCAGUGGGGGAGGGGCAGAGAGAGAGGGAGAGAAAGGAUCCCAAGCAGGCCCCAGGCUGCCAGCACAGAGCCCAAUGCAGGGCUCAAACUCACAAACUGUGAGAUCACUACCUGAGCAGAGCAAAGAGUUGUAUGCUGAACCAAGUGAGCCACACCAGCACCCCUAAACCAUUCCCCUUUUCUAACAUAAACAUUCAAAGGCGGUGUUUCUUUCUAAGCACUGCUUUCACUUCAUCCUACAAAUUUCAUGUUAUGUUUUUAUUUUUAUUUAGUUCAAAAUAUCUUCGAAGUUCCUUUUAAUUUUGUCUUAUACCAGUGGGUUAAUGAGGAGUAUUUGGAUCGAUGCCCAAAUAUUAGAGGACUUUCCAAACGCCUUUUUUUUUUUUUUGGUUAUUGAUUUCUAAUUUAAUCCUGUUGCGGUCAGAGAACAUACUGUAAAUGACUUAAAUUGUAUUAAAUGUAUUGAAACUUGUCUUACGGCUGGCUCAGCAUAGAGUUUAUCUUGGUUGUGUUUUAUGGUCACUUGAAAAGCAUUGUGGAUUUUCCAAUUUGUUGGGAACGGUGUUUUAUACAUAGUAAAGUUGUGUUGGUGAAUAGGAUGGUUCAAAUCGUCUAUAUGCUUAUUGAACUCCUGUCUAGCUAUUCUAUCAAUUGUUGAGAUAAGAGUGUUGAAAUCUCUGGCUAUAAUUGUGAAUUUGUCUGUUGCUUACUCCUUUAGCAUCCGUUUUUGAUUCAUGAAUUUGAUGUUCUGUUAUUGGAUGCAUACCCUUGUAUCAUUGCAGUGUCUUCCUCAUGAUUUGAUAACUCUAUCCUUAUUCUCUUCAUUUCUGGUAAAACUACUUUUUUCUGGAGUCAGCUUUGUCUAAUAGCAAUAGCCACUCCUUCAUUGUUUUGAUUAGUGUGUUCAGGGUGUAUAUCUUUUUCUUUUUUUCUUUUAAAGUUAUCUGUGUCUUUACAUUAUGCGUGAGUCUGUUACAAACAGGACAUAUUGUGUUGUGCUUAACACAGUAUGACGAUUUCACCUUUUAAUGAAAUAUUUAGUCCGUUUACAUAUAAUGUAGUUACUGAAAUGGUUGGAUUUAGUAUUGUUAUCUCGCCAUUUGUUUUCUAUUUGCCUCAUCUGUAUUUUGUUCUUAGUUUUCCUAUUUGCAGCCUAAUUUUGGAUUAACUGAGUAUAUCUUACUUUUCCAGUUUAUAUUUUCUGUUGUCUUGUUAUUUACACCUCAUUCAUUUGCAUCCUUAACUUAUUGUGGUCUGUCUUGAAUUAAUAUCAGUCCAUCUCAUGUAAAACAUAGAAACUGGAAAGUUUUUUUUUUUUUUUCCUGGCUUUUGUUUUCUUUCUAUUGCUGUCAUACAUUUAACUUCUAACACUGAGACUUUUUAAAUUUUGUUCAGUCCUUUUUUUGUCUGUAUUUCAGUUUAGAUCAUUUCUAUUUUCCUAUAUUUAAAUUCACUGAUUUUCUUCUUUUGCCAUUAAGCCAUCCAGUGAAAUUUUUACUUCAGAUCUUUGUCUUUUUAAGUCCUAGGGUUUCUCUUUGAUUCUUUUAUGUUCUUUUAUAAAAUUUUCACUCUCUAUUGUGUUUCUCUACCUCUUACCCCAAUUUGUCCAUAUUUUUCUUGAAGCCCUUGAACAUAUUUAUAAUGGUUGUUUCCAUCAUCUGGAAUGGAAUCAUCUGGAAUUAAUCAUCUGUUAAUUCCAUCAUCUUUAUCAUUUCUGGGUCUGCUUUUAUUAACUGUUUUUUCUCCCAGUUAUGGGUCACAUUUGAUGGCUUCUUUAUAUACAAUAGUUUCUCAUUUGAUGCUGAACGUGACAGAUCUUAUGUUGUUGACGGUCUGGCUCUGGUUAUCUUUUCGUCGUGUUGAAUUUUAUUCUGGAAGGCAGUUAAAUCAAAGCAGUGUGAUUCUUUUGGGUCUUGUUUUUAAACUUUGUUAAGGCAGGUCUAGAGUAGACUUUAGGGAUAAAUUUGCCCUUCUCCUAAAGCACAGUUUUUUCUGGGUUCUCUACCAAGCCCUGUGGCUUCUCUAAGAGGUCUCUGCACUCUGGUUGUUGGAACGAAUGUCUGUCUUGUGCAAGCUCUAGUACCUGUUCUAUUCACAGCUCCUCAGUAGUUAUUCUUUCCCCAGUAGUUGUCUUUGCUCAGUAGUUGUUGUUCACAGGCCCUCAUGGUUUCCUGCCCUGCACGUGUGAAGCUUUAUGUUCAAAUACUCAAGUCCUCCCUGUAUAGAUUUCCGAACUUCCUCUGUACAGUACCCUUCAAUCCGGUAUCCUGACCCACAAAUUCCUGCCAACACAGAAACUCCAAAUUCUGUUCCCUUCCUCCCUAGCUGAGCCACGCCAUUGUUUUCUGGGUUCCUUUUCCCUGCGCUCCUGUUCAAAAAUUGCUUCAAGCUGAAAGCCAGGGGGAUUACGGAGCUCACCUAAUUUAGUUUCUUUCCCACAACACUCUUCUAUGCUGCCGGUUGCCCAACAACUGAAAAUGGUGACUUCAUAUAUUUUGUCCGGUUUUGUUGUUCUAUACUAAUCCUUUGGUUAUCACUGGUAAGCAGGUAUUUUAAUGCCAAAUCAUUUUGGUUGCCAAGUUCUUUGAAGAAAAGCCUGUUGCAUCACAAGGCUUUUCUUCAUAACAGUAAAUACUACCCUAGUAAUUAUACUGUACUAAAUUUGUUUCAUACGUGUGUGUGUGUGUGUGUGUGUGUGUUUAAUGGGAUUUCAGUCAUCACAAGAGGCAAUAAUCAUUUAGUUUUAUGCAAUGCAAUCUCCUUAUCAAUUUUCUUUUUCAUAUCAAUUUUGGUUAGUGUGGACCUUUUGGAGACCCAUGAGAAUUAUAGCUGAGAAUCAGAAUGAAAGUGAUUUUUGCCAUUUUCUUUAAUACCAACUAUAUCUCUUUUCCGAGUAUUAUUCACCUAAGGUAGAGAAUAAGUCUGUUGGUGGGAGAGCUAAUUAGAGUCGAUUACACCUUAAUAUACCUGACCGACUUUACAUGGAACUGCAGUGUGAAGUGGAUUUGUCCUUUGUAAUCACAGGGUUGAUUCAGGGAGAACAUCGUUCACAGUAUUUGUGAGACACCAGAAGGAGUGUCCAGGUAAAUGGAACAAAAAUGGAUUCCCACUGUUUAGAUCAUAAAAAUCCAUGUGAACUCACAUGUAAGCAACUGGAACCAAAAACGUAUGCAUUAUGUUGAGUCAUAUGUUACCUGGUACUUUUUAAACCUGAUUUCUAUGAUACAGACACGUUUAGCAAUUUUUCUGGAGAUUUUCUUAGUAAGGGUAGUUCUCAGGCCUUGUAAAUUUUGAAUCCCUAGUAAUACCCUAGUAAUCAUGGUCAAAACCAAAGUCGCAAAUACAUAGAUUUCUUUGAUAAUGCAAAUGAAUAUUGUAAAUAUGUAUGAAUGUGAAGAUGCAUAUAGACUAAUAUUGUAAAUACGAAUAUUUGUCGGGUGCCAUUAAUUUAAUUAGUCCCUUAACAAACACAUUUUGAGUACCAGGUACUAUGUUAGGUGCAAGAAAAACCAUGGUGAACUGUUCUAGGUACAUGAUAUAGAAAAACCUAUGUAUGUGUCAAGAUAUGAAUAUAAAUGACUAUUUUCAUUAUUUACACAUUGGAGAAACCAAGAAUUUGAGAACCCAUCUUCCCAAUCUGCCGGUCCAGGAACGUGAGGGCUAUCACUCAUUUCAUGGAAAAAACUCACCUGACCAGUGAGAGCUUUCUUUUUCCUGAAAGUAGCGUUGCACUGUUAGUGACCAUUUCUGCAUUUCAUACCUGAUACACUUAAAAUCAAUCUCAGCUGUGAGUAGAAACUAUAGAUUGAUCUUUUUCCCUUUUUAUAAAAAAAAUUUUUUUGAAGCCAUAAUGUCCUUGGCCUAAAUAAUGGAUAAAAGGGUUUCCUUCUUAGGAAUCUUUUUUCUAAAUGCUACAUGGACUCACUCUCAGUUUCUACAUAGCUUCCAGAAUUAUCGUUAAGAGCGAAGUUAAUUUUCCAUUGUGGCUGGCAAUGAAUCACACCGCAUGCAAUUGAAGAUCCCUCUGGGUGAGAGACUAUGGGAUGGUCUAGAGUCCUCAAUCAGAUGCAUCUGUUAGUUAGUUAAUGUUUGUAAGGCAUUUUCAAAAUUAAAGAAAGAAAAUCAUUCAUUUUUAUCAGCUCUGGAGUCUCUUUCGUCAUGGAGAUGGAACACUGAAUCAUAGUCACAGAUCUCAUGGCGGCUGGCACUUGAGACUUGAUGAGAAGCAGAUGCCAAUCAAUUUCUGUGAUGCUCAUCUAAAAAUACAUAAAGCCCAAGUUGUACUCUGGAGAUUAACUGGCUUUAUCAAUAGCAAAUGUUCUCCUUCAUGUGAGAUUAGUAAGAAUUAAGACCUGGUCAGACUGUUUUUUUAUCUGUCCUAGAUGACACCUUCAACAGACGCCGUAUAGCAAAAACUGCAAACGUGUAUUUGGCAUUUAAUACUUUUUUUAAAUGGAAACUUGCAUCUAGACGUUUUAAAGGUAGCAACUAUCGAUGUAAUAUGUAUUCCAUAUCCUUUCUUUUCUUUGGAAAUAAUUCAUUGAUAUCUGGGGAUGAGCAUAUAUAAUUAAUGACGGAUACAUAAUACAUACAUGCACAAAUAUAAACGUACAUAUUUUAAGAUUCUGUUAAAUAUUAGUUUGCCCUUGAGGCUCCAAAUAUCCAGGAUAUGUCAUAUCAACAUGAAGGACAUACAAUUAAUUUCAAAGUAAAUGUCUUCACUAGUCAGGGUCAUUUACGCAAUUUCACUUGGCUGAUCUUGUUUAUAGACCUGCUUGAUGUUUUAAAAUUUAUUAUUUUUAAAAAUGUUAAUUCCAGUGUGGUUAACAUACAGUGUUAUCGUCAUUUCAGGUGUAUAAUAUAGUCAUUCAACAGUUCUAUACAUUACUCAGUGCUCGUCAUAACGAGUGUACUCUUCAAUCCCCUUCAACUAUUUCACCCAGCCCCCCUAUCUCCCCUCUGGGAACCUCAGCUCAUUCUCUAGAGUUAAGAGUCUGUUUUUUGGUUUGUCUCUUUUUUUCUUUGUUCAUUUCUUUUUGUUGCUUAAAUUUCACAUAUAAAUGGGAUCAUAUGGCACUUGUCUUUCUCUGAUUGACUUAUUUCGCUUAACAUUCUACCAUUUAGACCCAUCCAUGUUGCUACAAAUGGCAAGAUUUCGUUCUUUUUUAUGGUGGAAUAAUAUUCCUAUAUAUAUAUGUAUACGUAUAUAUGUAUAUGUAUGCAUAUAUAUAUACAUAUAUACAUAAGAAUAUUAUUAUAUAUAGGACAUUUUCUUUGAAAUUAAUUGUAUCUCCUUCAUGUUGAUAUGACAUAUCCUGGAUAUUUGGAGCCUCAAUAAUAAUAUUAUUCCUAUAUAUACACACACAUAUAUAGGAAUACUAUUAUAUUAUUAUUAUAUAUUCCUAUAUUAUAUAUAUAGGAAUAUUAUUAUAUUAUUAUACACGAUAUUAUAUAUAUACAUAUACAUAUACAUAUACAUAUACAUAUACAUGCCACAUCUUCUUUAUCCAUUCAUCUAAGGGUGGACAUUUGGGCUGCUUCCAUAUCUUGGCUGUUGUAAAUACUGCUGCCAUAAACAUAGGGGUGCAUAUAUCUCUUUGAAUUAGUGUUUUUUAUUUUGGGGUAAAAGCCCAGUAGCAGAAUCUGACCAAUUGUUUUGAUAUUAUGUAGACAUUUUGAAGAGGUAUGUCUGCCUGUAAUUAUUAAAUAAUUAACUUUGUAUGUAACAUAUGCUGUUUUUAUAUUUUUUAAAAGACUAGACGCUUAAAAGACAACUUGUUAAGUUAUUCAUCCAGCUCCAGCAUAAGGACUUUAUUUAAAAUCAGUUAAGGCAGAAUGAUACUACCUUAGUCUUAAAAGGGUAAAUGAGGCCAUCUUUGGUCUUAAAAGGAUAACUGAGCACAGACUUAUUUCAGUUUGGUGUAAGGAAGAAUUUCCCAGGAACCCAUAGGGCUCCAAGGAGACUCUCACUAGGUAUGUUCCACACAGAUAUGAAAAAAUAAAAAUAAUAGAAGGGACACUUUCUUUAGAGGACAUCAUCUUCAGAAUAACGGAGAAAUUACAGUUGGCUCCUGGAUACCCAAGGAAGAAGCAGGCCAAAAAGCAUAGUAACAUGGGAUUAUUAAUCAGAUGUUGUUCAAAAUCCUUGUGAGAAUAAGCAUCAUAAGAGGCUCACACUAAAGUUAUUCACAAACACAAAAAAAGAUAUACUUGAUGAGCUUAGUCCACAUUUCCUUUCUUUUGCUCUAUAUUUUAACAAAUCUAUAGAUUUUUUAAAAAAUCAACAUAUUUUGAUAGUAUGCGCUAAUUUUAAAAUAAAUAUAUACUAUAUAUGAUUUACAUACUAUAAAUGAUAUAUUAUUUUAACAUCUCCAAUUUUCUCAGAAGCUAGGAACAAGGCAAAGUGUGUUUUUUUUUUUUUUCAGAUUCCUUUCCCCUUAAUCCUCAACCCGUAAUAGCUUUGGUGUAGCUGCACUCAUAAUUUUGUAUUUACCCACUAUCUUGCAGACUGUAUUUAUAAACAAUAGUUUUCCACUGAUUCCCAUCUUUUCAUCUUUAGAAGCUUUCCAAUGGUGAUAUAGGAGGUAAUGACUAUUGGCAGUUUUCAUGGAUCCUUCGUAUAUGACGUAGGGUGACCAGCUCUCCUCAUCUGCCUGGGACUGAGAGGUUUCUUGAGACCUAGGACUUUUAGUACUAAAACUGGGAGAGUCUGGACAAUCAGAACAACUGGUCACCCAAAAUGAGGGACCCUGACAAAAGGGGCUGAUUCAGGUACAGCCAAUAUUCAUUGAGAACCGAAAUAUCAGGCUUCAUGCUAGGCAAUUAACUUUUGUUCCCUCGUUUAAUCCUCAUGAACGCUCUUUAAGAUUGGUAUUAAGUUUCACCUUCAUUGUAUAGAUGAGGAAACAGCUUAGUCAGACGAUGUAAUGCAUAGUUUUAAGUAACACAUAGACAUUGAAUAAACCAGAAUAUACGCUCCUUUAAACCAUGUCUUCUUAUGUCACAAGCUCUUAUUGUAAUACUAUUUAUACAAUAUUGUUUUCUAGAAAGCUUGAUGGGUGAAUGAAUGCAAAGGUAGACAUUAAAAAGAAUUGUUUAGUAUAAGAGGGCCAUCCAUUGGAUCAAUGUAUCUUAACUCCAACAGAAUGGAAACUGUAAUUUUUUUUUUUUUUUGAGAGAGAGAGAGAGAGAACGAGUGGAAGAGGGACAGAGGGAGAGGAAGAGAGACUCUCAAGCAGGCUCUAGUCUCAGCGUGGAGGCUGACACAGGGCUUGAUCCCACGACCCUAGAAUCAUGACCUAAGCCAAAAUCAAGAGUCAGAUAUUCAACCAACUGAGCCAGCCACCCAGGAACCUUGGAAUCUGUUGUUUAAAAAAAAAAAACAACUUUAAUAGUACAUUUUAGUAUAUUAUACAUUUAGUAUAUUAUAUAUAUAGUAUAUUAUAUAUUAUAUAUAUUUAGUAUAUUAUAUAUACAUAUAUAUACAUUUAGUAUAUUAUAACCCAAUAUAUUCAAAGUAUGUAAUCAAUAUGAAAAUGUUAAUGAAAUAGUGUAUAUUCUCUGUUUUUGUAUUAAGUCUUCAAAACCCAGCAUUCGCCUUACACCUACCAGCACACCUUAAUUUGGGCACUAUAUUUUCAUCAAAAAUAGUUAAUUUACAUUUAGAUUUCAUAAAAUUUACAGCUGAAAAAGUAGAUUCGCAUAUCCAAGUUGUUCCAAACAUACUUAGAAAUUUUCCAGCACAUAAGCAAAGUAUUUGUUUUAAGGUUUAUAUUUAGGGGCAUCUGGAUGGCUCAGUGGGUUAAGCAUCCGACUCCGGCUCAGGUCGUGAUCUAGCAGCUCGUGAGUUUGAGCCCCGAAUCGAGCUCUGUGCUGACAGCUCAGAGCCUGGAGCCUGCUUGGGAUUCUGUGUCUCCCUCUCUCUCUGCCCCUCACCCCCCCCGCUGUCCCUGUCUCAAAAAUAAAUAAACUUUAAAAAUUUUUUUAAAUCAAUAAAAUAAAAUUUAUAUUUAAAUCAAUCAAAUAUAUAUCCAAUUUAGAAUUCAGUUUCUGGGUUUCACCAGCCACAUUUCAAGGGCUCAAUAGCACAUAGUCUGGAGGCCACCCGUUCAGACAGCCCAGCUUUAAAACCUCCCAGGUCUGACCAUCCCACAGUUCCCCGUUAAGCCUCAGCCCAGUAUAAGCAGCAAAGCUGAGUCGCCCCAGAGUCUGUCUUCCCUGUCCAUCGCCUUCCUGCUCUGGGAAGAACUCUAAUGAACUUGGCCUCUCUCCCACACCUGCUCUUGCUGCUGCUGUGCCCUUGGCCACCCCCUCUUGCCACCUGUGACUGAUGGGCCUCCUCGUGGCCAGCACUGCCCAUUAUGGUGGUGGUGGCAGAUCCCACUGCCCCGCCCCGCUUCCUCUCACCCCACCCCACUGCCUGCAACCAGAAGCAACUCCCAGGGCUGAACACUGUUUCCAUAGUAUUAAGAUGAAUGGGGGUGAAGUCAACCAGCUGUUUUUAAGAACCUGAGGCCAAUUCAUGUCAGUGUGGAAGAGUCAGAACUGAAGCUUAUGGGGGCACCUGGGUGGCUCAGUCAUUAAGCAUGACUUCGACUCAGGUCAUGAUCUCGCGGUUCCUGAGUUUGAGUCUCGCUUCAGGUGAACAUGAGCCCUGCUUCGGGUAAGCCUCUCUCUGUCUCUCUGCCCCUCACUCACUUGCACCCUCUCUCUCUCUCUCUCAAAAAAAAAAAACAAAAAACUGAAGCACACAUUUACCAUGAAUGUGUCACGUGUCUUACUUUGUUUCUUGUGCUUCGGUUUUUUGAAGGAUAAAGGAGAGAGGACUUGAUUUGCUGAGGCAUGGCGGAAGGGGAGAAUUUGCAGUCCUGCAUGAGAGAAGAGUGGAAGUCGGGAGGGGAGAAGGGCGGGAGUAGCUGAAAGUGCCGGAGGGUCUAGAGCGAGGGUGAUGGAACCACAAGUGCCCUUCUAUUCUACUCUUUGCUGGAGCCCAGCAGUCUGAAGGCUGUGGUCUGGCUCCUCUCCUCCACUUCCCCCUAAGCCCUGGCAGAGUCUGGUACUUGAGCUUAAUGUCUAAAGGUGUUGUGGGUAGUAUUAUGUGGCUAUACAUCAACCACUUAAGUACUUGGUUGGGUAGCAGGAUUGACCAAGGAAGUGUUGAAACCCACUGUAAGGCAUGAGGUUUCUCACCCCGAAGCCUGAAAGGGAUCUUCACCCAAACCCUUGUAGACAGGGUCCUGCUCUCUGCCCUGGCUGUCAGACAGACAAGUACAAGAGCAAAGAAAUGAACUUGGGAAAAGACACUCAGAUUCAGGCCGCCAAUACAGAUGACCCUUCGAGCAACGCGGUUUCGAACUGUGAGUCCUCUUAUAUGUGGAUUUUUUUUUUUUUUUUGGUAAAUGCAGUACUAUAAAUGUGUAUUAUCUCUUCCUCAUGAUUGUCUUUUUUUUUUAAUUUUUAAAAAUGUUCACUUAUUUUUGGGAGAGAGACAGAGCGUGAGCAGGGGAGGGGCAGAGAGAGAGGGAGACACAGAAUCGGAAGCAGGCUCCAGGCUCUGAGCCAUCAGCAUAGAGCCCUACAUGGGGCUCGAACCCACGAACUGAGAUCAUGACCUGAGCCGAAGUCAGAUGCUUAAGUGACUGAGCCACCCAGGUGCCCCUGAUAAUGGCUUUUGUUAGACAGUUAAACAAGUCCCUGACUUGACUAUUCUUUGGGUUCCUAAUCCAUAAAAUGGGGGGAAAAUCCUUUUUAUUGUGCAAGUGCUUCUUUUGCAGUAUAAUUGGACUUUCUCUUAAAGGCCAACUGAAUAAAACCCAUCUCCUCUUUUUCUGCUGUCCCAUUCCCAAAACACGAGGAAGGAAGAUUUAUCAUGAAGCCAGAAGGCGGUGUUGUUCUCCUAUGAUUCCUACUUAGGGACCAUGGUAAGGACAGAAAUGUCCUGUGUGACUGGAUAGGGGUAGAAAACCGUACUAAGGCUCAUAGUACAAGUGCCUCCCAAUGAUCAGGACAUCUUACUGGACAGCUUCUACUCGCCAUGAAAAGGCUCGAGAAAUGCGAUUGCUCCACAACCCCUGACUUCGCUUCUCAGAUCCUUUUACUAAACCUCACAUGUGGCAGGGUCCCUGUAUCCUCAUCCCAAACUGUCUCCUUAUUUGAAAAUCAGUCACCAAGGCAACGAGUGGAGACAGUACAGCAGAGUCAUAAAGAGCUGCGGAGUCCAGAAGACCUGGUUUUGAAUUCCCAUCAUGCCGCUCACUAGCUGUGGGUCCUCUGCUACAUUGCCAAGCCUCGAGAACCUUCAUAUCCUCGCGGGAAUAUGGCGAUGAUAGCAAGCUACCUUUGGGAGAGGUUAUAAGAAUGGUGUCACAAAUGUCUAGUGCACUUAGUAUGCCAAAAGAGUUCCAUGUGUGCCACCAUCUAUUCAUUAAAAUUACUUCCGAAGUAGGAAAAUGGUGGCAGAGAAGAUUUUUAGCCAUGGUGCCAGACUCCGCUUAAACACCUUCCUCUGUUGUCUGUGAUCCAGACUCUUACACUGACGCUCCUUAAACACACGGUUGGUGUCUCCACAGGCUCCCAAUGCUGUUUUAUCCCGUAAUGCUUUCUUCAUCUCUGCGAGAACUCCUUGUGUUUCCUUUUCUUUACCUCUUAAAAAAUAUCAUCAAAGGUUGUGAUGAAUCGCAACAGUCUGGCCUGAGGAUUGGGCAAUGUAUCAAUUCCAAAUUGAAUACGGCCUCAGAUGAUGUUGGGAGUGAAUUGUUCAUCUAAUCCGCUCCCGACAUCUAAUUCGUCUCAGGAGGAAUGUGAGAGCAUUUGUAGUCAACUAACAGCUUUCUCUUGACCGACAACAGAGAGAGAUCGCGGUGAUCUCACUUUGCCAGAUGGGGAAACCAAGGCCCAGGGAUACAAAAAGGACCAAACCAAGGUGAACAAACAAUGUAGAUGCAGAUGUCAAAAUGCUUCUAUGGGGGCUCAAGAUUAAAUACGAAGUCCCAACCCACUCCCUCUCCUACCCCGAUGUCCUAUAGGAUAAAUUGUUUUUUGUUUUUUUUUUUUUAAGAGAAACCCACAAGUGAAAGAAAGACACAACCGUACGAGGACACGUGGUUAACCUGGUGCUAACAUGCACAAGCUCCACUGGAAUGGUGGCAUUAGAAGCCUGGUAACAUGAGCUAAAGCCACUUCCGAUCUGUGCUUCCUAGCCUGGUGGACAAAGCCCUUUGUGAUCCAGCCCCAGCCUGUUUUGCCAACCCUGGCGUUUUCCACUCCCCAACUGGAAACUGAAACCCUUUGUAACCUCCAUACUCAACUCCCCAAACUCCCAGUAGCUCGUAGAGAGCUGCCUGACUGUAUAUCCUUCCCUUCCAGCACUCUGCAGUCCCGUCUUACUUCUCAUCCCUCCAUCUGGCCUGAGCAUCAGUGCGUCUGGGAAUACUCUCCAGCCCUCCUGGAGGAUUCCCCUCCUCUGUGUUUCCACGGUACCCUGGAAGCACUUAUGUCAUAGUACCUCGUACUGUGUGACCUGCUUCCUUGUCUGCCUUCCUCACCGGACCAAGAGCUCCUUUAGAGCGGGCCCCGUUGCUUUGUAUCUUAAGUGCCUGGCACACACUAGGCCUUCAAGAAAUGCCUGUAACUCACCAAAAUGUAAGAACGUCUUCCUCGAUGUCUUUUUCUUUUGCUAAUACGUAAUAAUCCCCCUCUCUAUAGAGUAAGAAUAUGGCCUUAGCAGACUUGUUAUAUGGACUCAGUAUGACUCACCUAAAUUGAAAAAGAAUGAUAGGUUGCUGGCCUCGAAAGUAUGGUCAGAGGUCAUCGUAUACAUUCCCAUCAACACCAGUGUGAAUAUGAGUUUUCUGGAAACCUGGAAAUAUUUCAGUAAUGAAAAGCCACAAAAGGCAGCAGUCUGCAUUAGAAAUAAGGGCACGUUAAGCUUCAAGUGGGCUCAAAUGGCAUGUUCAGAUAAGUUCGGCUUUCAAGAAUCAAGAACAAAGCUUCCCACUUGUUACUCCUUCGUGUUGGAACAUGUAAGUGCAUAGAAAGUAAUGUAAUUCAUAUGCCUCUGAUUCAUUUGCUUUUCAUUCAUCAAAACGCUUAGCUGCAAGAGUGUGCUCGAUGCCUGUUUAAGCUUCCUUUUCUUGACAAGAAAGCUUGUUUUUUGGGAGAUAACUCACAUCUAAAAAUUUGGGUACUUAUAGGGAAAUUCCAAGCCUAUUAAGUCAGAGUCUUGUCAGUUGGCCCUGAAACUUUCUCCCAGUACAGGUUAAUAAUCUGGGGUGGGGCGGUGGGGGGGGGAUCAGGGGAGUAAUAGUUCGGUAGAUGAAAUAGGUCACUGGCUAAUUGAAUUUCCCAAGAGAUCAGUGAUCAACAUCAGAACUUCUAAGCUUUUCCCAAUUUGCUGUUCACUCUUAAUUGGUUUCAGAUUUAUGGCACGAGGCUAAAAUGUGUAAGAACGGUCAAAGGCCUUUGGAAAGAAAAACAUUCAACUAAAAUCAUGAUCAUCUUGGAAAGUCGUAAGAAUGGAUCCAUUCAAAUCAUGAAUUGUACUUAUUACCUAUGUGAAAACCCCAUAGCCAACUUUUAAUGCCUUGAAAUCCCUUUGUACAAGAAAGGGCUGAGAUCUUUCUUUUGGCUUCUUUGUGCGGUGGAGUUCAAGACCAAGCAUACUAAAAUCAAAUCUUCAGAUGAAAGCAUCCGUCAGAAGUCGGUGUCAGAUCGCUAGCUACGACUGAAACAAAACAAAAUACCAGGCUAUAGGAUAACGCUAACGCUUCGAAAUAAAUGUGAUGUCCAGAACUGAGGUCUGAAUCACAGGGCUAAGUCAGGAGCAACAGAGGUCAUCGACUCAUGCUGAGGACAGAAAGCGUUGCACUUCAUAAUUUUGGGCUGAACCACAGGUAAAUCGGUAGACUCAGAUCAGUUAGAAUUACAAGGACUCUAGAAAUCUAAGAACCCACCUAAUUCUUGUAUCACCCCAUGCCUGCUUCAUGAUACUCUGACCUGGGCUUGAAUCCCUCUGGACUCACACAAGCCCUUCUCCUCAGCUGGCCCAUCACACAUAUGACUCUCAAUGUUACAAGAUUUCUCCCCAUAUUGAAUCAAUGUCCACCUUGGUAUCUCUUCCACCCAUGGUUCCUUUUUGAGGUUAUACACAGUGAAUUGAAUCCUUUCACCCACAUAGUUCUGUGAGUUUUAGGACCUGGUUGUUGAGGUCUUCUAGAUUCUUCUUUUCCCCAGAUGAAAGCUUCUCAGAUCCUUCCACUUUUCCUUAUGUGAGGCACCUUCAAAUCUUUUUCACUUACGUGGUUGUUUUCCCUCUGAAAAUCCUUCUCUCUGUCACUAGAUCCCUUAAGUGCAUCAAUUAGGAUAAAUGUAUGGACCUCUUUGUGCUCAGACCUUGAAAAAUCCAUGACGAAGUGAUAGUAUCUUUAAAGUGAACAGUAGAUACAUCUUAUUUCAUGAGCUUUCUCCUUCUGUAGUCAACACAGGUGAUACUUCUGUGCCUAUCACAUCCAAGAAGCAUGUUUGUAGGCAUUUCUUUACUGGAAAAUUCCCUUCUCAAUAUUUUUCAAAUCCUUACAGAGUGUUGAGUGAAAGAUCCUGCCUGAGACCACAUUUAAAUCCUAACGUCAAGUGCAGGCCAUGCAUUUCAGAGACAAACAAACCCCACAUGAAAAUAAGGAAGAAGAAGACUGUAUGUCAUUCAAAAGCAACAUGAAACAUCACUGUUUUAUGUGAGUGUAAGUGGAAGAUGACAGGAAAUUCAGGGUAGGAAUCGUGAAGGAAAAAAAAGCCUUAUUGGUUUAUUUUUCCAAACAGAAAGCCAGAUUGGGUAGAAAUAGGGUAUACGGGCCCUUGGGUAUAUACACAUACAGAAUUAAUCAAGAAGAGAAUGCACAACUGUAUCAAUGUGCUGUUAUUUUUAUGGUUAUUUAUUGAGCUUUAUUUGUCUAUGCAACAGAGAACAGUCCAUAGGUUCCAUGGCAAAGGUUUGCAUGACAUAAACUGUAGCAGAAAACAGAUGGGCAUCUGAUCUUAAUAACUGUGUUUAAACAGAGCUGAACGGCUUAUUAGUGAUACCAUCAAUGAUGAUUUAUUUGGGAAGCAUGGUAAAGGGACUUUCACCCUCAUGGAACAUUUUCUCUUUCGAUGUUUGAGAUGGCCCACACAACACUGGAAACAUCCGGCUACGGACCAAACCUUUCGGCCCAUCCUCUGCAUAGCUGGGACAUAUGCAAUGCCAAGCAACUAAAUGCUAGGAAAACAAAUUGCAACUGACUAUAUUAUUUAGAGACAUAUGGAUGGCCAGAUCUGAGUAAUUAUUCAGUGGUUGGUCAGUAUAGACAUCUCACUGGGACAAAUUCCAAAUCCAACUCAGGUAAUUCAGUCUGUUAAGACCCUACUUGGUUCUACCCUGCCUACAAGGGUCUAGUUCAAAUGCCCUAACAGGACAUCCAAGUCACUUUGUUUUAUGAUCUCAGCUUAUCCUCUCAGCUUCAUCUGCUGCUUUUUUUUUUUUUUUUUUGCUCAAUGGAUUCUACAAUCCAACUACACAAAAACUAUGCACCAAUUUAAAAGCACUUAUGCUUAAAGAAAGAAAUCAUGAAAGUGCUUAUGUUUUUUCAUGAUUUCAACCUGUCUUUGCUCAUGUGCCUUCUCCCUGAUAUGUUUUUCUUCCAGUUCCUCUGUCCGAUAAACUCUAUACUCCCCUCCAUCGUUAGGACCACACUCAAGUAUUAACUCCUUUGAAGGAGCCUUUGCUGAUUUCCCAGACUGAACUAGUUGUUUCCUCCACUAGGAGGGCACCUCACAAGAGGUGCUAACACACUUACCGUUGCCAUCAUCUGUCCACACAUCUCUCUUUCUUGUUGGACAAUGAACACAGGGAGAGGCAUGUCUUUUUCAUCUUUGACUCCCUUGUGCCUGCAAUGGUGGCUGACUUAUCAUUGGCACUCCACAGAUGAUACUUGAAUGAGUCUGUUCCAAUUUAAACUCUUUCCUCAAUGAGAGAACUUGUAUCUGCAUAAUUUUGAAUCCUCGUUCAACAAUUCACUCCGACUAUAUAGAUGAUAGCUCAAGGAAUAUAUUUCAACCCGAUAUUGAUUUGAUUACAUGAAUUUAAAUAAUAACAUGUUCAACCAACUUUAAUUCAUUGACUGUAAAUUUUGCAUUUCAUUUUUUUAUGCAACUGCAUGGAAGAAACAUUUUAUCAUGCAUGAAUUAUUAUUCACAAAAUGCACUUCAGGAUGUGUGUGGCUGUGAUACAUGGUUUAUGAGGAGGCCUGAACUCUCUUUAGGAAUUUUUCCAUCUCCCUAGAACACACGAUACCAAAAAAAUACAGUGAAUGUUAACUACCUAGUAACCUUCACAGAAGCUAUGCUGGUAGCAUGAAAAGCUAUAAAAGGAUUAUAGAAUGUCCUAUUCACCUAUUCAAUUCUGGGCAUUAAAGAAAUUUCAUCAUGUCUUUUUUGCUUUAUAUUUCAUUAUUUAGUAAGAUGACAAUUUCUCAUGUUACCGUUUGGAGUGUGUGAGGGCGCGCGUGUGUGCGUGUGUGUGUGUGUGUGUGUGUGCGUGUGUGCACGCCGUGCUCAGUGACAUACAUAUUAUAUAUUUAUAUGUAUACUUCAUCUUUAGUGAGAAUAAGUAUGCAUAGAUGCACACAUAUACAUUUAUAUACAUGUAUAUACGUGUAAAUAUACAUUUAUAUUCGGGGCAACAGAAACAACCUCCUUGCCCCAUUUUUUUUACUCAGGGCCCCCAGAAUGCCAACAUUUUUCAUGUCUUCACCGAAAUGGCCAGUAUAAAAUGGACACUGUGGAAUGAAGGGUGAUACAGGAAUACUUUCACCAGGCUUAAGGGUAUAAGAUAAUGAAACUAGCUCCUGGGAUAAGCAUAUUUAUGGGGUUUGUUAUGUAUCAAAUGUAACAAAAGAAGAGGGUCUGAAGAACACCGUGUGUGGUUCUUUUCACACCCUUUGAUCACACAAUUCCUCUUUAAUUCAGAUGCAGUAGAGCUUAAGUGGCUUCAUUGAUGUGUUAAGUGUGGAAUGAUUUUUGUAUAAAAUAAAAAAGGGUCCAUUAUGUGUCCAGAAAAGCCUGUGUGUGCUUGUUUAUUGAGACAGGAAGUUGGUUUCCCACACAGAACAACAGUUCUGCAACGCCGAAGCAUUGUGUCUGAAGAACAGUAAAAGGAAACUUAAUUUUCUACCUGGCAGAAAUCGGCUUCUGGAGGAAGGGACAGACAAUGCGGUUGGGCUCCCACUGAAUGAGAGGACUUGAUUGAUUUUCAGAAAACGCGCCAUGCCACGUAGAGGGAGGUUGCCUCCAAUACUUUUGUUAGGAAAACGUACAUUUUAUAAGAGGCGCCUCUUUUUGUGCCAUGGUCAAAGUGAUGCAUUCCAGCGAGCACUUGUGAACCCCUCCUCGAGUCAGGUGGCGGGGGGAAAGGCAUUUUCUCUCCUAGAUUUGUCUCUGGGCUGAUUUUUGUCGUCGUUUGCUCCUUAGGUCGAUGGCCAUUUGCUUUUGCACUUUGGGGUGUGUGUGUGUGUGUGUGUGUGUGUGUGUUUAAGUAACAGGGAGGGUACUUCUGAGACCUUCUCAGGUGAAAUUUUGAAAGUUUAAAUAUUUAGGUUCGGAUAUGGUUCUUAUCUGCUAGGAAUGGAUCUUUGUCUUGUUGUAAAGCCAUGGAAUAAACCCUACGCUGUGGUCACAGGAUGAAGAGGACCAAGAUUAGAAUCGGCUCAGUUUUGUUUUCCAAAGCCCAGCUGUUUUUCUCUACCCGGUGCUGCCCCAAGCUGUAUGAGGUAGCUAGAUUCUAGCCAUCCUUCCCAUGGCUCCUGUAAUCCCAUUGUCUACCCUCCUGCUUAUUGUCAUUGUCGCCUUCCUCUCCAGUCUCAUUAUGAACCAGUGUAAAGGCUUAUGUUUCUCAGCUGGGAAUUGUUCUAAGAGAAUAUAUUACAUAGUUGUUUCACUGAAUGGUUUUCUAAUCUGAAACAGACAACAGGGAUGUGGGCCCAAAUGAGAAGAGUGUAUGUAGAGUAGAAUGAGCCCAGGGAAUUCUUCCAUUGGUAACAUUUACCUUAUUAAUAUUGCAGAGAUAAGUGAAUUUCCAGGGUGAAAAGCUCAGAAGAGGAUAGUGAUAGCCCUUUCAUGUUUAAGAUAGCCAUCAUUAGGCUACAUGAACUGUGUUGGGGGGAGCAGGGUAGAAGGGUCAUUUGACCGAGGCUUGGCAGGCGGAGUAGAAAUGGUCAACCUCCUAGGCACAGUGGAAUCUUCCCAGUUGAUUCUUUGAUCCUUCCUUGUAUAAUCGUAUCUAUUUUUUUUUUUUUCUGAUUCUUCUCUAUUUCUUCCAAACCUGAGAUGGGUACAACUUCCACUUUUUCCUCCCAUCAUGCAUCGGUGGAUUUUCACCCUUAAAUUUGAUGUCACGAUAUCCGUUCGAGCAUUAAAUCUGUUUAUAAAAGAAAUUCAGAGUCAAGGAAUUCUAGGGGUUAAGUAUUGGCACAGAGCAAGGAAUAUUCUUCGAGAAGACACCAGACUAAUCGUGACACCUGCUAACUUUUUUCCCUUUGGCGUUCAGAAUGAAUUCUUCAUCUUUGAGUCUUUUAUUUGCUUAUUCUAUUUCAUGGCAACUCACAGGAGCUCUGCAUUGGUGUUACCCCCAACACUUAAUGCCCCUUCUUCAUGAACUUCUUAUAUUCCUAUCAUGCGUUUCUCAUCAAGCCUCAACUCUCAGCCCCGCCUUCUGUUUGUGUAAUGCUUGGUAUGUGACUGUUGCCAUGAACAAAAGGCCCUGACCAAAUCAUGUGCCAUUUAUCAUGUCAGAUAUCAUUUUUCCUGGAGAGAAUUAGUUGCUGCCCUCAAGCUAAUUCUCUUCCCUCAACACGAUACAAUUUCUGAUAACCAAGGAUUAAAAGCAAACUUUUUAAAAUCUCACUUCACCCAUGUUUAUAUGAAAGAAAGAGAGAAAGAAAGAAAGAAAGAAAAAGAAGGAAGGAAAGGAAAAGAGAACAAAAGAAAAAAGAAAAGAAGAGAAAAGAAAAGAAAAGAAAAGAAAAGAAAAGAAAAGAAAAGAAAAGAAAAAAAGGAUAUUGGACCUUUAUCACAAAAGUCAAUAAUGUAGUGGAAAAAUGGUAAAGUCAUCUGCUCCUGAUACUGUAACUGACUUCAUGCAACUCAGGACUAGUUGCUUACUCUCUCCUGACCUUUAAUUUCUCCAUCAGAAAAAAUUGUCUCUUCCUUCCUUCCUUCCUUCCUUCCUUCCUUCCUUCCUCUCUUCUUUCCUUUUCCUUUCUUUCCUUACCUCAUAUUUACUGAAUAUCUCCAUUCUCAAGGAGAAAAUAUAAAAACUACAUGAACCCUUGAAAUGGCAGCACAAGGCCCUUGUGAUUAGAUGACCAAGUAAAAAGGAAGAGACUCCGUGCGCAUUUGUAAAGCCCUAGAUGAAACCAGGGUAUGAUCGUCAGGAGAGGGUGGCACUCCUACGAAGACUGGACGAUGUAGAGGUUAAGAAUGGGGCUUUGGAACUGGGAAAACAUGAGUUUGACUCCUACUAGCUGCAUGGCCAUGGGCACAUUAAAGCUUUCAAGUCCCAGUCUCCUCGUCUGUAAAAUACCAUGCGUUAAUCAAAGCACACAACUCAAAGAGCUGUUGUGAAAUGCUCAGCACAAAGGCCUGGCAUCUAAGACAUGCCAAACAAUGUUGGCUGGUACCAUUCUUAGGGAAACACCAUUGUUAUUUUUGUUGUUUAAAUAAUCAAUCCCCCAAGAAGUGAAGUUCCCUGGGGCCCUGGAGGAGGCAGGAUUUCUCCUGGGGGUGUCUGUUCCUCUGAAGGAAGGAGUUCACGAGAGGGCCAGGAGUGUGAGGCUUAUGUCUUCUGGCUUGCCUGCCAUCCACCUCUUUCUAUCCCUCCUGAGCAUCCUUCUCUCAGUCCUUUCUGGAACUUGUCUUGCCUUGUUCUCUCUCAGCAUAUGGCCCCUGGGCCGGAGCUUUCCCUGGGGAAAAUGAGCUUAAAAGUCUCACCUGUCUUCCCAUACCUAUCAGAAAUCCUAUUCAUUUUCCAUGGCUUGGUUCAAAUAUGAUCUCCUCCAUGAAGCCUUCCUGGGCUGCUCUAAGAUGUCAUUCUAGCUUCCUUCUCUGUUCUCCCACUGCCCACUACACUCUUAGCAACCAAUAGUGUAUGAUUGUGUUUGAGAUCGUGGGUGCGUAUCUCUUGUGAAUAUCUCCCUGUGCCACCUUCUCUUGUAUUAGACUGUGAGCUGUUUGAAGGCAGGAGUUAUAUCGGAUUCACCUUCGCACCCUGUAUCUUAAUCACUCGUGCUUAGUACAGCACAUAACUAGGCAAAUGAAAUUGAAUUGUUUAUACUGAAUUGAAUUCAGUCUUGCAAAAAGCAAGGAGCAAUGGGUCUGCUUUCCUAGGAGUUUUAAGGUUUUUAAGGGUUUUUUUUUUUUUUUUUCAGAUUGACUUGGGGGCACACAGCCAAAGAAAGAGCCCAAGGGCCCUGAAUUCCAGCUGCUGACUAGGUGGCCGUAGGUCCCUUGAAGCUGGAAUUAGAGAUAACCCAUGUGUAAUAUUUGGCCUAGUGCCUUGAUGACAUGGGCUCUGGAGAUCACAAGGCCACGAGAAUGUUCCAUUUAGCUUAUUUUUGCUGCGGGCUUAUCAGAGCACAGUCCACAUGUCCCGGACAUUCAGAUGGUUAGGGCUAGAAUGAUUAAAGGGUGUGGAGCCUACAUUUGGCUACAUGUUUUACAAAAAUUCCUUAGCUAAAAAAAAAAAAACAAAAAACACAACUUUCUUUUUUUAAAAUUUGUAUUCGUUGCUCUAAAAAAAAAAUCUUUUCAGUGUACGAUGGAGUUUCUUUUUGCUUCUCUGUCUUGGGGGCCUUAUCUGAUUUUAAUCAGCACUGGCCUAAUAUGAUUUGAAACAGCUGAGGCUGAAAUGCCCUGAAAAAAAGAGAUAUCUUAAGUUGGAAAUGUUGGAACUACCUACGAACUCCCCCUGUCCAAGGCUGUAUGUGCUAUCAAGUGUAAAUAUUGGGGAUUACGAAUUUACCCUUAAAACAUUUCAGUGCCCUGCAGAGUUUUCUCAGCAAUUUUAAAGUCCUGUUCACCACGAUACGGCCAGUUCUUGAUUAUCCACAAAAAAAGGAAAUGAAUAGUGGCACAGAUAAUCCGAAACAGAAAAACAAUCAAAAUGUUUCUUAUAUUUUACUUUGGAAUGCUUUGUAUGGCUUUUGGGGAUUCAGAUUUUCCUUCCCAGUGAUGUUCUGCUCAGGAAAAAGUUGAAAUGAGUUUGCAUUCCCUAAGCCCACACUAAAUAGCUGAGGCGGUGGGGGUUGGGGGGCGCGCGGGUGGUGGUGGGGGGGAUGUGGUCCAGCCACAUGCUGGGUGGCAGAGAGAAGACAGCUUGAAAUCUGAGGGGCAAGAAUUUCACUGAUAAUCUAGAAGUGGAAAAUGGCCAUAUGAAUGAUGAAGUGCUGGCUGGAAUAGAAUUCAGUCUUGUAAAUUAGCGUGGGCCAUUUUCCAGCCCUCAUUUUUUAAAAAAAAAACCUCAGGUCAUCCUCUACGGAGAAGUUACACUGAUAGUAUCUGACUCUUUUUUUCUUUUUUUGACAAGUUACACUGAUAGUAAAAACAAAUGACCUCAACAUUCUUCAUUGCUCACAGUUCAUUGACGCUAGCAUUGUGUGAAGGAGCCAGGACCAUAUUGCUAAGGCUACAGGGAGUAGCUUCAUCCUACAACUUUCUUCAGUUGAACACGUAGGUUUAUAAAAUGCCAGGCUACGUACUAGGUAUUGUGUCAUCGGCAAAGCAAGUUACCAUUUUUGGCCCUGUUCUACAGAGGAGAAAAGUAAGGCUCAGACAAGUUCGUUACUAAUUUAAGGUCAAAAGCCUAGUCACUGGGAGAGGCUAAAUUUCAGCCCAGGACUAUCUCCCCUAAUUUGGGAUAGGAUGGGGGGAAAAAAAAACCCAGAAAGGACUUUUUUUUUUUUUAACGUUUAUUCAUUCUUGAGAGACAGAGAGACACAGCAUGAGCGGGGGAGGGGCAGAGAGAGAGGGAGACACAGAAUCUGAAGCAGGCUCUGGGCUCCGAGCUUUCAGCACAGAGCCCGAUGCGGGGUUCAAACCCAUGAACUGUGAGAUCAUGACCUGAGCCGAAGUCGGCCGCCCAACCGACUGAGCCACCCAGGCGCCCCAAAAGCCAGAAAGGAUUUUUAAUUUUUUUUUUUUUUCCAACGUUUAUUUAUUUUUGGGACAGAGAGAGACAGAGCAUGAACGGGGGAGGGGCAGAGGGAGAGGGAGACACAGAAUCGGAAACAGGCUCCAGGCUCUGAGCCAUCAGCCCAGAGCCUGACGCGGGGCUCGAACUCCCGGACCGCGAGAUCGUGACCUGGCUGAAGUCGGACGCUUAACCGACUGCGCCACCCAGGCGCCCCCAGAAAGGAUUUUUAAAAGAUGGUUUAGUGAUGGGGUGCCUGGGUGGCUGCGUCCGUGAAGCAUCUGACUUCGCCUCAGGUCAUGUUCUGGCAGUUCGUGGGUUCAAGCCCCGUGUUGGGCUUUGUGCUAACAGCUCAGAGCCAGCAGCCUGUUUCACAUUGUGUGUCUCCCUCUCUCUCUCUGCCCUGCCCCUGCUCACGCUCUGUCUCUCUCUGUCUCUCAAAAAUAAAUAAAUGUUAAAAAAAAUUUUUUUUUAAAAGGACGGUUUAGUGAAUGAAAGAACGUAAAUUAGCAGGUAAUUACAACGCAAUAUGCGUGAUGUUACUGAAGGGCCAAGUACACGGUACCAUUGAGAUGGGCCAUCAUGAUCAGAGAGCUCUUAAUCAGAUUUUAUUAAGAGCUCGGAAAUGGACCGGAUGGGAUUCUCGGUCAUAGCAGGUUAGAAAACAUCACACACGUUCAGAGAACCAUGAAUUGAUCUGAAAAAAGAAAGGAAUAGAAAGAAGAAGUGUCUCAAUAGCCUAAUAGUCUUGCCAUGAAAAUCAGUGGGGAGAGGAAAAAAAAAGGAAAGAGGAAAGCCUGUUUUUGAAACCCCUCGUGUUUUCUCAGGUUUUAGAAAAUGUAAAUGCUCUCUGCGCUCUAGUGCGGGAUAAUGAGUACCUCUUUCAGCAGUUCUAGUACUAGGAGGAGACGAGGAAAAUAGGUAAGGAUACAGAGUCGGUUAGAUCAGCGUCACCCAAUUGGCCAAGACGAUCCCCAGACUCCCGACUCCUCUCCUAGAGCUCUUUCUCCAGCCAGGCCGGUCUGUGGUACAACGUAAGCAGGAAGCCUCCAGGAAGCCUCAGAGGGGCUUCUGGGGAGCAAGAAAGUAGAGACUCGCAGAAUAUAAGUCAAGGCUUCCAGGUUUUCAAUUAGUUGUGGAAAUUUCCACAGUCAUCUCAGCUGAAUCCUAUUCUUUUUCCCAGACAGACCGUUUGGUCUGCCCCUGAUCCCUUCUUUGACCUCUCUGCAUCAUUUACUCUGUCAAACUUGAUUUUAUCCCCAGCAUAAAAACGCCAGGAGCCUUAGAGUGGUUUACCUCUACAUAUCAUUAUCAUCUCCUGAGUCUCUGUGUCUUUAGUCUCCGGGGCUUUAGAGGUCUGUGGGCCGCAUUCCUUGGCCUAGGAACAAUUUCACAUCACGGCGGACAUGACCUCUAUGAAUCUGGCCUCAAGAGCUCUGGGUUCUCACCAUGAGCCCUACCCCUUCCUGUGGAGGAUGUUGCAGUUUCCCAUCGCUUUCAGGACCAGUCAAGGUGCUUCGGCUGCCACAAGUGUUGACUGCUAACCUCCCAGAGCUGAGCCUUCCCUGGAACGCGCUCUCUGUCAAAGGAAACUUCCUUGCCCAAGGCCCUGGCCCUUCCCCAGAGGUGGCUCAUAUUUAACAAUCGCCCGGAUCCUGUACCACAAUCCCAGACAACUGUGAAGGGCCAUCAGAGCUCUAGAACUCCCCAGGAGAUCAGGUAGGCUCUGUCUUGUGAAUGUUCAGCCUUUCCCUGUGCCCAGUCUUGCUCCCCUCAUCCUCUCAGGAGUAUUGUUCCUGAAAGUGCCCCUAAAGAACUCCCUGUGUGCGGAUCUCAACUUUACAGUUAGUUUCCCAGCGAAACUGACGUAUGACAUUCCCAUCACCCCAUACUUAUCGUGAUUUCUGUGUUGUUGCUGUCGUCACGUGCCCUAUAAGGAAAGAAAAACUUGCAAACUUUGAAGGUGUUAGAGAUCCUGGCUUUGGUAGAUUAUGUAUUAACAGUAUUCAUGGAGUCAGGCCCUUAGCCCAGUCCAACCACCUUCUUACUUCUUGACCUCAAGUGAGAGAUUUAUCAUUCCUAUAAACAUACUGGCUUCCUCUGGUUCAAAAUAGGUAGUUGCUGGGGUGCCUGGGUGGCUGAGUCAGUUGAGCAUCUGACUCUUGGUUUUGGCUUGGGUCAUGAUCUCGUGGUUCGUGGGUUUGAGCCCUGUAUCAGGCUCUGCAUUGACAGCGUGGAGCCUGCUUGAGAUUCUCUCUCUUUCCCUUUCUCUCUGCUCCUCCCUCUCCCCCCCCCCAUUCUCUCUCUCUCUCUAAAAAUACAUAAAUAAACUUUAAAAAACUAUAAAAAUAUAUAAUUUCCUAGAUGAUGGGGUGAUGGGGACGAAGAGUGAGCAGAUGGCUAAGGAAUCACUAAAAGACCGUUAAGUGCUGAGAACACUUAAACCCUGUAGUAAAAGCUCUGAAAUCUAGAACCCCAGCAGACCGAGACUCUACAGAGCCCAUUUCCUCGGAGGUAGUUUUGAAAAUACCCUUUGCUUCAUUUCCUGUGGAUUAUGCAACCACAAAACUCCUCUGGAGACUCAGCCACACCCCAGAUCUGAGCCUAAAUCACUGAGUUUGACACGGAUUCACAGGAAUUUGGCAAGGAGCUCACCCAAUUUCUCUAUCAAAUGGGAUCCAAAUGUUGCCUAGGUUGGCUGAGAGUUCAGACAGAAGAAAAGGCGCGGGCCGACCAACUGCUAAACGGUGACAUUUGAAACUCAAAUGAGUUUGGCUCAGCUCGAAGACAGGGAGGGAAGUUUUGAGCCAUCGUGUGUGGAAUAAGCCCUGGCCCAACUCAAAACAGUUUCCACUUUUUCUGGUUGUGGUUUCAGAGCCGCGUCUGACCCCACCGGCAUACCCAGGUCACCGUGCUCGUUCCACACGCCAAGGCCAGUUCCAGGGAGCUUGGGGCUCCUGUGGGGUCCACGUAGGGAAGCAGGCUCUCCUCACCUGCUUUAAUUCCCUCUGGACCAGAGCAAGCCCUGACAAAGAGUGGAGAGAGGACCAGGGGAAUCCCUGGUUCAGCUUCCGUGAAGCGUCCAACAAGCUCUGUGUGUUGCUGCCCUAACUGAGUUCUUUCUCUUUCUGGGUCUUCAGAACGUGCUGGCCUCCUGCUUCCUGGAAUAGCAUCAACGGCCAGCACUGGUUUGGAUAAAGUUGCGAGUUAGAGAAAGUUUGAUUUUGCUGCUCAAAGUUCGAUUUUGCUGCUCACAUCAGACUUUCUGUCACAAAUUCUCCUUAAAUCCUUCUUUUCCUUACUCUCUCCCCCCCUACCCCACCCAAAUCCUCCACCAGUAUCUCCACUGUCUUCAGGCCUCAGUGACAGAUGCUCCAGAAUCCCCCAUUGCCCCAGGAUCCAACGAGCGAGCUAGCUUGUCCCAAGCAGUGUCACGAGCUCUGGGCCCUUCUGCCUCCCCUCUCACUUACGUGUCUCGCCCUGAUCCCUGUCCCCACCCCUCCCUGUCCCACCACCAUUAAGAUUCCUCUUUCCUAGAUCCUGUCUCCUAAGGCCCUAGCUGCUUAGACGAACCAAUUGGCUAUAAAACAUAUUUAUGGGAAAACCCACUAAAACUGUGUCAACGUAUGCUUGAGCCACGACUUGGGCAUCCACAUGCCAACUAACCUCAGGGAAGACAAUUAGACUCUUUGGGCCUCAGUUUCUUUACCUCUGAAAUGGAGAUUCGAAAUACUUAUUUUUUUUAAGUCUAUUUAUUAAUUUUGAGAGAGAGAAAGGGAGAGCACAAGCAGGGCAGGGCCAGAGAGAGAGAGAAUCUCUGCGCCCCAAGAUUAGAAAUAUUUAAUUCACAGGGUCUCAGAUUAAAGUUAACUUCCAUCAAAAAAACAUCUCGGGGCGCCUGGGUGGCGCAGUCGGUUAAGCGUCCGACUUCAGCCAGGUCACGAUCUCACGGUCUGUGAGUUUGAGCCCCGCGUCAGGCUCUGGGCUGAUGGCUCGGAGCCUGGAGCCUGUUUCCGAUUCUGUGUCUCCCUCUCUCUCUGCCCCUCCCCCGUUCAUGCUCUGUCUCUGUCCCAAAAAUAAAUAAAAAAAGUUGAAAAAAAAAAAAAACAAAAAAAAAACAUCUCUUGGGGGACCUGGGUGGCUUAGUCGGUUAGGCAUCCAACUCUUGAUUUGGGCUCAGGUCAUGAUCCCAGGGUCUUGGUUGGGAUCAAGCCCCAAGUUGGGCUCUGUACUGAGCAUGGAACCUUGUUGGGAUUCUGUCUCUUUCUCUCUCUCUCCCUCUGCCUCUCUCCCCAUCUCACACUCUAUUCUCUCUCUAAAAAAAAAAAAAAAAAAAGAUGGGUGCCUGGGUGGCUCAGUCGGCUAAACGUCUGACUCUUGACUUCAGCUUAGGUCAUGAUCUCACAGUUUGUGGGAUUGAGCCCUGCAUCAGGCUUUGUGCUGACAGCGUGGAGUCUGCUUGGAAUUCUCUCUCCGUCUCCCUCUCUGUCCCACUCCUGGACUAUAAAUAAGCAAACAAACAAACUUAUAAAAUGAAAUAAAAUGAAAUAAAAUAAAAUAAAAUAAAAUAAAAUAAAAAAUAAAAAACAUUUCUUGCUCUUCCAAAAUAAGAUUAAGUGUCCCUCCCCUGUGCCGCUAUGUCACCCUGGGAUUCUCUAUCACGAAGUGUAGAACUUUGCAUCCAAAUUCCCUGUUCCUUUUCUGAUGCUCACUAGUCCAAGGCUCCUGAGGGCAAGGACUAUCGUUGAUCAUGCCUGCAGCCCAGUGGCUAACACAAUGUCUAGUAUGUAGCUGGUACUCAAAAUAUGUGCAUUGAAUGAAUGGGCCAUUGAGAGCAUUUAUAAAUAGUAGAGAUUGUUUCUCCCAGAGAGCAUAUUUAUAUUGGAACAGUGUAUUUUUUAGACCACGUUUUUCCUGGAGGAGAGACUUUAAUGGAAUUGUCAGGUGCAGGAAGAUGUUUUGAAACAGGUGGAGUUCAUGGUGUCCCUCAAAUAACUCCAUGUAGGUGGCCUCUUGCUCUCCCCAGACGUCCAGCUGGCCCUGGGCCCGUGCACCUGAAGGGGAAUGUCAGAGGCUUUUACCAUUUCCUGCUUUAUUCAAGUGACACCAGUUUGGCUCGAUUCUUCCCUCCAAACUGGGAUCAAAUGUUCCCCAAAUGUGGAGAGAAGGGGAGACGCGUCUCGCUCUCUCCCUUGACUUCCUCCCCUCACCUAAAUCCUCUCCCAUCACAUUUUUCAUGAAGCUUAAACUAGGUUCCCAGGGAAAAGCGCUGUCCCGGUCAGGCCAGCAGCCUACACAGCUGUGGGCUCUGACACAGCUCUAAGCAACUCCACAUGGGACAGAAAUGUCCUAAUGGGGUGUUUGAACCAUGAUAUAAUAGGGAGAAGAGGAGCAGGACACAGGGCAUAAGUGAUGCGGGAGCUUCCCACGGUCAGAGAACAGAGUGAUGGUGUGCAGAAAGUCCACCACUGCUAAUGAACCUGGUAAAGGGACAGGAAGAAAAUGCAUCAUUUCUAUGGGGCCUUUUGGGAGACUAUCUUCUAUGUGUCUCACAUUUUUACAUCUGGCGAGCAGGAGCACUGACUGCCCUUGUGCUGGACUGUCUUUUCAAGGAUGUUUCCAGAGUGAACAGGCUUGGAAAAAACAGAUACUCUAGAGCACAGGGCAGGUAAGCUCACUGCCCCUUAUACAAAAUUUGGGUUCUCUAAGCUCAGGACUCCUCUCCCAUAAUGCACCUCGGAGUGCAAUCAGCUGUCAUCUGGCUCUCUUCCCACUGCCCCCGUGGAAUUAGGUGCCAUUAUGCUGAUGUUCCUGGAGCUUGCUGGGCUAGGAGUAAGCAAGGGCUUUGUUUCCAAUACAGGAGUGUUGUGUAUUCAUCCAUGAAACUGUCAGGUCAACUUGUUAGCUUAACAGUAGCAUAAAGUUUCAGACCUUUCACAGUUCUUGACAAUGCUCUGUCCUCUUUACCUAAAGGCAGCUGAUGAAAGAAUUCGGCCCUCGGUGGGGGUUUGUGAGCCCUGUCUCCUAUGGGGAAAGAGGAGAGAGGAAGAGAGCACCUAUGUAUCGAAUGUCCUCUGUUUGCCACACUGGAUGAGGCUGAGCUGAGCCUUUCAUACAGUAACUCACUCAAUCUGCACGAUAACCCUCGGAAUCGACCUUAUCCUACCCAGUUGACAGAUGAGGAACCCUAGGCUCGGUGAAAUGAAGUGACUCUCCAAGGUCGCACUCAGGUGAAGUGUAGGCACGGGGUUUACAUCUAGGUCAGUAAGCUGGGAGAACCUCUGGCUCUUCUGUUACACCAUUCUGGAAAGUCUGCCCUCUCUGCGUGUUGAACAGGUGACCAACCCAAGAUAACACGACAGAUGCCAGCAAGUCUAAGAUCGUUUCCCUUACUACUCUGUUAUCUGCCUCAUGAUUUUGCCUCGUUCUAUCCCCGAACACGCUCCCAGCAGGGCACUUCCGAUGGUUUUCAUCUAACCUUGACUGUUGCCUUCUCUCUUCUAGAACCCCAGCCUCUAGCCAGUGUCACUUCUAUGGCUUAACCUCGAUUUCUCGAACCUCUGGCUACUGCCCUGGGUUUUUUUUGUUUGUUUGUUUGGUUGGUUGGUUUUUUUUUGUUCUGGUUUUUUCCUACUCAGAAGGAAGGAUGUGAAGCAAUUUCUCUGAUAUCACCACAGAACCAAUAACACUCUCCAGACUUCACAGUUCUAAGGAAUCUUGUUUGGUUUUCAGAUGCGACUGGAGUGAUUUGCACCCGGAUGCUUAGACCCGCCAUCUGCUCAGAGACUACUCAGAAAGAUCCACCCAUGCACUCUCCAGCUGCAUACCAGCCUGCCCUGCCUGCAGCUGUUAUUUCCCAGGACUCUGUACCUAUGCCACAGUGUUUGAAGCCGUGCUUCAAGGAAUCAUGAAAGCACUUGCCUGGACCUGCUACACAGCCUAAGUAUAGCGUAAGUUGACCUUGUCUUACAGGGAACGGGUCAAGAAAUGGGCCUCUCUUUUGCCUACUACCUGUUUGUUUCUCAGUGGAAAGCAUCAGGCAGAUGGGCUAUGCAAGGGAAGACAGGGGGACAGAAAAUGAGCCGUCCUUUCCAUCAAGACUUUUCCACGAAGAGGGUUUGCUGGGGUCUUAGGCUCUUGAACAUCACCGCCAACUUCUUUCUCUGAGGCGCGAGUCCACUAGAUGAUCCAAUUUCUCCUGGGAGCUUUCGUGGGGGUUUCUAUGGCGCACAUAAAUGGAAAUUUUGCAAAUAACCUGAAUGUUCGACCCAUGAUAUACAUGUUUCUUUAUGGAAUAGACUUAGUUUAGCAAUGAACUCAUACAGCUGACGUGCCUGUAAUUCCCUGGGGAGGGAGGGAAACUGCCACCCACCCUCCAGUCCUCCAACAAUUACCCAAAUACGACACGAACGGGCCGAUGAGCAGUGAGUAUUUUCUAAUAGUUAUUAGCAAUAAGCGUUGCCUAGACUCAGCGUAAGCAAAUUUCGAAGUAGACGGGAAGGGAUGAUGAACACAGACCGUGCUUUAUGGAGCUCAGAACCAAGCUGAAGAGAGGAACAGGAAUACCUUGUUGAGAAAGGAAUAACCUAUACCAGCCAGUGGGUGAGAAGACACAUAUGAGCAGAUACACAGAUGUUGCAGAUGGUAACCGGCGUCGGGGGAUGGGUUAAAUAGGCAGUGGGGAUUAAGGAGGGCACUUGUUGUGAUGCGCACGGGGUGAUGUAUGCAAGCGUUGAACCACUCCAUUGUAUACCUGAGACUAAUAUUACCCUGUAUCUUAACUAACCACAAUUCAAAUAAAAACUUUAAAAAAAAACAACACUAUUUCAUCCUUUUCCUUCUCUACUCAAAAAGUCUCCAGGAUGCUAAUUUCCAACUGCAAUAAGUCAAAACUUGAGGAUUGACAUAAGAGGAGACUCCAGGUUUGAGAUAAUCUGGGGGUCAGUCCUAGGAUGGUAAUGGUGGAAAAGGACAAGAAAGAAAGGAAAGGGGAAACGAGACUUGAUGUUGGGAAUAUAGGGGAUAAGAGGAGGCAACAUCACUAAGAACCGUGGGCUUAAUCCUUGAAGACUGGAAGAUGGGCAAGGGACAAAAAUAGAGAAGAGCAAAGAAGUAAGGACAUUCAGGGCUUUGGUCAUAUCAUCCGCCACUGGGCACACAGUCCCUAGGACACAGGAGAUGUUAGUAUGUGUCUGUUGAACAGACAAAUGAAAGAAUGAAUGAACCGGCCUCUUAAUCUCAUUAUGCCCAUCAUUUUAUUUUAUCUCGACAGCGACUCUACUUGGCGAUCCUAUAAUUACCCUGAUGUUACUGGUGUCUAAACCAAGGCCCAGAAAGGUAGUUUCAUCCUUCCAAGAUCCCACAGCCAAUGAGUGGAAAGUGAAGCCAGGCGAGUCUGAUGUCGUCGUCCAUCUGCCACCUUGCCCUCCGGAAACAUCAAAGAGUCCAACACAUCUGAGCUGAGAAGAUAGGUCACCACUAGAGAAAUCGCUGUGGGACUCAUUCGCAAAAGGUGCCUGUUCAUAACUGAAGCUGGAGACACGAACGACACCGCAGAGGGAUGUAGAGGUCCUUGACGGGAGCAAGGAGGGAUGCCCCUAUCUUGGUGAGAAGUAGAGCAAGAGGAACUCUUGAGAACCGCAGAGAAACUAAGAGGAGAGCUAACAGGAGGAUCAUGGGACUGAGACAGAAAGCUUUGUCAGCGAAUACAUGGCCAAGGACAUCAAAGGCUGCAGAAGUGUCUUGGAAGGGAGGAAUGGGGCAGCACGAUAGGAGUAAAGGAAAGGUGUUGAGUGCAGCAGAUUGCUUGGCUUUGGACAUUCUUCUCCUUGAACCUCAAGCAAGCUGCCCGAACCAUGGGAAACGUGUUUCUUUUUUGGGUGCUCAUAAUACACAUUUGGCAGGAGAGAGUGAGAUAAUGGAAUGAAGGGACUUAUUGCCAGACCUACCAUGUAACAAAUAACAACUAACAUUUAUUUUUUAUUUUUUUAUUCUUUUUGAGAGAGAGAGAGAGAGAGAGCACCAGCACGGGAGAGAGCAGAGGGAGAGAGAAAGAGAGAGGAUCCUAAGCAGGCUCUAUGCUCAGUGCCAAGCCUGAUGUGCUACUCGAUCCCAAGACCCUGGCAUCAUGACCUAAGCUGAAAUCAAGAGUCGGAUGCUCAACCGACUGAGCCACCCAGACGCCCCAACCGCUACCAUUUAUGAGGCACCAAGUAUUUGUCUAAACAUUCAACGUGCGUUGAUUCAUUUAAUCCAUGCCAACGACCUUGUUAGCUAGGUUCUGUUUUAGCUUCAGUUUGCAGAUGACGAGACACAGCCUCAGAGAGUUUAGGUAAAUUCCUCAAGGUCACACAGCCUGGGCGUGGCAAUCGCUGGGAUUUAAACCCAACUGCUCUGUUCCCAGAGCCACCAUGCUAUGCAAAAUUUUGCUGAACAAAUUAUGCAUAAAUGUUAGUUUCUUUCCAAGAACAAGUGAGCUAUAUUAUUAUUUUUUAAACAGGAGAGAAUCAAAUUUGAUAGGUGUACCUGUGGGGAAUCCACAUAGAUGUGAAAUUCCUCCUGUAUUAAUCUUUUUUAAAGCUGGUAGAUUAAAAGUACUUAAACCAGUGGACCAUAAGCUAAAUAUAGUGUGUGACCUGCAAGUUAAGGAUGGCUUUUGUGUUGUUAAAUGGUUGAAAAAUAUAUUUUUAUGAAUUUUUGUAAAAUGUUUAUUUUGAGAGAGAGAAAGAGAGACGGAGUGCAAGCAGGGGAGGGGCAGAAAGAGACGGAGACACAGAAUCUGAAGCAAGCUCCAGGCUCUGAGCUGUCAGCACAGAGACCGACAAGGGGCUUGAACUCAUGAACCACUAGAUCAUGACCUCAGCCAAAGCGGGAGGCUUAACAGACUGAGCCACCCAGGUGCCCUUGAGAAAAGAUUUUUUUAAAUAAUAUUUCGAAACACUUUAAAGUUAUACAAAAUUCAAGUGUAAUUUCCUCAAAUAAAGUUUUCUUGGAAACCAA
rnacentral:lncRNA from 1 species